UCACCAACAACCUUCUCUCCUCCCUCAAAAGUACCACCAUCUUUUCCGACAUGGCUACUUCUUCAAUCUUCAUGGCAACUCCCAUCACACUCCUCAAGAAAACUCCCACCUUCUCCGUCAAAUGUAUGUCACAAACACCUCAAAGCGGUGAACCGGAGGUUUCAAAACCAGCAACCACCCCAACACUACCACAGAUCAACAUUCCUCCUCCUCCGCCACCUGCUCCAAAGGUCAGCACGAAGUUCUCUGACGUGUUGGCGUUUAGUGGACCUGCACCGGAGAGGAUCAACGGAAGGUUAGCCAUGAUAGGGUUUGUGUCGGCGAUGGCUGUGGAACUGAGCAGCGGUCAAGACGUGUUCACCCAGAUCGGCAACGGCGGUGUUGCGGUGUUUGUCGGGACAAGUGUGGUGUUGACGUUGGCGUCGUUGGUGCCGUUGUUUAAAGGAGUGAGCGUGCAGUCGAAGUCGAGUGGACUGAUGACAUCAGAUGCAGAGCUUUGGAAUGGGCGGGUUGCGAUGUUGGGUCUGGUGGCUUUGGCUUUUACUGAAUAUGUUAAAGGCAGUGCCCUUGUCUAGAUAAUGUAGCAUAAACUUUUCUAUUACAGAAUUACAUCUAAGAUAGGCAAAUGUAUAUUCUUUUGAAUAUUUAUGUGUAUCGAUUUACCAUACAUAGUUCAAAUCAUGAAAAUCAUGUUUUUUUGAUAAUAUAGUAUAAAACAAAUAUGAUCAAUCAAAUCGAACGAUUGUGGUAUCUUUCAAUAUAAAAUUCUUUUUACAAAAAUAAACAAACAACAUACUAAGAUAAUUUUUUGAGGAAUGAACCUAGAUUAGCAAUAUAAGAGUCAAAGUCUACAAAGAUAUUGACAUCCUAGUUUCACAACUUCCUCUUUGAAUGUUGAAGGUGAUCAUUAAUUCAGACUGAAUAUGUGGCUAAGUCCAGCCUAGUCAAUUAGCCAAUUUAAGUUGACAAGUAUCCAAAAUUCAAAUAAACUACAUGGCUCAAUUUCAAAGAAAACUGAAAAAUGACUAAUGCUCACAAAAUGAUCACCGAAUCAAUUUAGGCUAUGAGGAGUGGUCACAUUCAAACCACCGGAAAAACGCUGCAAAGUCAGUGAUAUGUCAACUCCAUCACCUUCUAAACAUUGGAAACAAUUACCACUCCGUGUCAUUUAUAUUUUCAUUUUUUUUACAUUAGAUUAAAUAAAAAACAUAAUUACUAACUUAAGUAAUCAUUUUACUAAUUAAAAAAUCAACUAAACAUAUAUUAAUUUUCAAAAUUAAAUAAACAUAUAUAGUAUAUAUAGUUGAGGGUUUAACUUAAUUCAAAGAAAAGUAAGAGGGUAUAAUAAGAUUAAAAGACAUAAUUUUAGAGACCAAAUUUGUAACUUUAGUUAAAGCAAAUAUGAAUGGUCUUCUUCACAGGUCAUUGCUCAAUACCAUUUUUUUUCUUUUACUUCGAUGGAUACAAAGGAAAAGGGAAAAAAAGGGUCAAAUAAAUGACCGUUAUUGUUCUUGCUUUCUUAUCCGUCGUCUUCAUCCGUCUUUGCACCCACAUUACACCCAAACCACCGGCCUUAGGGGUGGUGGUGUUCACGUGUCCUUAGGCCGGACACAUCAGCAAGAUGUGUGAGUUAGUCCUCCCACUCCGAUUAGCCUUAAGCACUUAUUAAAAGCUAGUCUAUUUCUUGUUAGGUUGAAAUCUAAUGUUAUCAUCAAAUCUAUACAAGAUUGAGAUUGAUAUUAUAGUAACAAUCUCCCAAAGAAAAAUAAUAUAUUUAAAAGAAUAUAUAUAUANNNNNNNNUAUAUAUAUAUAUGAAUUAUGCCCCAAGAAGUACUAUGCAUGAGUAUAAGAUUACUAUUAUCUUUGGAUCCAUUAAUUGAUAACUAAGCAUACUUCAAAGUUACUAUAUGGUCGUAUGAGACCCGCGAAUAGGAAAUUGGCUGCACCCUUGGCCCGAUUCGAAGGCUAAAACCCAAAAGAACCAUGCACAUGAUUCGAACCAAGUGCUCUAAUGCUAUUUUGCCCAACUUACAUGAACUACCUCCAUACACAUACUUAAGAAACCCAUAAUCUCAUCCAGAUAGAGCAGGAAUGCCAGAGAUAAUCGGAAUAAUACCUCAAUCAAUUACAAAAAACAUCCGCAUUAUCGGUUGAAACAAGAUCCCAUACUUGAUUGAGACUGAACGGAUUCCAUCGCUACACAACUAGCUCGAGAAGACUUCCACGGAUCUCGAAAGUUGCCUAAACCUGAGUCUGCUAUGAAAUAGGUUCCCACUCCACCAUUGAGGGUAAACACACUUGAAGCCCCAAUGGACAUAGAUCAUACUAAGCUUGAUAACAGAUCAGCCUGACCACUACAUCUCGACUGACACAAUUAAACUUCCAAGUGAACUUUUAUUGAUUGAUGAACCCCACAACCAGUGGUCGAGGACACUUUAACACUUAGUCCAGAGAAUCAAGACCACAUAGAACUGAACAUACCCACUCAUGGAAAGAUCCAUCGACCAACGUCUGCCCAACUAAUAUGAAAAUAGUAAUCCAACAACAAACUGGGAAAUCCCUCAACAGCUAAAAAUACUCAACCUGAGAAUCCCGAUUCUCCUCCACUUAGGGCUUAAACUACCAUUCACUAGCGCUAAAACCAAAUCAUAAAUCAAACCAUAUUGAGGAUAUACUCCCUUCCUAACCCUGGAAGUUACGAGCCUCUUCACUCCUUCCCCGAACUCGGAAAAAAUGAAAGGGCAUAACCCUAGCCAUUGAUAAUGACGUUCCAAACCAACAAUCAACCACUUCCAACUGUAAAACCCAAGUCAAUCUUAAUCAUCGUCCCCUUCACGAGUCCCGCGACUCGAAUACCCGACCUCAAGCAAAACCCCCGAGGCCUCAAACAAAAAAGCUCCCUAGGUCUGCACCAAACAAACAAAAUCACUAACGCCACUGGGGCUCAAAACACUUACCAUAUCCAUCCGCAUGUCGGAGCAUCCACAAGCAAAAUAUUAACAGGAACAUAAACACUGCCGCGAAUCAUGGUAUCCAACCAUGCUAUCUUCACCGACCAACCCUUAGAAUCCCCAAAACCUUCCUUGAUUAGAUUAUGGAUCCUGUGCUUCAAGUAGUACUGGCCCAAUACUACCUUCCAUACCUAUCCAUACUUUCCUCAAGAAUCAUCCCAAGUCUUUUAAGUCCUAGUCAUAAAAUACUCCUGAAACUUGCUUAACAAUGAAGCAACCACGCUAAAAUACUCACCUACACUCCCUCUGCCAUCAACUGCUGAUAAACCCCUACCAAUGCCAGCUAACCACUUCAUGAAUACAAUUACACACAACCAAGCUUAAAUAAUCCUUCGAAUAAAGGGCUUAGCCCUACAACGAUUGGACUCAAACGAGAGCUGCACAAUAGGUUUGAGUCCUUCAUUCUAAGAUUAUUUAACCUUCAUAGCAUGUAAUUUUAUUAUAUUCACUUGAUGGUUAACUCCCAUCAACAUGGGUCCCACAAAGCACAAAGCAAGCAACAUUCGGGUAGAGAAGCCGACUGCGACUAAAACGCAACAAAAUCAGACAUAUCCUCAUAGAAAAUCCUCGAUCUCAAACUCCUCGCACCACGAGUGCGCCUUCACCCUGCUCUCACUCUCCCCAGAGUGGUUAAUCAUUCCUCGUGCUUACCCGCUAUACACUGCACCCACUCAUGAAACUUCCACCAACCCUACAACACUCGUGUAUGCUAGCCGUACAUAACACUGGAUCCUAUAGACAGUCGAAUAUCUGAUCCUACUCUAAGCCCUUCAUCAAACAAGAACAUGAAAUAAGGCCAAACCAAACAUUCUCAGGCUAUAGAAUCUUAGUUAUGUACAACUAUGAUGUAUACACUAAGUAACUGUAGUAGAUGAUGUCAAUUUCAUUUAAGGAAGAACCCUAGGCUAUCAGACAUCAUAUAAUCAUGCAACUUUGUCAUGCAAUUCCUGAAGAUCCCUAGCCUAUCACUACCAUGCUAUUCUAAUAUUUCACAAGAUCAAAUAAAGUGUGGUAAUUUGGGGUCUACUUACUAGCUCCGACUGAUCAUACACAUCGUAUCCUCUUUAGUUUGAAAGUUAUUUUUAAAACCUUUACUUUGAAAAUUACUUUUUUUAAAACACCUUUUCCUUAGUUUGAGACCGGAUUCACACGAGUUUUCCUCCCAUUCACUCAAACCAAGGCUCUGAUACCAACUAGUAACGUCACAAAAAUUUCAACAAAUCUAAACCUUUCAAAACAACCCAUAUGUUAACAAAAGUGAUUUGAUCCGCAGGCACUCUGCACGCCUUGAACUCCCGUAAUGAGGGAGUUCGAGCCCCAAUCUGACCCACAGUGAUCUCAGAUCGGAAAGAACAAUCCGCUCCUCCAUAUCCUCCAUGAUCCCCUCCUUGACGGUACUGAACCCGAUCUCGAACCUGAACCUCCUCGCGUAGCCAUCAUAAUCUUCAACUGAAAAUACAACAUAGAAAGAAAUUGAUAAGGAAGUUCAAAGGGAUUUCUCCCCACUGGACUCCUUAAAGCCUUCAGGUAUGUCCUUGUCUCGGGUACAAGUCUUGUGCUUUUAGUAGUACGGACCAAAUACUACCUUCCACACCUACCUGUACAUUCCCCCAAGGCCAUACCUGAUACCUCCAAUUCACCAAACCAUAGAUAAAACAUGACCUACGAAACACAGCACAUACACAUAUCUUAGAAUCUUCGGGGAUUUCUCAAUCCUCAUAGAACCAGAAACCUCAAUCAACACCGCAUGUUGCCUUAUGCAUGCAAGUUAUACAUUAAUAGAAUCAUAGAGACUGUCAAAUAAAGUUUCUACCCUAAGACCACAACCAAACAAGGAACAAGAAGUAAGGCAGAAUCCAUCGUUCUAGGGCUAUAAAAUCCUAAACAUAUACAACUUUGAAAGCAUACACUUAGCAAAUAACAACGUCAACAUCGAUUCCAAGCAUUAUAUUCAUAGCAUUGAACUCUCCUAGGCUACAAGGCAUCUCACAAAUCAGACAAUUCUCAUAACACCUAAAGGUAUCCUUAGCCCUAUUCUAGCAUGCAUUUCACACAUUAACAUACUAGUUGCAAUUCAUAAGCAUGGUUAAAUUUUUGGAAACACUUACUUGAGCUUGGCUGAUUUCGCGCAUUGCGCUCUCCCUUUUUACUUAAGAAAACCGGUUUAAGAAAAACUUGACUUUUGUUUCUUUUUUUAAAAAGGUUUACCAUUUCCUCAGUUUGAGUUGUGACACAUAGUGUGCCCGAAUUCCUCAAACCAAGGCUAUGAUACCAACUUGUAAAAGCCCAAAAAUCCAGAUAAAAAUUUUCAUUUAAAAAAAAAUAGAAAUUACAAUCAUAAUUUGUUUCUUAAAAUCCAUUACAUCAUUUCAUAUCAAAAUAUCAGAGUAUCAAUAUCAAUAAAUGAGGAAAUUCUUGGGAGUGAAUGUUGCGCCAUCUAGCUAGGCCCUUCCCCUUAGUACCGAAAGUACCUGAAAACACCUAAAUAAACUGUAAGCAAAAACUUAGCGAGUUCCCAAAAUACAACAUAACAUAUAACCACAGAAUACCACGCCACAUACAUAAGAUUGCCAUGGACAACCCCAUGGUCUUUACUUGGAAUGCCAUGGGCUACCCCAUGGUAUUUACCUAGAAUGCCAUGGGAUACCCCCAAGGUCGGAUAUCCAAGUGCCAUGUGCUACCCCAUUGGUCUUUACCUGGAAUGCCAUGGGCUACCCCCAUGCUCUAAUAUCCAAGUGUCGUGCGCUACCCCCAUGGUCUUCAUAUAAGUGCCACAGGCUACCCCCGUGGUCUUCACAUAAUGAAUUGCAUAAAAACUAUCAAUCCACAUGUCAGGCAAUGGGCCGCCAUUGGUGCCUUCGACCCAUUGAUAUAGUGAGAAGACUCACCUCAGACUGCUGAUAAAAAUACUGCUCGGCUAACGCUCUAGAUAUCUGACACUGAAUAUACACAAGUUAACCUAAUUAGAAUUAAGUCACAAACUCAAGGCCUAGGCCAAAACCCUAAGUACAAACUCCUCCAAUAAGGCCCAAAGUCUUUUUCCUUUAAUGGGCCUAACAUCCAAGAUCCAAAAAGGGGCAUAAGGCCCAAAAGGCCUAGCCAUGCCACUUAUGGUCCAACAACAAGUUCAAAGGCCCAAAUACUAUAAUAGAUCCAGGCCCAAGUCUAAGUAGAGCCCAAAUAGCUUAAAGGCCCAACAAAAGCCCAAAACUCAUUGGAAGCGUACGCCCAACGUACAUCAUCAGUACGCUUAGCAUACUGGGUUCUUUGGCGGUUAGCGUAGUGUACAAGCUAGUAUGCCCAACGUACAAGCUACUUUGCACAAAAAGCCAUUAAGUGCUUAAUUCAUGAAGCCAUUUCGUCCGAUUCCAGAUCUUGGUCAUCUUAAAGGUCCUAGGGCAUAAAGAUGGUAACUUUAUGUGUUUACAUGCCAUAUGGGAACCCAACACCUGAUUUUAUCCAUUAAGACUCCCUUUAAGAUCUUAAACUCAUGCAUGGUGCCAUAACAACCAUCAAGUUAGCAUUUUUAUGCUUUUAACAUGCCAAAGGAACUAGGAUCUAACAUUUAUAAUCUCUGGAGUUGUUCAAACUUACAAAAGAGGAUCCAUGGACCAAAAAUGGACUUAUUACCAAACCCUAACUCAAACUAGCGAAAGGAUAAGCAAGUUCUGGACUUUUUACCUCCAAAAGUUUUCCAAGAUGAAGUAGAUGCAGGAUCUAGAAGCUCAAACACGUCUAAGAGUUGAUCACAACCUUCUCCUUCUUACACACACAUUAAAAUAGCCACCAAAAUCACUUUUAAGCUCAAGAAUCACACUCACUUGCAAACUAGGGUUUAGGGACGAUAAGAGGCAAUAAAAGCUAUGUAGGGUUAGGUCCAAAUGUCAUAAGAGUGUUAAAAUAGGGUUCAUGCGCAAAAAUUAGGGUUUUUGUCAUAUGCCACGUACUCCUCGCAUACAUGGUGCAUGUACGCAUCUAAACCACCCUAGUACGCUAAGCGUACACGUAUGUACGCCCUGUUGGAUUAGUGUUUAAGUCCAUAACUAUAUUUGGUAUGUAUUUGACCAGGUUGUGCAUGGUCCUUUUAGGUUGCCUUCACCGAAGCAACUUGACUAGAGGAAUUAUAUAGAAAGAGGUGAUUAUGGUUUAUUAAUAUAUUAUAAGAUUUAUAUAUUAAAAGAGAAAUCAUGUUUGAUUAAUUAACAUUGGUCAAGAGUUAAUUAAACAUUAGUUUUGUGAUCAAAAGAAGUUAAUUGAACUUAAGGGGCUGAACUGUAAUUAUGUGAUAGUUACAAAGUUAGGCAAGGAAACCCUAAUGGAUAGGGUGGAUGAAUUCUAGGGAUAUAGCCUUAAGAAUUCGCCCAUGAUAGGGAUUCUAGAAUUAUCUUAUGGGCUGCUUGGUGGCUAAGUAACCAUAUAAGAAUAAUGAAUGAAACCCUAAUUCCUAAACCUAUAUAAAGGACCCUUGGUCAUGGGAAUUUCGGCAACUUGAACCCUAGAAGUCCUAGAGCCGAAAUUCUCCUCUUCCCUCUCUUGCUUCCUCUAAUUGCUAUUGGUGUUUGUUAUUAAUUAGAGGCACAACACUUGAGGUGCUAAAGUUGUCAAGGCUUCAAGAUCUUCAAUCAACAACGAGGUAAGCAUCUUGAUAUACUUUGCUAAGUUAAUUUCAAUUAUAUACACUAGAUCUAGGGUUUGAAAGUCUUGGAUGAAUGCACGUACAAUUAGAGAAACCUAGAUCCAAGCAUUAGGGUUUGCAUGAGCACAUAGGAUGUUCUUUUGGCUCAAACCUAUCAGUGGUAUCAGAGCUUUUGUUUGGUUUCUAUUGUAUUGAUGCCUUGCUUGUUCAUCCUCUCUUGAAAAUCGUGAUUUUGUGUUCUCUGCCUGACGAACUCGAUGAGUCCCAAUGUGGGCUCGACGAGUAGGAUGAACUCGACGAGUCCAUAAGGGCACUCAACGAGUCGGAGCGUCAGACAUAGAUUUUCGGGAUUUCUUGUUGUUUUGCUUAAUGAUAAUUACCUAAAUCGUUUUUGACUAAUAAAAUCUGAAUUUUAUUACUGCUUUAUGUUUAUCCUUUCCAAAACAAAAGAUAAUUUCCAUUUAUUUGAAUAAUAAAUUCCUUAUAUGAUAAUAAUUGAUUAUUUAAAUUAUUUGUUGAAUUAUCUUAUGAAUAAAAUUGAUUAGGUCAAAUUUAGAUAAUCAUUAAAUUAAUUGUUUAAUUUAAAUUAUUUGCUAUUUGAUCCUUUAUGUUUUGAAAAGUUCAAAACUUGUCCUCAAGUUUUGAAAUUUAAAUUUGUGAUUAAAAGUUUAAUUUAAACUAUUUAAAUUUCAAACCCUAGAAUUUUACAAGUUUAAAAUUCAACCUUAUACUUUACAAUANUUAAACGCUAGUCUUACUGUUAGUAGGCCUCAUUCACGAAGCCGAUCUAGAAGGAGGUAUAAGGUUAUGACCUAUAAAAUGGCCAUUUAAUGGGUGUCCACUCUCACCCACCACAUCCUUGAUUGGUGGAGGGUCGUUAGCCGAACGGGUAAGAUAGGGCAACCCUUUCUCAUGAAUAAGUAUAAUGAAUUAUAAAAGUAACUAAAUGUUUUACAAAAUUCCCAAUCUUAAUUACUUUAGGCAAAAGUGAAAUUGAUGCAAUUCCAUUAAAUUACAUUUUGUACCCGUGCUAAGACGUUAGUGGAGCGUGUGUGGUUAACUGGCACACUAAUUCGGUUCUAAGAAAAGGUGGUAAAGGGUGACUCAUUGUUUCUCAUUGUUCGAUGGAGCAUGUGUGGUUAACCAGCACAUCGAAUAGGUGACUGUAACAAUGAGGGCACCAUGUAUAUUUGCAUGGUUAUUCAUACCCACUUUGUGAUCCUCAGCAUCCCAGUCACAAACUAGAGGGGCAUAUCAAGAUUUAUACAUGCCAUUGAAAAGUUCAAUGAAUCUCAAAAUAUCUAGGAGUUUUCAAUACAUUUAAAACUUAAUCUCUUUUUCGUUUUUCAUGGUGGAGAAUUAGUGAAUCGUCAUUCACUUACCUUCAAAUUAUUUGCAUGUUAGAUUACGACACCCCUCUUCUAAUAUGUAAAUAAUGUUGUUGGAUCCUAGCCCUAAUUUCUCAUUUAGGUGUUUCAUUAGGGAUUCAUUUCUAAUCAAACUUUGUUCUUUUUCCUUUUCAGAUGUCGAACAACAACAAUGCUUCCGGAUCGUUCUCACUCAUGAACUUGUGUGGGAGAGUGAUCUUUGACGAGUCCAAUUUCAAUGAUUGGAUUCGCAACAUCCGAAUGGUCACUCGUUACGAGGACAAAGAGUAUGUCCUUGAUAAGAAGCUGAAGGAAAUCAACCUCAACACUGCUACUACUGAAGAGAUCGCCACCUUUAAGGCUCAUGAGCGUGAUGCCACGAAAGUCCAUUGCAUCAUGCUAGCGACCAUAACUGCAGAACUCCAAAAGUCCUAUGAGGACAUGUAUCCCUAUGAAAUUCAUCAAAACUUGUUGGACCGGUACCACCAAAGUGCAAGGCAAGAAAGGUAUGAGAUCAUCACUUCGAUGAUCACUACCAGAAUGGGUAAUGGAGAGUCCCUUACCGCCCAUCUGCAAAAGAUGCAGAGAUAUGUUGAUCACCUGCUAAAGUUGAAAGUUAACUUUGAUGAAGAGAUGGCAAUCGACAUUAUCCUUCACUCCUUACCUCCCUGCUACAACCAGUUCCGCAUGACUACCACAUGAAUAAGGAAGAGGUCACCUUGAGCAAGCUUCACGGCUUGCUAAGAACUGUUGAGAGCAAUUUCAAGGAUAAGUAUGUUGCAUCAACUCCAACUCCCACUGCUGCCCUUGUCUUGGAAAAAGGGCAAGGGAAGGGUAAGAAAAGGAAGGCUCCCUCAAAUAUCCACCACAAGGGAAAGUCCCAAGAUGUUACCUCUUCUAGUGGAACCAAGGCUGGUUCUGCUAAACCCAACUCUAACCCUAAUGAGCCAGAGUGCCACCACUGCCACAAAAUAGGGCAUUGGAAGAGAAGCCGCCCAGAAUAUCUGCAAGCUAUCUAGGAUGGGACGAUCAAGCCAUCCUUCGCAGGUAUUUACACUAUUAAAUCUAAUGAUUCAUCGCAUGCUAUUUCUUGGGUUAUUGAUACAGGAUGUGGUUUUCACAUAUGUUCUGAUUUGCAGGGACUAAGAAGAAAUAGGGAUGUGGAGCAUGGAAGAAUAAACCUAAUAAUGCGAAACAAAAGAUUGUCGCCUGCCACCAAUAUUGGAGUAUAUAUAUUCCUUAAUGCUUAGUAAUGGAUUAGGUUUUGAUUUAAACAAUUGCUGCUAUUCGCCAGAUAUGGCAAGAAACAUCAUUUCAUUUCAUGGUUUAUAUAGGCAAGGAUUUAGAUAUUCAUUUGAUAAUGAAAAGGGUUCUAUUUAUGCUUAUCUUAAUAGUGUUUUAUAUUUUGAAGCAUUGCCUUGUAAUGUAAUAUAUGAAACUGUGAUGGUUGUAGAUAACUUAGGAAAUGAUGUAUUGUGUGUUGAUUCUUCCAACAAUAUAGAUAAAGCAUGCUUGUGGCAUUGUCGUCUUGGACAUGUCAACAAGAAACGCAUAGCCCAACUCUAAAAGGAUGGAGUGUUGGAGUCAUUCGACCUUAGGGAUGAUGACGUGUGUGAGUCUUGUUUACUUGGAAAGAUGACCGAUGUGUGUGGGCACUUGUGAAAGGGGUGAGGGUUUAUUGGAUCUCAUACACACCGAUGUGUGUGGGCCCUUUAGAUUACCACAAAAGAUGCAAGCCACUUCUAUGUGACUUUUACCGAUGAUUAUAACAGAUAUGGGUAUAUCUACUUAAUCAAGCACAAGUCGGUAACCUUUGAAAGGUUCAAAGUGUUUAAAGAAGAAGUGGAGAAUCAUUUGGGCAGGAAUAUCAAGAUGCUUCGAUCCGAUCGAGGAGGAGAGUACCUAAGUCUUGAAUUCCAUGACUAUCUCAAGGAAUGCGGAAUCGUUUCACAAUUGACGUCACCUAGGACACCGCAGUUAAAUGGUGUGGCUGAGAGGCGUAAUCGAACCUUGUUGGACAUGGUUCAUUCCAUGAUGAUUCGUGCUUCACUACCUAUCUCAUUCUGGGGGUAUGCCUUAGAGACUGCCGCCCAUAUCCUUAACUUAUUCCCUACGAAGAAGGUUGCCAAAACACCUCACGAGAUGUAGACAGGGAAAGCUUCCUCGUUAGCACAUAUCAAGGUUUGGGGGUUGCGAGGCUUUCGUAAGACGAGAGACUCACGACAAGCUCGAACCUCGUAGUGAGUGGUGUAUUUUCACCAGCUACCCACAAAAGACCUUUGGAUAUCUCUUCUAUAGUCCGAGUGAGAACGUUGCCUUCAUUGCGAGGAGAGGGGUUUUCCGUGAGCGAGAACUCAUAAGCCUAGGGGACAGUAGGAGGCAAAUCGAUCUUGAAGAGAUUCAAGAGUUGAGCGAUGAAGGAACCUCCAACACCGGGGCUUACCCGAGGAGGAAACUCCGGUUGAACCGAUUGACGAGUCCUUACCUCUUAGACGUUCCGAAAGAGUUAGGUUUCAACCCCAGUUAUAUGGCUUUCAUAUUACUACAGAAGGGGAUACGUAUAUUAGUGAUAUUAUACUAAUAAAUUUGGAUGAACUUAACAGCUAUAAGGAAGCCAUUGCAGGCCCAGAGUCUGCAAAGUGGAAAGAGGCGACGGACAGUGAGAUUCUGUCCAAGUAUGACAACCAAGUUUGGAAUUUGGUUGACAAUGUACUAGGUCGUAAGAUGGUCUGGUGCAAAAUGAUCUUUAGGAAGAAGGUACUAAAACGUUUUGUGACAACCCGAAAUUUCCAUUUUGUACGAACAUUAGCUAUUCAAUAGAAGCUAGUCCAAUUUCAAUGAAUUUCAGACUUUUCUAAAUAAAUUUGUGUACAUUAGGGUUUACGUUUAAGGAGAUAUCAGGAGAGUGGAUGCUCAUGGGUUUGUGAAACUUGAGCAUUUCAAAACUUCAUAAUGUUAGAGUCCAAUUCCGGAAUAAAAAUAUUUUCUGCCAAAAUAUUUCAGGACUAUAAAUAGAUUUCUGAACUAAAUUCAUUCAUUAUUCACACUUCCAACUAGAGAAAAGCCAUUUUCUCUCUCACAGAUCUUCGGGUUUUCAUCCCAAAUCGUGAGUACACUUCUUUAGUUGUUUUAUAAUGCUUGUUAUAUGCUUAAUAACAUAGAUUACAUGUCAAAUAUGUGAGAUCCGGGAGUUUACCGCCCAAGAACGUUCUUGGGGAGUAAACUCGAAAAUAAAGCUUUAAGGCUAUCUAGUCCCAUUUCCUUGUUAGGUAACUAGCUUAGGAUAAUAUGUAGGAUCAUUUGAGACAAGAAAACAAUCCAGAACACAUAGCUUUAGGAGUUUUCGGCCCAAGAGUUUCUUGGACCGUAAACACCAAAUACAAGGGCUUAAAUGUGCCCUAAUCACUCCCAAAGGCUUUAGACUUUAACCCUAAAUUACUUCUAGCUAAUAUGGGGACAUUAACACAUCAAAAAAACCCCUAAAAGGGAGUUUACGGCCAAGAAAUGCUCUUGGGCCGUAAACACCAAUUAAGGGCACCAAAGUGUGCCUAGGGCCCCCCUUAGCAUAAAUCAAAUGCCUCGAAAGUAUUCUACUUGUGUUUGAGACUUGAAAGAAUUAAAACAUCCAUCCCAUGAGAGUUUACGGCCGUAAACUCUAAGGGAUAUGGCCUUUUGGCCGUAAACUCCUCAAAGGAGUGUUAUCUAUGCCCUAAACUACCCAAAGGAUUAAACCACCAAACUAGGCUUAUUCUAGAAAUCAUUUAGCACUUUAAAACACCCAUUACCACCAAGAUUGGAGUUCACGGCCGUAAACUCAAGGUUUUACGACCGUAAACUCCUUGUGUGGGGUUUAUUGGGUAGUAAACUCUUAUACAAAGUCCUUGGAAGCUUUAAACCCCUUUAGCUUGUCCCAUAACAACUUAGAUGCAACCAUUAGGACCUAUAACACUUAUACAAGGUGUUUACAUGUUCCUAAGUGUCCCAACUUAUUUCAUUAAGUUAUUAUUUGGCUAAUUAGUUAUAUAUAUGCUCAUUAUAUGAUAACUAGGCUCGUGCGUGUGAACAAGUCUCCGUUUGCCACCUAGCACGGUAUCCGACACUACAAUCCAAACCACUCACCACAAGUGAGUUCAUACCCCUUUAAUUAACCUUUGAAAUACUUUUAAAUGUUUUAAAUACUUUAUGGGGGGGAUACAAGUUAAAUGCUUAUAGUUAUUGCAUCAAUCACAUGUGAUUACAUUAAUCAUAUGUGAUUAAUAACUAGAAAACCAAUGAUCUUAUCACUGUUUAAACUGUUUAUCAAACUGUUUUACUUCAAACUGUUUUACAAACUCUUUUACUCAUCAAAUACUUUUAUUUAAACUUUGUUAUACUUCUUAUAAACCGCAUGCCCAUAUAUGUAUAGAUAUAUAAGCAAUGUUUAAAGGGUUUAGGAAGGUCAUCCGCCCUAUUUCCUUUUUCUCGAUUUGGAUGUGGUCUGGUGGGAUUUCGGGUAACCAUCCGAAGGUCGUUUCAAUAUUAAUUAUAUAUCAAAUGUACAUAUAUAGACAUAAAAGUACUCCUUNUAUACUAGGAGAAGAACAUAUACAACUAUACUAGAGGAAGAACAUAUACAACUAUACUAGAGGAAGAACAUAUACAACUAUACUAGAGGAAGAACAUAUACAACUAUACUAGAAAGAGAACAUAUACAACUAUACUAGAGGAAGAACAUAUACAACUAUACUAGAACAGUUCAUUACAUUACACAUACUAGAAUACGUUCAUUAUUGUGAUAUGAAUCGGGGCAUGACUUAAAUGCCAUGGCCCGAGUUGUAGCCAGAGUCUCUUGAAGGGAGAGCGUGAGUUUGCGUAUAGAUCUAUACUGGAUUGACUAUCCUACACCUUGCUGCUAGCUACAGCCGGACCUGCAGGUCUGCGGGUGCCAAACGUCAUUCCGUUAUUACGACCAUUCGUAUGUCGUUGUUACCAGUCGAUAGUAUGGUGCAAUUAGUCACAUGAUACCUUAAUAUAAAUCCGGUUUAAGGUAGUUAGUACAACAAUAGUUCCUAUAAUACAACACUACAGUACUACAAUAAUUUACCCAUUACAUAUAUUUAGUGAUUAUUUCACUUAAACAUUAAUGUACAAACUAUAUUUUGUUAAAUGAUAGUUACACUUGGGAAAUUACACACUUUUACAACAAACGAGCAUACAAAACAGUUAAGCCUUGGUAGAAGGCUACUUUAAUAGAAAAUAUAGGUUUUUCUGAGAGAUUCAAACUUUUACAAACACUUACAUACAUUUUACAAACUUACACUUGAGACACGUUCAAACGUUUUGAUAACAAACAUCGACACUAAAAUACUUAUGAACUCACCAGCUUAAUGCUGAUAAACUCUUUCAAAAUAACUUGUAUUCUCAGGUCAUCAAUAGACAGGUACUUAGGCCAGCUUUUGAGAAGAUGGAGCGCAUUCAAGACUCAUCUUAUUAUUUUGAUUUACAUUAUAUUUUGGUGUCUAAAACUGUACAGAACACGCUUGUAUUAAAAUUAUAUAUUUAAUGCAAUGGAUGAUGCUGUUUGCUUAUUUACAUUUACUGUGUUGUGAUACUUUACAUGACGUCCUCCGCCCCACAACGUUUCCGCCGUUCUUGGUUUUGGGGUGCGACACGUUUUAGUAUGGAGAAUUCAAAGAAGGCAGAGUUACCAAUCCAAAGUAAUGCGAAGUUGAGUACGACUCAAAGUCCGAGUACUGAAGUCGAGAUAGCAGAAAUGAGCUAAGUACCUUACGCUUCCGCAGUUGGCUCGAUCAUGUACGCUAUGACUUGUACUCGCCCUGAUGUGGCCUUCGCUUUGAGCAUGGUCAUUAGAUAUCUAGGGAACCCUAGAAAAGCACAUUGGACCGCAAUCAAGAAUAUUCUUAAGUACCAUCGAAGGACCAAGGAAUGGUUUCUAGUCCUCGGUGGGAGUGAUGACUUAAAGGUGCGAGGGUAUAGUGACGCCAGUUUUCAGACCGACAGGGACAACUACCGUUCGCAGUCGGGCUGGGUCUUUACCCUAAAUGGUGGAGCAGUGACUUGGAAAAGUUCCAAGCAAGAGACCGUAGCUGACUCAACAUGUGAAUCAUAGUACAUUGAAGCAAGCGAAGCGUCAAAUGAGGCAAUAUGGUUGAAGAACUUCAUUGGAGACCUUGGAGUUGUGCCGACCAUACAGGAGCCUAUUGAGAUUUUCUGUGAUAAUGAAGGAGCGGUUGCCUUGACCAAGGAACUGAGGGAUCACGGCAGAUCUCAACAUAUUGACAGAAAAUAUCACUUUAUUCGAUAUCAGAUGGAAAAAGGACUCCUCGUAGUGAAGUGCGUAUCGUCAGAAGAUAACCCAUCAGAUCUGCUUACGAAGGGACUGAGCAGGGUUAAGCACUUGCAGCAUGCUAGGAGCAUCGGGCUGAAGGACGAUAUUAGUUUAGAUUAGAUAGUUUGGAAACGUGUAAUAGAUAAAUUAUAAUUAACAUCUGAUGAUUAAAUAAAAGAGUAUUAUUUAUUAGUAAUGUUACUAUCUUAUGUUAAUUGUUUACCUAUUGUUUCAUUUUGCAUGUUUUGACUUCCUGAAUAAUAAGAAUUAUUUAAAUGGUCUACAGUUGUUCAUAUGUUGGAACUAGGUAUGAAUGAAGACUGUCAUGAAUUGGUGUGUAGAUUGUCUAAAGUGUAUUAGACAUAGCAAAAGUUUGCUACAACAUUCAUGAGUGCUUAUGAAAAGUUUUGAGCAUUGGAAUAAACCCAUGCUUGCUGGAAUCACUUCAUGGAAUUCAUCAUGAGUGAUCGCAAGACGAUAAUAUAUCAUAUGGUCUUAAAACAUAGAUAUAUGGUUUAUUGUUUUCUAAUUGGUUGUGCAUUGAUAAUGCGUAAACACAUCAGUAACUUGAUGUUAUAAAACGCAUUGUUGUGUAUGAUUUGAUUAGUGGAUAGUAAAUGCAUAUAAGUCUAAGUUCAUCUGUUCCUUUUAUCCUAAUAGGUUAAAAGUGAUAUCAGGACCCCUUGAUGAUUUGAUUUGACUUAUGUGUCGGGCCCGGUCAGGACUGAAUUGAUGUGUUCAAUUACGUUCUAUGUCAAAUGAAUCAGAGAUUAAGAAACAAACUGUUGGAUAAUAAGUAUGACUAUGUUCCAUGUAAUUGUCCGCAUGAUAUCUAGAACAAAGGAUUAUACGAUCCCUUAUCUUAAGGACAAGUUACUGAUAAGAUCAAGAGUUUUGAGAACUGUGAUUGCUAAUCGAAUCCAGAAGUUGCAUUUGCAUUUAUAGUUAUUAUCAAGGUUGUAAAAAAUUCUCGACGUUAGCUAGUCGGUGGACUGGGGUUAAGAGAUUAAUCGGGUAGGCGGAGAUUAAUCGGGGGAUUAAUGGAGACCAUUAAUUGAUAAUUUGUUGAAUUUUAAAAAAUUGAAUAUGACUAAUAUCAUAUCAAAGUCCGUAAGUACCACUAAUAUCAUAACAAAAUAGGUUGAUAUGUUUAAUACAACAUUAAUCAUGCUUGAAAUAGUUUCUAUUGAGAUAAAACUUCUUAAAAAUGUUUAAAUUUCAUCGUUUUAUACAGUUUUACUCAUUAUUUAUGCAUGGAUUAAUCGCUAGGUGCCAUCUAGUUGGUUGAGUAAUGCCUAGGGAUUAAUCGGAGAUUAAUCGGGACCUAGUCAUGAUUUUUACAAUAAUGGUUAUUAGACUUAUCCAAGUAGGGGAAUGUUGGAUUAGUGUCCAAGUCCAUAACUAUAUUUGGUAUGUAUUUGACCCAGUUAUGCAUGGUCCUUUUAGGUUGCCUUCACCAAAGCAACUUGAUUGGAGGAAUAAUAUAGAAAGAGGUGAUUAUGGUUUAUUAAUAUAUUAUAAGAUUUAUAUAUUAAAGGAGAAAUCAUGUUUGUUUAAUUAACGUUGGUCAAUAAUUAAUUAAACAUUAGUUUUGUGAUCAAAAGAAGUUAAUUGAACUUAAGGGGCUGAACUGUAAUUAUGUGAUAGUUACAAAGUUAGGCAAGGAAACCUUAAUGGAUAGGGUGGACAAAUUCUGGGGAUAAUGCCUUAAGAAUUCGUCCAUGAUAGGGAUUCUAGAAUUAUCUUAUAGGCUGCUUGGUGGCUAAGUAACCAGAUAAGGAUAAUGACUGAAACCCUAAUUCAUACACCUAUAUAAAGGACCAUUGGGCAUGGGAAUUUCGGCCACUUGAACCCUAGAAGUCCUAGAGCUGAAAUUCUCCUCUCCCCUCUCUCUCUUGCUUCCUCCAAUUGCUAUUGGUGUUUGUGAUUCAUUAGAGGCACAACACUUAAGGUGCUAAAGUUUUCAAGGCUUCAAGAUCUUCAAUCAACAACAAGGUAAACAUCUAGAUCUACUUUGCUAUGUUAAUUUCGAUUAUAUACACUAGAUCUAGGGUUUGAAAGUCUUGGAUGAAUGCAUGUACAAUUAGAGAAACCUAGAUCCAAGCAUUAGGGUUUGCAGGAGCACAUAGGGUGUUCUUUUGGCUCAAACCCAUCACGCCCAAUGUACGUAGGGACCUCCUUUACAAAUAAGUUUCAUUCCAAGGGUUAAAAGGGUAAAUACCUACAUUCCGAAUGUUACAUAUAGAUAGUAAAAUACUUGAUUCUACCCUAAGCCCUUCAUCAAACAAGAAAAUGAAAUAAAGCUAAACAAAAAUUCUCAAGCUAUACAAUCUUAGUUAUGUACAACUACGAUGCAUACACUAAGCAACUACAAUAAUGACGCUAAUUAUAUAUAAGAAGUAAUCCUAGGGUAUCAAGCAUCCUAUAUCAGGAAAUCCUUUCAUGUAAUUCCUGAAGAUCCCUAUCCUACCACUAGCAUGAUGUUAUAUCAUGAAAAACAUAUCAAGUAACCGUGUGGGUAACUUUGGGUAAAUUUUCUUGCUCUGGCUGAUCAUACACAUCGCAUCAUUCCUUGGUUACUUUUGAAAACAAUUUUUGAAAACCAUUAAAAGAAAACUUUACAGCUUCCUAGUUUGAGUUUGGAUUCACACGAAUGUUCAUCCAGUUCUCUCAAACCGAGGCUCUGUUACAAACUUGUAACACUCCAAAUAUCAUAGAAAAUUAAAAAUUUUAAAUUUCAACCAUUAACCAACAUUUUUUACAAAAAGAGUCAUUGCUUCAAAAGUAUUAUUCAAAAUCAUAGUUUUUCCUAAGACCUAAUAACACAAAAUAGGAAGAUGUGCACGAUCACGCCUUCUCCUUCCUACGAUCAUCCGAAGUACCUAAAACAAUAAACUGAAAUUGUAAGCCAAAGCUUAGUGAGUUCCUCCAAAGUACCAUCAUGGAACAUAUAAAAUACAUAGAUUAACAUGUUGGGUCCAUAACCUCCCAGUUGGAUUACCUUGGCUCACAACCUCCCUGUUGGAUUGCCCUGCAUACCACAUACUGGGUCCACUACCUACCGACUGGGUUGACUUAGAUGGUUUGUGGAGUUUGGCCUAUUUUGACCCAAGGAUAUUUUGGAUAAGUUGGUAGUUAUUUAAGUCGACCAAUAUUUUGGGAUAAUAGGUGUCGAGUAGAGCCGGUUGUCAGGGAAGAGAUUUAUUCAGCUUAUGUUCAGACUGAGAGGUGAGUUUUCCUCACUGUACUUACGGGUCGAAGGCACCAAGGCCGACCCAACGAAUUGAUAUCCUGUCUAUACUGAUUGAAGAUAUGUUGAGUAUGCGAUAGAUCUGAAUGAUUAUAUGAUAGUUAUGAUAUACGUUAGACUGGUAGAUCUAUAGGGCUACCUAUGAUUAUUGGUUGUAUAAUCAUCUGUAUGUUGUAUAUAUAUUAUAUGUUAUAUGCCGACAUGUUACAUUGGGGUUGAGACUACUGCUUUGUGUCGUCAGUCAACAGACCAUGUCAAUCCAAUUGGGAUGUUGUGGGCUAGGGUAAUUCAACCAGGAGGUUGUGGACACAAUAUGCUAAUCUGUGUAUUUUAUAUGUUGCAUGAUGGUACUUUGGUGGAACUCACUAAACUUUGUGUUAUAGUUUCAGUUUAUUUUCAGGUACUUCUGAUGAUCGCGGUACGAUGAAGGUGUGGUCAUGCACAUCUUCCUGUUUUGUGUUAUUGGGUCUUGGUGAAAACUCUGAAAGUCAUGACACACUUCAAAUUGAAGUAUUUCGAUGGUACAAUCAAAAUCUCUAUUGGAUAAAAUUUAGUGACAACAACAGAGAAUUAAAAGGUUACGAUUCUUGUGUGUACCAUAUUCAAAUACCCAAAAAGGGAUAUAACUCCUUGUUCGAAAUAAAGCUAAACCAAAAAUUCUCAAGCUAUAGAAUCUUAGUUAUGUACAACUAUGAUGCAUACACUAAGCAACUACAAUAAUGAUGCCAAUUCUAUAUAAGAAGUAAUCUUAGGGUAUCAAGCAUCAUAUAUCAAGAAAUUCUAUCAUGUAAUUCCUGAAGAUCCCUAGCCUACCACUAGCAUAUUGUUCUAUCGUGAAAAACAUAUCAAAUAAUAGUGUGGUUAACUUGGGGUAUACUUUCUUACUCCGGCUGAUCGUACACAUAUCAUCAUUCUUUGGUUACUUUUGAAAACCAUUAAAAAAACUUUUACAGCUCCCUAGUUUGAGUUUGGAUUCACACGAAUGUUCAUCCAAUUCGCUCAAACCAAGGCUCUAAUACCAACUUGUAACACUCCAAAUAUCAUAGAAAAUUAAAAAUUAAAAAUUUCAACCAUUAACCAACAUUGUUUACAAAAAGAGUCAUUGCUUCAAAAGUAUUAUUCAAAAUAAUAGUUUUUCCCAAGACCCAAUAAUACAAAGCAGGAAGAUGUGCACGAUCAUGCCUUCGCCUUCCCGCGAUCAUCAGAAGUACCUGAAACAAUAAACAGAAACUGUAAGCCGAAGCUUAGUGAGUUCCCCCAAAGUACCAUAAUGCAACAUUUAAAAUACAUAGAUUAACAAAAUGGGUCCACAACCUCCCAUUUGGAUUACCUUGGCCCACAACCUCCCCGUUGGAUUGCCUUGCAUACUACAUACUGGGUCCAUAACCUUCCGACUAGGUUGACUUGGCUAGUUUGUGGAGUUUGACCUAUUUUGACCAAAGGAUAUUUUGGAUAAUUUGGUAGUAAUUUAAGUCGGGCAAUAUUUUUGGAUAAUAGUUGUUGAGUAGAGUCGGUUUUCGGGGAAGAGAUUUAUUCAGCUUGUCUUCUUACUCAGAGGUGAGUUUUCCUCACUGUACUUAUAGGCCAAAGGCACCAAGGCCGACCCAAUGGAUUGAUAUCCUGUUAGGUACUGAUUGAUGAUUUGUUGAGUAUGCGAUAGAUCUGUAUGAUUAUAUGAUAGUUAUUGAUAUACGUUAGACAUGUAGAUCUAUAGGGCUACCUGUGAUUAUUGGUUGUAUAAUCAUAUGUCUAUUGUAUGUAUAUUAUAUGUUAUAUGUCAACAUGUUACGUUAGGGUUGAGACUACUACUUUGUGUCGUCAGUCAACAGACCAUGAGAAUCUAACCGGGAGGUUGUGAGCCAGAGUAACCCAGCCGGGAGGUUGUGGGCCCAACAUGCCAAUCUAGGUGUUUUAUAUGUUGCAUGAUGGUACUUUGGAGGAACUCACUAAGCUUUGGCUUACAAUUUCAGUUUAUCGUUUCAGGUACUUGUGAUGAUCGCAGGACGGUGAAGGUGUGAUCAUGCACAUCUUCCUGUUUUGUGUUAUUGAGACUUAGGAAAAACUCUGAUUGUGAAUAAUACUUUUGAAGCAAUGAAUCUUUUUGUAAACAAUGUUGGUUAAUGGUUGGAAUUUUUUUUUUUUUUUAAAUUUUUAUGAUUUUUGGAGUGUUACAUUGGUUUUGUCUUAUAACUGAUCCAAACCCCCACACACCCUUGUUAAUCAUCAAAGAAGAAUCCAAUUAGAACUAAUUCUAUUCAACAAUAACAACCAUAGGGUGUUAGAAAUCCAUUACCUCAAAUGUAGGGAUCUUUUGAUGUCUAAGAACAUUAAUCAAGAUAAAUUAAUAAGGAUAUUCAAUUAAACCAAAGGUCUUUUGGCCUAGCACUAUCAUAUGUUGGAAAAAUGACCCUUCCUAAUGUUAGAAAAACGGGUUAUUUCGAUUGCUUGGAUUCCACUGAAAGUCAUGAUACACUUUCAAAUUGAAGUAUUUCGGUGGUACAAUCAAAAUCUCAAUUGGAUAAAAUUUAGUGACAACAAUAGAGAAUGAAAAGGUUAUGAUUCUUGUGUGUACCAGAUUCAAAUGACCAAAAAGGGAUAUGACUCCUUGUCCGAAAACUGUCAUAUUAACAGUUACAAACUGCCACAAAGCUGUCACUAAACUUGUAACACCCCAAGUUCAGAAGUGCAAGUUCAGGGUUCUUGGUGUAAUUAAGGAAGAUCGACUCGGCGAGUCGAGUCGUGAUUUGGCCAUGUGCUAAGUGACUGACUCGGCGAGUAGGCAGCUAGACUCGACGAGUCAGUGCUGGAGUGAGAAACCCUAAUUCAUGGGGUUUGCACCCUAUAUAAGGAACCUUAAGUCCCACCCCAGCCUCUUUAGGACUCCCUCUGAUGUCCAGAAACUUUCCACAUCGAUUUCAAACCCUAAAUUGAGAGUGAGAGGGAUUUAAGUGUGUUUUGGAGCUUGAAGAAGAAGGAUACUUGAAGCAAGAGUUGGUGGGAUCAUAGAGGAGCGAAGUGGAUCUGAUUUCCUUGCUUCUUGGCAUCAGCAUCAAGGUAAAAAGUUGUUGCCUUGACUUUGUUGUGUUUAGAUGGUUCAUGAAUGAAGUUUUAGGGCCAAUUUAUCAUAUAUGAGCCUCUUUUCGAGUAUUGGGUUUAGAUCUGUGGUUGCUACUACAGAUCUAGACUGGUCCUGACUCAUGAAUCUGGAAAGUGAUAGCUUUGGGGCUUGAUUGAGAGUGUCCUUGCCUUAAAACUUCACUUUAGCUUGAGUAGAGCUUGUUGAGCCUUGCAUGCACGUAAAGUUGGAAACUUUACAUGUAGAUCUUGCCCUAGGAGUCCAGAUCUAUGUAUUGAAAGCAAUAGUUUGGCCUGUGAUCAUCUGAAUGAAGGUAUUACGUAUGGACUCGGCGAGUCUGGGAGAUGACUUGACGAGUCGGACAAAAGAUUUGGAAUGAAUCGCGUAGUAACUCGGCGAGUCACAUGGGUGUACUCGACGAGUUGGAUGAAGAUAGGCAAGAACUCGACGAGUUGGAAGAACAACUCGACGAGUCUAUUGAAGAUUGCCUUGGGCUCAACGAGUCUGUUCUUGGACUCGGCGAGUCUGGUCGAGGAGUCCUAACCUUUUCUGGUUAAGUCGUGAAUCGGUGAGUCGAAGGAUGACUCGGUGAGUUGAGCAUGAAGGGACUCAGAGUUUGUUGGACUCGGCGAGUCUUGGGGCAACUCGACGAGUUGAGUCGUAAUAUGAGAGUUUUGAGUAUGGGAACUCGAAGAGUCAACGAGUUGACUCGGCGAGUAGGGUCAACCAGGAAGGUUGACCUUGACUGAGGACUUGGACUUUAACCAAGGGUUGACCAGUUGACUUCCGGGGGUAUUUUGGUAAUUAUUGGUAUUUAUUGAUUUGGUUUUUGGUAAUGAUCAGUGGCGGAGUUCGUGCUGGUGGUUGGAGCAGCGUGAUCUUAUUCUUCAGUCGGCAGUGACAGUUGAGUUAUCCUCACUAUACUGACAGGGUCUACGGCACCAAGGCCGACCCUCCAUCGGAUGGAAAUCCGGGUAUUGUUGUUAUGUUAUUGCUAUAUGGAGAUCCUUGUUGAUGGAAAGGCGGCCGACGAACGCUCGGUGGACUCUAUAUCCUCAAGGAAUCAAUUUGGAACCCGGAAAAUCAUAUUUAUUUAGGAAUGUAGCAUAUGGUUUUAGAGGUUGUCCUAAAUGGGAGGAUGUGGAUACGGUUAGUUAAGUUUAAUAAUUAUUAUUUUAUAUAUAUAAUAUUACUGAAAUUACUAGUAUUUAAUUUAUAUUUUUUUUGCAGGUUAUAUCUGUAAUAAAUGUUGUGCAUACCCAUUGGUUUUUGGUGGUUCUACAUUUAGAUACCUGGAAAGUAGAAAUUUUUGAUUCAGCACAAGUUGCGGGUUACUUCUCAACAUACAACACUAAUGGAGAAUUCAAAAGUUUUGGAGAUAGUAUUAUCUCAGAGUUGGAUGCCAUUGAUUACUGGAGCCAUUUCCCCCAUUGGACACAGAGACAAGCAAAGGUCGAGUUUUUUGAUGUUUNGACACAGAGACAAAGCAAAGGUCGAGUUUGUUGAUGUUGUAGACGCCCCACAACAAGAAUAUAGUCUUGAAAGAGGGGAUUGUGGAGUAUUUGUAUGCAUGUUUAUGGAAAUGAUUGUUUCUGGGGGUACCAGUGGCGAUUUCAAGGACAUGUAGAGAAGCUGCAUUUCUCUAUAGAAAUAAGAUGGCAAAUGUUAUUUGGGAUACUAUAUAAGUUGAUAUUAGGAACUUUGUAUAUAUAUUAAUAUUAAAUACUUGUUUCUAGUAUGUAAUCGUGUCACUUCUGGUAGUAUGUAAUCUUGUAAUUAUCUUUUAUAUUUUUUAAACAUAAUUCACCAAAAAAUGUUACGAAACCAUACAUUCAAACAAAAUAAACAUUACAAAUAACAUGAAUACAUUACAAUAGAGUCGUCUACAUAAAAAUAAGGUUUCUUACGACUAACAAACAUUAGAUAAAACAUUGGAAAUAAAAUACUCAUCUACUUGAAAAAAACUUUAUCUUUUACCAGAUUCCAAACGUCCGUAUACUCGAAAUCAUGUCCAUCAAACUUGCAUAGGUAAUAUCCAUUCACAUCUUCAAGAAGUUCUUCAUUAUCUGCUUGAGAGCGUCGCAUUUUCUCAGGAUUGUAGCAUCGAUUGAACCAUGUGACCUUAAACUUUAAAUCCAUCCAUUUACUAACAAUAGCAGGUUUUAGUCGUUCGUGUCCUUGCCCGACUUGAUAGUUGAACAAAGCUAUGAGGCGGGACCAUUCAUCACCUACAAGGCAAUUCAGGGGAGCCAUCACUGGUAGACCCUCGUAAAUGGUAAUCCAACUUUGUAUUAGGACCAACAACUCUGUUGGCGUCCAUGGAGAUGUACAAUUUGUUGGAGAGGCUGCAUUAGAUGGAUUUGUUGCAUUCGAAGAACUUGGUACAUUGGACGCCAUUUCUUAAUUGAUCUACUAUCAACUAAAGAAUUGAAUUUCGUAUAGACACUACGUUUAAUAUAUGUACAAACAUAUGUUAUACAAAGAUAUGUCAGUAACGCGGACUGACGAGCCAGUAACGCGGACUUACGAGCCAGUAACGUGGACUGACAACGAUUAAUAUAUAUAAAUAGUUUCUUAAUGCGGACUGACGAGUCAGUAACGCGGACUUACGAGUCAGUAACGCGGACUGACAACGAUUAACAUAUAUAAAAAGUUUCUUAACGCGGACUAACGAGUCAGUAACGCGGUCUUACGAGUCAGUAACACGGACUGAAAACGAUUAAUAUAUAUCAAAAGUUUCUUAACGCGGACUGAUGAGUCAGUAACACGGACUAACAAUUACUAGACAAAACAGUUUUGCGGACUGACAAGACAGAAACACGGAUUGACAAGUCAGUAACGCGGAGUGAUCAUUGGCUUUGCGGACUCACAAGUCAGUAACGCGGACUGACAACGAAGUAACACGGACUAACAACCCCGUAACGCGGAUUGAGAACGCAGUAACGCGGACUAACAAGUCUAUAUAAAACGACAAACAACAAUGUAUCACUUCAUCUAAGGUAUUUUAGUUCAUGUGCUUUGUAUGUUUUACAANUUCAUGUGCUUGUAUGUUUUACAAUGGGUUCAAACCAAUGGACCGCUAACGAGUAUUUCCUUCUAGCUCGUGCAUAUAUUAAUGUCAAAGAGAACACCAGUUUGGAGGAUAUAAUGUUUUUCUCCCAACUAACGAAUACCUUCAACACUGACGCUGAAACCACCAUACAAAACCAUCGCAACACGCUUGAUAUAGCUACAAAAUGGUAUGAAUUGAAAACGGAAGUUGUGUUAUUAAACGAUCUUUAUAAUAAGAUUGAAGAUGAUCAUGUCAAUGAUACUGAGGAAGAGAUCUUGGAGGUGUCUAAAGAAGAAUACAAAUCCAUUAGCAACGGACAGAGUUUCGAGUUUGAAGCCCCUUGGAAUCUUUUGAAAAAUGUACCGUUUUUUUAAGUAGAACUGCAUUUUGUAUUGUUCUUGUAUUUCUUUAUUUAAAUGUAAUAUGGUAUUUAUCCUUUAUUUUAAAAAAAAAUAUUUGACCAACAAAUGUUACAAAACCAUACAUUCAAAAAACAUUAUCUGACAAACAGCUUACGCGGACUGACAAAUAAGCUACGCGUAAUGACAACACAUUUACGCGGACUGACAAGUAAGUUCUGCGGAAUAAUGUAUACUAAUUCCUUAUAAAUUUUGACAACCAUGACGAAAAUUUACAAGGUGUCGAAAGUUGUGAAAAUGAGUUCAGUCAAUCAGGUAUUAAGGAAAAGUUUCUCCAGCCUACCGACUUUUUUCCAUAAGCUGCAAAGAAGCAAUCCUACCACCUUCACGUACAUUACGAAGGAUCGGUACAAUCGUUUCCAAAUUUGUUUCGUGGCAUUGGGAUGCGUGGUAUGUAAUCCCUUAUAGUAAAUAAAUAUUUAGUUAUUUCAAGUUGGUAUAUGCCUAAUAUUCUUAUGUUGACUUACAGAUUCGUACAUUUCUCACGUCUAUGAUAUCAAUCAUAUUCGUUGGUCAAGUACCUCUAAUUGGGGCAUAUGUAACAUCCAUGUACAUUGCUUUUGCUUUAGAUGGAAAUCAUGAACCCCUUCUCAUAGUGUUUGCCUUGGGAACCAUAAAUUGUGACAAUUCAUGGUUAUGGUUCAUAAGGAGGCUUAAAGACUGUUUAGGUGACAAUACAUAAUUUGGUUUCAUAAGCCAUAUGUCUGAUUCUAUGGACUUUGCAGUCCACAGAGUCUACCCUGAUUCAUAUCAUGGCUAUUGUUGUAAAAAUAUAGCCAAGAAAAUACGCGCUUCCAUCGGAACCAAUACAGUCGUAGAACAGUGGUUCUGUAAGACGUGUAAAGCAUAUAAUUUAUCUCAAUUUUAUGCAUGUUUGAACAAUUUAAAAAAUGAGGUAAAUGGGAAUGAUCUUCAUUGGCUUGACAAUAUUCCCAUUGCAAAAUGGGUACGGGCUUGUUUUCCAAGAGUAAGUUUCAAUGUUAAAUUCAUUGACAUUCCCGAUGUUUUCAAUUGGUUUAAAACAAACACGCAUGAGUUUCCAAUAACAACAAUCAUUGAAAUGGUUCAUGACUCGAUGUAAGAAGUUUAUCUUCGACGUGCUGUUUUUGGAGGUAAUUAUAAGUUAUGACAUCAUUAAAACGGUGAAUUGAUAUGUUUAUUAUACGUUAUGACCUUAUAAUUUUUUUUAUUGAUUCAGUUGAUUUCACAGGGGAUAUCCAUAAUCUUCUAACCCCUUAUGCACUUAAGGUGAUUCAUAAAAGAUUUAUCCACUCGGAUGGUUGUAGGAUUACGCAUAUUGUUGGCGAUAGAUAUGAAGUGACUAAGUAUUCAACAACCGAAUAUGUACAACUAGACCGUGGUAUUUGUAGUUGCGGUAAAUGGCAAAAAUGCGGUAUACCUUGUGAGCAUGCUAUAGCUUCACUACACAGACUCGAAAUUGCAGAAAUCCAUCAAAUGGUAAAUUUAAAGUUAAGUACAGCGGUGUAUCGAAAUGCUUAUCAAACUGAGACGGUCUAUCCUAUUCCAACCCUUAGGCAUUGGGAAAAACCAGUCGAAAGUGUUGUGGUCUUACCUCCACGCCAAUUCAAUUGAACUUUAUUGUAUGGAUCACAACGAAUAUUAGUUUUUAUUCAGUUCUAUGUUAACCGUACUUGUAAUGGUUUGUUGGCAUUCUUUACUUUUUAAUAAAAAAAAUGUUUACCUUUAAAUAAAUAAUUGUAUUUUCAUAAUUGUAAUAUGUAUGCAUGACAACGACUAGACAAAAAAACUAUGCGAACUGACAAACGCAGUAACGCGGACUGACAAAAACCUCUACGGACUAACAACAGCUCUCUGCAGAGUGGAAGGGACUAUAUAUAGUCAUGGAUGGUCGUCGGAUUUUUCGUAUAGAGUUAUAAUUUUUUAAAUUUAAAAUGACUUCAUCUUCAUCUUUGUAUAUUUGCUCGUGCAACGAAGUUGAUUGUUUCUAUUGUGAUCCGAUCGACCCUUUUCUUGCACCAUCACCAAAUUUAAGAGAGUCAUAUAUGUCGGAGGAUACUUUGCAACAACUACAAUGGGCUGAAGAACAACAAAAAAAAAGAUAAAGACUCGUCUCGGGCUCUCACUGAACGACGUGACCUCAUUGCGGCGGAGUGCAAAGAUGUUGAGGAAAGGAUGACGAUUACAAAAAAAAAUCAAAAAUCAUGGGGAAUGGAAAAAAAAACNCUAAGAAGAAUCUCAAACUGUCUGAAAAAUGGCUUGCUGACAAGGAUGCAGAAAUGAUAGAACUUGGUAGGCAAAAGGACCGUAUGGAAGAUAAAAUAAGAAUAAGGGACGACUACAUAACAAUGGAGAAAGAAAAGUAUCCUUUGCAAUUCCCUUAAGUUAAUUACCGUUGUUGUACGUUUACUAUAUGUUUCUAGUUUGUUGAAUGUAUUAACUUCGAGUAUUAGUUAUUAUUCUACUAGUAAUUAUGCAGUAAUAUAAUCAUAAUAUUACCCAUCAUCUUUAAAAUAAACACACCAGCUCAAAGUAGACAAAUUAAUGUCCUCUAAAACAAAACAUAAUUAAUUAUAAAUACAACAUCAAUCAUUCAAAUCAAACGUUGAACAAUAGUCUUCUCUCUACGUCCCACUCGUCCAACGCGUGUCUUGUGUCCCGUGCGUCUCUAGCGUCUCCUGAGUCCCUUCUGUCCCUUUCCCUUUUCCUUUUGUGUUACUACUUGAUGUCGUAUUAGUUUUUCUAGCCUUUUUUUGUUUCUUUGGGACCAAUGUCGGACAAGUCGCUGCAUUAUGUGUUGUACUAUCACAUCUACUACACCUUCUUAUUAUAGGUUCCUCACCUUGUGACGGAAUACGAUUUCUGUUUCUCGGUCUACCAGCUUGACGUGUAUCCAUUAUCGGGGGUUUCACAACCAUCAUGUUAGCAGGAAUCUCCCAAUCACACGGUUCUGGAAGGGGGUAAACCGGCUCCUCAUACGUACUUCGGUAUGUUUCCAUUUUGUAAGCAUCUAUAGCCAGAUGUCCGAAGUUAGUUUUUUUCAAGUGCUUCAAGACCAUUAUCACAUGACCACAAGGCAACCCAGUUCCUUCCCAAUAUUUGCAUGUACAAGUCUCUUGCCUCAGAUCAACUAUGCCACCAUGUUUGAAAUCAUGAACUUCAUAAAGUGCAUCUGAAACACCAGAAAUGGACCAUCCUGUCGUACGCUCUUCAUUUUUACUAACUACUUUUUCAGCCCACUCGGUUAGCACUGUUGAACGUUUCCCUAUAAAGAAGAUAUAUAUAAUUAACUAAUUAUUCGACCUAAUUAAAGACAAAAUAAAAUUCAUACCUCCUUCGAUGCGACGCUUGUAACACCAUUCCUGUGAAAGACGUCGGAAGAACUCAAGAAGGGGUAUUAUAGGCAUCUUCCUUGCAUCUACAGAUAAAGCAUUCAUGAACUCUGCACUGUUCGAGGUCAUGUAAUCGUAACGUUUCGAUGGCGAAUAUGCUCUAGUCCAUUUAACACAGGGAAUUUCACUUAGAUACGCUGCUACUUGCGGCCUAGUAGAACUAAAUAUAUACCACAAUUCUUCAAAAACAUUUCUUUUGUAAGCUUUCACAAGCCUCCAAAACAACCCUUUUGUUUUAUCAUUUUUCCCAAACUUGUGUACUAUGUUUCCUAGUGUGACAUCCCCAAAAUCUUGGCCAGAAAAGACCGAUUUCAUUGAUGCUUUUUAAAAUAAUUUCAGAGUAAAUCCUUUUGAUUUUAAAAGAGAUGCGGAAUUUGUUCCCAAAAACAAAACAUGAUAAAAUAGAUCUUUUAUCAAAACAUUUCAUAAAGAAAUAUAAUUUCAUUUCAUAAUCAAAACCGGGAUGUCAUGUUCCGAUACAGACCAUAAAGCAUAAACGAUAACAUUACAAGUCAUUCAACAAAUAUUAUACAUAUGCAGACUUGUAAACAAAACAACUUGAUGAUUCAUCCAUCUUAUGCCCUUACGCCACUUCCUGUAAUACAAGUAAACUGAGUGGGUCAGGCUUGGGAGCCUGGUGAGCAUAUAGGGUUUUCAACCCACAAUAAAUAAUUAUAUUUAAUUCAACAAUCAACAAUAACCCGAUUACCCAUUCCCGUUUUCCUUACUUUACGUCCCUAAAACAACAUCUAUUAUAAGGGACCUAAUCUAGGAGUUUCAUCGGGACAAACAUUACUGCAAAGGGGCUUCCUUAGCAAUAAAUAUCCUAAAGGCAACCAUGAGGGGGAUAUAGUUCACCGGUGAACACGUCGUUCACAAGACCUACAGGUUAUGAGCCUACUAGUGUUCCACAGGACUGUCUAGAAUAGUCCGUGGUCGUCAUCCAUACUCUGCUGAAUGACUAGAAUAACACCAACAACAUCGAGGCCUCUCAUCUGUUUAUUACACACCAACUAUCUACCCAUGUUCUACCCAACAUAUUAGUAGAUAAAAAUAUACAUUUGUAUACAUAGUUUAAAACCUGUAUAGCAUGCUCAAUCAAUACAUUUUUCCACAUAACAGAUGAGGUACACACACAUAACACGUAUUUCAUAGAGAAUAAAUCAGAUCUAUGAGAUAGAAGAAAGUGAAUAUACAUCCACACAUAUAGUCAACAAAGUAUACACGUAACACGUAUUUCGUAUAAAAUACUUCAUAAUAAUGUGUUAGAAGAAAAUGACUACACACUCACUUGAUCAGAAGAUGAUCGGGCAACACUACGACUUGUAGAAGUAGUGUUUCUCCGUAGAUCUGGAAGAUCUUCACAUAAACCGGGCUCCUCGCGGGCAGGUCUUCGGCUCUGAAAUCUCACUUCUCGGGAUUCUCGGGACUUCGGAUCUUGCUUCGGGGCUCGCGAAUAAUAUUGGGGCUUCGGGGUAUGAUUGGCAAGCAAAUCGAGGCAAAAACUAGAGAGAAGAAAGAGUUUGAACUAGAGAAAAUGGUUGAUCUCGCAUUCUAUUUAUAGGCUGCUGGGUCUAGGAUUAUGCCGGGCGUAAUUUCCAGGUACGCUGGGCGUACUAAGUACACUGGGCGUAAUUAGGUUACGUUGGGCGUACUUUGACGUCACUGCAUGCGUCAAUUGGUGGCACUCGAGUAUUGGUCAGACAAGUUGCACCCCUCUGAGUACGCUGGGCGUACUCAAAUUACGCUGGGCGUAAUUUGACUCGUCAAACUUCUAAAUUGCGUAACUUUGGCAUACGAGCUCCGUUUUCGACGUUCUUUAUAUCAACGCGUAGGUUAGACCAUACUCUACAACUUUCAUUUAGACUCAAUUUUUACUUUUAUUUUUAUUAUUUAUUUUUAGUAGGCCGGGACAGGAAAACUUCGUUAUAAAUUCAUAACUUCUUCGUUCGACGUCCGUUCUCGCCUAACUUUUCAUCGUUUCACUACUAACAACGAGAUAUUCGAUUCUCGUUUAGAUUGUUCUGGCUAAAAACCGCUCGAUCUCAAAUCGAGUAUUCGGGCUGCAUACUGCCAAGUCGAAACUUCAGANGAAAAUCAUAUUCCUCAUACGAAGUCAGAUUUGGGCGUUCUAUAUAUAUUUAGAAACCUAGUUUCAACUACUACAACAUUAUCCAAAGAUAUCGAGUUUAUUUUACACUUCAUUUUGACGCUAAUUUUUAUUCUUAAUUCAAUUAAAUUAUAAUAAUUAAGAAAACACACACAUAAUUCACAUAAUUCACAAAUAAUACAUUUUUAUUAUUUCAGAUUGGGUUACAAAGGUUAACCUAGACUAUUACAUUGCUAAAAAUGGCAAGCCCAUAAUCACGGGCGUUACAAUUUUCUCCACCUUAGAAUGAUUCCGUCCCUGGAAUCACACAUCAACAAAUAAAUGCGGAUAGCGACCCAUCAUGUCACUCUCCGUCUCCCAGGUGAGAUACGACCCAUUCGUGUGUUUCCAACGGACAAGCACUAACUCAACCAUCUUACGUCGCAAUUUCUUAGUCUUCCGGUCAACGAUUGCUUCUGGUUCUUCAAUCAAUCUUUUGUUUUCAUCAAUUAUUAACUCUGAAAGUGGAAUCAUGUCGGGAACUUCUCCCGUGAACUUCCUCAAGUAACACAUAUGAAAAGUGUUAUGAAUUCCAUUCAGUUCUUCGAGUAGUUCGAGCUUGUAAGCUUGGUUCCUAAUUCUCUGAAGAACUUUAAACGGUCCAAUAAACCUUGGACUUAACUUUCCCCUUUUACCACAUCUUAUAAGUCCCUUCCACGGCGAGACUUUAAGCAAAACCGAAUCUCCAACUUCAAAAGUCAUCGGUCUUCGCUUUUUGUCAGCAUAGCUCUUUUGACGGUCGUGAGCUGCUAACAUUCUUUCCCUAAUUAUUUUCAACUUUUCAGCCGUUUGAUGGACUAUCUCUGGUCCCAUAAACUGCUUUUCCCCAGCCUCAAGCCAACAAGACUGCGUACGACACUUCUGUCCGUACAAAGCUUGAUAAGGUGCCAUCUUAAUGCUCGAGUGGAAACUAUUAUUAUAGGAAAAUUCUACCAAUGGUAAAUGUUCAUCCCAAUUACCUAGGAAUUCCAAGGUACAUGCUCUCAGCAUAUCUUCAAGUGUUUGUAUCGUUCUUUCACUCUGACCAUCAGUCUGCGGAUGGUAAGCUGUGCUUAAACACAACUUGGUACCCAAUUCCUCUUGUAGACUUUUCCAAAACCGUGAGGUGAAACGACUAUCACGAUCCGACACAAUUGUUAACGGAACACCGUGAAGCCUCACAAUUUCCUUCACGUAAGAAUUCGCAAGCUUUUCCAUAGACCAUUUCUCAUUGGCUGCUAUGAAAUGCGCACUCUUAGUGAAUCGAUCAACGACCACCCAAAUCAUGUCGUGACCAUUCUUUGUUCUGGGCAGUUUAGUGACAAAAUCCAUAGCAAUGUCUUCCCACUUACCCAUAGGCACAGGCAAUGGUUCUAAACUCCCGUACGGUUUCUGAUGUUGUGUCUUGACUCUCGCACAAGUCACACACUCGGCCACAUACUUUGCAACAUCAAGCUUCAUCGUCGGCCACCAGUAGUAGGGUUUCAGGUCCCUAUACAUUUUAGUGCUACCCGGAUGAAUCGAGUACAUGGUCUUGUGAGCUUCUUCCAUCAGAAGAUCUCUGACUCCUCCUGUCUUAGGUAUCCAAAUCCGAUCUUGGAACACCUUCAGUCCAUGACUGUUUACACCGAACACCAACGUUUUGCCCAAACGUUCCUCCUUUCUGUCAUUCUUCUCAGAAGCUUCGCUCUGAGCUUUCUUUAUACUUUCCAAAAUAGUUGAGACAACUUCAAUUCUCAACGCUCUUGGCCUUUUCCUUUCGGGAUUGACUUUCCGACUGAGAGCAUCAGCAACAACAUUAGCUUUACCGGGGUGGUAAAGUAUCUCGCAGUCAUAGUCUUUAAGUAAUUCUAGCCAGCGUCGUUGCCUCAUAUUCAAUUCUUUCUGAUUAAAGAGGUAUUGGAGACUCUUAUGAUCAGUGAAAAGUUUGCACUUCGUGCCAUAGAGGUAAUGCCUCCAUAUUUUCAGAGCGAAAACUACCGCUGCCAACUCCAAAUCAUGAGUCGGGUAAUUCUUUUCAUGCUCUUUCAGCUGUCGAGACGCAUAUGCUAUCACCUUUUCUCUUUGGGUCAAAACACAACCCAAUCCAACACCAGACGCAUCGCUAUAAACAGCGAAGUCUUCAACUCCAUCGGGUAGAGAAAGUAUCGGUGCCUCGCAUAGCUUCUUCUUUAACUUCUCGAAUGCUUCUUUAUGCUUCUCACUCCAAGCAUAAGUAGCUCCUUUGUGGGUCAAAGCUGUCAAUGGAGUAGCAAUCGAAGAAAAGCCUUGGAUAAACCUUCAAUAAUAUCCGGCUAAUCCCAAAAAGCUUCGAAUCUCCGUGGGACUUUUCGGUUGUUCCCACUUCAUCACAGCUUCGAUCUUCGCUGGAUCAACCAUUAUCCCUUCUUGGUUGACCACGUGACCCAAGAAUUGUACUUCUCGAAUCCAAAAAUCACAUCUGGAGAACUUUGCAUACAACUUAUCCUUCUUUAAAACUUCUAACACUUCUCGCAAGUGUCUGCCAUGCUCCUCCUGGCUUUUCGAGUAAAUCAGAAUGUCGUCUAUGAACACUAUNGAACGGAUUACAAACCCUGUUCAUUAAAUCCAUGAAUGCUGCUGGAGCAUUGGUUAGUCCAAACGACAUAACCAAAAACUCGUAGUGCCCAUAUCAUGUUCUGAAUGCAGUCUUCUCUAUAUCCUGCUCUCUUACUUUUAGCUGAUGAUAUCCUGACCUCAGGUCGAUUUUUGAAAAAUAACUUGAACCUUGUAGUUGAUCGAACAGGUCAUCAAUCCUCGGCAACGAAUAUCUAUUCUUUAUUGUUGCCUUGUUCAGUUCUCUGUAAUCGAUGCACAUCCUCAUACUUCCAUAUUUCUUUUGACGAAUAACAUCGGAGCUCCCCAGGCCGAUGAACUAGGUCUUAUGAAACCUUUGUCCAAUAACUCCUGAAGUUGCAUCAUCCGCUCCUUCAUCUCCAUCGGUGCUAGUCGGUAAGGUGCUUUUGCUAUAGGCGUCGUUCCCGGCAACAAGUCGAUACGAAAUUCUACUUGUCGAUCAGAAGGUAAUCCAGGAAGAUCUUCGGGAAAUACUUCCGGAUAAUCACAUACGACAGGAAUAUUCUGCAUCACCUUUUUUUCCUUCUUAGCAUCGAUCACGAAUGCUAAAUAUGAUGUACACCCCUUGGUCAAACAUUUUCUGGCUUUCAUUAGAGAAAUGAUUCCAGAAUUUACUCUGCGUUUAUCUCCAUACACCAUAAACGAUUCCUUCCCAGGCGGGUUCACUUUCACUAUUUUCUUCUUGCAUAAAAUUUCGGCAUCAUUGGCGCUAAGCCAAUCCAUUCCCAAAAUGAUGUCGAAACUGUUAAGUUCGAUAUAAAGGAGUAGUUUUCUACCAAAUUCAUGCGAUAUAAAGGAGUAGUUGGCUCCAGAAUCAAAUAAAAUUUGGGCAGACGAUUUGUUUACGAGAAAGGUACCUGAACGACAUCAGCUUCAUCUUUAGCAGCUUCCAGUGUCAUCUGGAAUGCUCUCGCCUUCGGCUUUGGCGAAAUGUUGGGUUUUGUUGCCUCCUUCUUCUUCGGACAAUCUCUUGAUAUGUGCCCUUCCUCACCACAACCAUAACAAACAUUCUUGGUGAGGGUGCAGUCGUUGGCAUAAUGCCCUGGCUUUCCACAUUUCAAGCAUGUGGCUUCCCCGCCGCACUUCCCAUGAUGCUUCUUCUUGCAUUUGUCGCACCAUUUCGCUUCGCCUCCUCCACCCCCUCUCGAACUAGACUUCGAGAAUUUACCCUUUUUGCUGGACCCUGAAGAUCCCUCGAACUUCCUCUUUUCACCAACCUCUGACCUUUCCAGACCUUUUUCCCUGAUCUGGGUCUCAACAUUUCUAGCAGCCCAGAUGGCGGCUUUCAAUGUGGUUGCUUGCUUAACCAUUAGACCAUAGUCCGCUGGUAGUCCAAGGGCAAACUUGUUGACCUUAGAGAGUUCUGUAGGCACCAAAUAUGGGAUAAACUUCAUCUUUUCUGUGAAACUUGCAGCGUAUUCAGUAACGCUCAAUUUCCCUUUCUUCAAAUUCUGAAACUCAUUACUGAUUUCCAGAAGGUCCUGCUCGGAGCAGUAUUGCAGUUUUAGUUGUUCCACAAAGUCUUCCCAAGACAUUUUGCUUGCUUCUCCCUUGGGCAUAGAGUCAGCUAACAGCUUCCACCAACUCAACACGCCAGAUUUUAGCAGAGGGAUCGCAAGAGCGGUCUUCUGCCUGUUGCUGCAUUCGCAACUUUCAAACAUAGUCUCCAUUUCGGAGAUCCAGUCCAUAACUUGCACCGGCGUCGGGCUUCCGGAUAGACAUGGUGGUUUGGAUGCCAUGAAAUCCUUAUACUUGCACCCACGACCAUCAUUUCCUCCAUACUGGUUAUUGCGUCUAACCACUGGUUGUUCGUCUUGACCAAUGAUCCCACUAAAGUUUUCUCCUUCAGACUGCCCUCCAUUCUCCUCGGGCUCUUCCGCUUGAAUUGACGGUUCUUCACGAUUCUGCCUAAGCAGGCGUCUUGUUUCUUCCAUCUGACGAUCCAACAUCAUUUGAAUCAUCAUUUGUACACCAGCCAUUGUUAUCGGCUCAGGUGCAUCAGCUACGACAGGUACUUGUUGAAUUACAGGCGGUUGAUUCCUGUUUUCAUCAGCAUUUCCAACUCCGCUUCUUGUUCUCACCAUUUUUGAUCUACACACCGAAUAAUUUCACCUUAUUACUCCAAACGAUUACAUGCUAGUUCUAAUAUCGUAUACAUACGCUUAGAAUCCUAAACACAUAAACCUUCAGAUCCGGUUGGCAACAAACCGUAGAUCCGAACAAAUAAUAUCAUAUAUGGCAACAUAUAACAUUUAGCACAUAAAAGCAUUUUAGGCAACUUUCCUAAAAUAAACUAGUGCUCGUGUCUAAAAUUUAUCAGACACACAUCUCACAAUCUCCACUUAGCAUACUAAGUUUAAGUCUAGAAAUCCUACAAAUUCCUAGUUCGCUUAAACUAAUGCUCUGAUACCAACUGUGACAUCCCCAAAAUCUCGGCCAGAAAAGACCGAUUUCAUUUAUGCUUUUUAAAACAAUUUCAGAGUAAAUCCUUUUGAUUUUAAAAGAGAUGCGGAAUUUGUUCCCAAAAACAAAACAUGAUAAAAUAGAUCUUUUAUCAAAACAUUUCAUAAAGAAAUAUAAUUUCAUUUCAUAAUCAAAAAUCGGGAUGUCAUGUUCCGAUACAGACCAUAAAGCAUAAACGAUAACAUUACAAGUCAUUCAACAAAUAUAUACAUAUACAGACUUGUAAACAAAACAACUUGAUGAUUCAUCCAUCUUAUGCCCUUGCGCCACUUCCUGUAAUACAAAUAAACUGAGUGGGUCAGGCUUGGGAGCCUGGUGAGCAUAUAGGGUUUUCAACCCACAAUAAAUAAUUAUAUUUAAUUCAACAAUCAACAAUAACCCGAUUACCCAUUCCCGUUUUCCUCACUUUACGUCCCUAAAACAACAUCUAUUAUAAGGGACCUAAUCUAGGAUUUUCAUCAGGACGGACAUUACUGCAAAGGGGCUUCCUUAGCAAUAAAUAUCCUAAAGGCAACCAUGAGGGGGAUAGAGUACACCGGUGAACACGUCGUUCACAACACCUACAGGUUAUGAGCCUGCUAGUGUUCCAUAGGACUGUCUAAAAUAGUCCGUGGUCGUCAUCCAUACUCUGUUGAAUGACUAGAAUAACACCAACAUCAAGGCCUCUCAUCUGUUUAUUACACACCAAUUAUCUACCCAUGUUCUACCCAACAUAUUAGUAGAUAAAAAUAUACAUUUUUAUACAAAGUUUAAAACCUGUAUAGCAUGCUCGAUCAAUACAUUUUUCCACAUAACAGAUGAGGUACACACACAUAACACGUAUUUCAUAGAGAAUAAAUCAGAUCUAUGAGAUAGAAGAAAGUGAAUAUACAUCCACACAUAUAGUCAACAAAGUAUACACGUAACACGUAUUUCGUAUAAAAUACUUCAUAAUAAUGUGUUAGAAGAAAAUGACUACACACUCACUUGAUCAGAAGAUGAUCGGGCAACACUACGACUUGUAGAAGUAGUGUUUCUCCGUAGAUCUGGAAGAUCUUCACAUAAACCGGGCUCCUCGCGGGCAGGUCUUCGGCUCUGAAAUCUCACUUCUCGGGAUUCUCGGGACUUCGGAUCUUGCUUCGGGGCUCGGGAAUAAUACCGGGACUUCGGGGUAUGAUUGGCACGCAAAUCGAGGCAAAAACUAGAGAGAAGAAAGAGUUUGAACAAGAGAAAAUGGUUGAUCUCGCAUUCUAUUUAUUGGCUGUUGGGUCUGGGAUUACGUUGGGCGUAAUUUCCAGGUACGCUGGGCGUACUCAAUACACUGGGCGUAAUUAGGUUACGUUGGGCGUACUUUGACGUCACUGCGUGCGUCAAUUGGUGGCACUCGAGUAUUGGUCAGACAAGUUGCACCCCUCUGAGUAUGCUGGACGUAAUUUGACUCAUCAAACUUCUAAAUUGCGUAACUUUCGCAUACGAGCUCUGUUUUCGACGUUCUUUAUAUCCACGCGUAGGUCAGACCAUACUCUACAACUUUCAUUUAGACUCCAUCGGCUAAUUUUGACUUUUAUUUUUAUUAUUUAUUUUUAGUAGGCCGGGACAGGAAAACUUCGUUAUAAAUUCAUAACUUCUUUGUCCGACGUCCGUUCUCGCCUAACUUUUUAUCGUUUCGCUACUAACAACGAGAUCUUCAAUUCUCAUUUAGAUUGUUUCGGCUAAAAACCGCUCGAUCUCAAAUCGAGUAUUUGGGCUGCAUACUGCCAAGUCGAAACUUCAGAAAAUCAUAACUUCCUCAUACGAAGUCAAAUUUGGGCGUUCUAUAUAUAUUCUGAAACCUCGUUUCAACUACUACAACAUUAUCCAAAGAUAUCGAGUUUAUUUUACACUUCAUUUUGAUGCUUAUUUUUAUUCUUAAUUCAAUUAAAUUAUAAUUAAGAAAACACACACAUAAUUCACAUAAUUCACAAAUAAUACAUUUUUAUUAUUUCAGAUUGCAUUACAAAGGUUAACCUAGACUAUUACAUUGCUAAAAAUGGCAAGCCCAGAAACACAGACGUUACACCUAGUAUAUGAAAAGCACACAAGCCAUGAUGAGCAUGUGGAAAAACAUUUUCAAUACUAACGCGAAUUGUAUCGGCCCUAUCAGUUACAAAAGUCAAUUCUUGACAAUCACUAACACAUUCAUACAACUUUUCAAGAAACCAUGUCCACGUAAGACCACUUUUUUUUUUCAUAUUCCGUGCGUAAGGGGCAGUAUCUGGUUGUUCCCAUCCAUAGCUACUCCAUGCAAUAUGGUUCCCUUAAAAGCACCCUUCAAAUGGGCACCAUCCAUAAUUAUAACUUUACGACAAAAACUUUUGAACGCUCGUAUCUGCAAUAUAUAAAAAUGGAACACAUAAACACUCUAUAAUUUGUUUACAAAAAUUAUAUAUUAAAUAACAACAAGUUUUUUGUAUUUACCGUGCUCCCAAUGGCAUAAAAACAACACUCGAAACAAUCUUCAGAAUCUGUUUGAAUAUACGCAACUGUACCGGGAUUAUGCCUCUUCAAAUUGUGAAAAUAAAUAGGAAGUUUGGCAAAACAUUCUUCAGAGGAUCCCAACAACAGUUUCAUAGCAUAUUGUUUUGCACGCCAAGCUUGUUUGUAAUCUACGUUGAUUUCCAGCAAAGCAUUCAAAUCCCUUGAUAUUUCAUUAGGCCUCCAAACCUUGGAACGAGUUUUUCCCAUAAUCUCAUGCAAUAUAGUACCCAUGACUUUUUUAUUAGCAUGCUUAUGAUUAGGGUGUAUCUGUAAUGACGAACAUGUGUACACGUUGUUGAAAGUCCUGAUUUCAAAUUCAUCAGUGAGAUCAAGGCGUUUUGCAUACAAACGCCAACUACAGUUCUCAAUUUCACAAUAUACCUCAUAACGAUUUUUGUUAGAAUGUUUGGUCUUAAACUGAAACUUUUCUCUUGUUGCUUUAAGAAUCAAUGCAAAAAUUAGUUGUUGUUUGUUGUCAUAUGUUUGACGAACAAACAUAUCAUCAUUUGGACCUAAACUGUGAAAUGGUCCGGGUUCAACAAUAGGAUCAGGACAAUCAGGUAUGGGAGACAUACCGUAAAAAAUGUCUGAAGCUUUUUUCCCGUAUGUGAACUCAUCUUCUGACCAUCCUUCAUUUGACUCUUCACUGUCUGAGAAAGUUUUGUUAGUCAAUCUUCUAAACCCAUAUAAAUUUUUUUCUUCAACCGUAUUCAGUGCCACCGUUUCUUCUUCUGGACAAUCUUCAACAUUAUCAGAUACAAUGUUAUCAACAUUGUAUGGUACAACUUUCUCAGCUGCUUCUGUCUGUUCGACCAAUCCCUGAAACACCUCUAAAUACAAAUGCACAAUCUCCUUCGUUUCAGAAAUUACAUUUCUGAGUUGAUUAACAUCUGCUUCAUCUAAAAUAUUCAUCACAUACCCAUGAACCGGGUGUUGAAAUGACAAUGAUAUAUUACUAUUGAACACCUUAGCCUUACUUUUGACCAAAUCAAACAAUAUUCGAAAAUCAAAAUUAGGCGGAGGCAGUAAACCCAAGUUGUUUAACUUUGGUCUAACGUAGGUGUUAAUCGCAUUACUUAUCUGCAAAAAACCUCCAGUACAUAAAAUAACAAAACUCAUAUUUGGUUUUGAAAAUCAAAUGAAAACGAACUGAUCUAUCGACCAAAAUAAAACAAACAUAUGAAAAAGAAACUUUUGUAUCAAAAAACUCUUCAAAAUCCGCUCCAACCACCCAUUCCACGGAGGCAUUACUCUCUCCGCAGAGACCCAUUCCGCGGAGCAUGAUUAAAAAGGCUAACAACCUAUUGUUCGACCACUUCGCAGAGAUGACUUCAUUCCGCGGAGGUCCGCGGAGGGUCCUCCGCGGAAUGCAUGUCUAUAGCUGGAAUUUUUUUUUUGUGUCUAAAUUUUUAAAUUUCCCCCUUUUUUCGUCUAUAGCCUAUAUUUUCUCUAAAUGAUUUACAUAUUGAAAGUUCAGAAACAAGUUAAAACUUAAACCCUAAAAGAGCGUACAAAUUUCAAUCGUCAACAUACCCCACCACAAAGGCACAAAUAAUCAAAGAAACAAAUGUAGAUGUAGAGGCCUUUUUCACCACAAUCACCCUUCAUCGGCCAUUUCGAAGGCCACGUGAAAUGUCACUAACGUGGCCCUAUAAAUAUCCACUACUUUGUCUUUAACCUUUCCCCCCUCUCAUAUAAAACCCUCCAUCCUCCUCCUUUACCACCAUCACCAACUACCUUCUCUCCUCCAUCAAAAGUAUCCCCAUCUUUUCCGACAUGGCUGCUUCUUCAAUCUUCAUGGCAACUCCCAUCACACUCCUCAAGAAAACUCCCACCUUCUCCGUCAAAUGUAUGUCACAAACACCUCAAAGCGGUGAACCGGGGGUUUCAAAACCAGCAACCACCCCAACACCACCACAGAUCAACAUUCCUCCUCCUCCGCCACCUGCUCCAAAGGUCAGCACGAAGUUCUCUGACGUGUUGGCGUUUAGUGGACCUGCACCGGAGAGGAUCAACGGAAGGUUAGCCAUGAUAGGGUUUGUGUCGGCGAUGGCUGUGGAACUGAGCAGCGGUCAAGACGUGUUCACCCAGAUCGGCAACGGCGGUGUUGCGGUGUUUGUCGGGACAAGUGUGGUGUUGACGUUGGCGUCGUUGGUGCCGUUGUUUAAAGGAGUGAGCGUGCAGUCGAAGUCGAGUGGACUGAUGACAUCAGAUGCAGAGCUUUGGAAUGGGCGGGUUGCGAUGUUGGGUCUGGUGGCUUUGGCUUUUACUGAAUAUGUUAAAGGCAGUGCCCUUGUCUAGAUAAUGUAUCAUAAACUUUUCUAUUACAGAAUUACAUCUAAGAUAGACAAAUGUAUAUUGUUUUGAAUAUUUAUGUUUAUCGAUUUACCAUACAUAGUUCAAAUCAUAAAAAGCAUGUUUUUUGAUAAUAUAGUAUAAAACAAAUAUAAUAUCAAUCAAAUUGAACGAUGUUGUGGUAUCUUUCAAUAUAAAAUUCUCUUUAUAAAAAUAAACAAACAACGUACUAAGAUAAAUUUUAGAGGAAUGAACUUAGAUUAGCAAUAUAAGAGUCAAAGUCUACAAAUUAAGGUAUUGAAAUCCUAGUUUCACAACUUCCUCUUUGAAUGUUGAACUGAGGUGAUCUUCAUUAAUUCAGACUGAAUAAGUGACUUAGUCCAGCCUAGUCAAUUAGCUAAUUUAAGAUGACAAGUAUCCAAAAUUCAAAAACAUUAUAGAGCUCAAUUUCAAACAAAAGUGACAAAUGACUAAUGCUCACAAAACGAUCACCGAAUCAUUCAAAGCAUUUACUAAAAGCCAGUCUAAUUCUUAUUGGUUUGAAAUCUAAUUUUAUCAUCAACUGUAUACAAGAUUGAGAUUGAUAUCAGAGUAAUAAUCUCUAAAAGCAAAAUAAUGUAUUCAAAAGAAUAUAUAUACAAAAUGAAUUAUGUCCCAAGCAGUACUGUGCAUGAGUAUAAGAUUACUAUUAUGUUGGGAUCCAUUAAUUGAUAACUAAGCACACUUCCAAAUUUACUAUAUGGAAUUUAGUUAAGGAUUAAUGUCAAGUGGGGUGCAUCCACCCCACUCAAAGGCCUUGUAUAUGUUACGGUCCCAAGUGAUAUUUUAUAAGGGUCUUUUUGUAGUUUUUCUUUUCCUAAUAUAUUAACAUUUUUUUUUGAUAUUUUUGGAACUUUUUAUUUUCUGAGAAAAGUAUACAAAAUAAUGUAUAUACAAGCUUACUUGAAGAUAUGAUCGUUUAUGAGGUUAUUCAAGACUUAUUCUCUUGAAGUAUCUAUUCCUAGCUAGAUAUGAACAAAUGUGUUUGCAUUUAUCCUUUUUUGCCCUUUGUCAAUUCUUGACUAAUAAGGUAAUGGUAGUUCUUGGUGAGGGAUUCACCUCUGUAUUGAUUCUUCAUUCUAUUUAAAUGUUUGGAUUCACCUCUGUAUUGAUUCUUCAUUCUAUUUAAAUGUUUGGAUUCACCUCUGUAUUGAUUCUUCAUUCUAUUUAAAUGUUUGGAUUCACCUCUGUAUUGAUUCUUCAUUCUAUUUAAAUGUUUGGAUUCAACAAUGUCUAGUUGAGUAGUUCUUUAAAAGCACAUUCUACCAUAUGCAUCUUUAUGUCAAUAUUAAUUGGGGAUUCCAUAAACUGAAACUCUUGGAGCUCAAUAGUGUAGUUGAAAAACUUUUGUUGAGCCCACCACUUACAUGAAAUAGGAGACUUUUUUCAAUAAACUAAGUGGUUCCUUCUUUAUGGAUCAUCUUUUCGUUUCUCCUUUUGAAAGGUCCCCUGGUGAUACUUUUAUGUGUUAAUGAAACUCAGUCCUUAUGGCAUGCUUUUUGGAUAUGAUAGUACGUGACUAUCAAGAGCUUAUUUCUACUCAGUAUAGUCAUACUCUCAUAAGUCUCUCAAGAUUUUACACUCAGAAGCAUCGUUAGAUUGUAUGGCUACCUACCUUGUACUAUAAGCAUGUUUAUUAACAUUUAGGGAUUUAUUUAGAAGGAUAUCAUUUUUCAUAUUUUUUGUCUAACACCAGAUCUUUUUUCUCAGCUCAAUUGUUUCAAGUAAAACUAAGUGUCUUCUUGAUUCGACAACAAACCAUUGGUCAUCUUUCCGAUUUCAAGUAUUUUGCAUAUCCUCUCAAAACUUCUUUAUUUUUUAACACAAAUUCAAAAACUAUUAGGUAUCGGGAUUUUAAGGCUUCUUUAUUUUCACCCUCAAUUAGAUUCAUAUUUUUCAUUGCCUUGCAGAUUUCCUUUUUAGUUUGAGUCUAUUUAUCACGAGCCUGAAGUCAUUUUCUUCCCCUACCCUUGUUAGUUUUGGCUAUUGCUAGUGCACGUACUUCAUUGGCUAAAUGAGAAGACACCUCGAUAAUGGUGGAUGACUUGGUGAAAUUUAUAGGUUGUUCCUUAGGCUAUCCAAAGUGGAGGUAGAAGAAGACGCAUGAUGCUGAAUGGACAUCCAAGUCAUGCGUGAACACUGCCCGAUGGCUUGGCUAUGGAGUCUCCAUGAAGACGAUGCAUUCGAUUGGUUUAGAAUCUGGUCCCUCAUAUUUUCUCUCCUCCUUUUUGUCCCUUCACUACCAACCCACCGGUAAACACCAUUUCCACAACCUAAUGGGUUGAUUGUGGAAUGGUAAACUACCUAUGUGGCGCUGAGUUAGAAGGUGUUUUGGAUAUAACCACUCCCCACAACCUUAGCAUUAGAACAUCCUGAUGCUCCACAUGAACUAAGAACAUCACUUAAUCUUCAUUAAAUACUUUGGGGUUGUACUCAUAAAGUAAAAUAUCUCCCCCCUUAGACAUAUCAUCAUUUUCCUCAUCUGAUGACCAAGGAAUUUGUGGAGAUAUAUGUGACUUUGGAUUAAAGGGGGUUAUAUUGGUCAUCCUUUUUAGACAACUUUUUAAAUUAAUCAAUCCAAGCUCCUAUACCGACGACAUUUUCUGGAAUCUCUUUAGAUGGGGAUGAUGGUUCAUUAAGCGACGACAUUUUCUAACCGUGUACCGACGACAAGUCGUCACAGACAAGUCAGGAUAGGUCAAAAAAGUCGUCGGCAUAGGUGUCGUCGGGAUAGGUACCCCAUAUACCGACGACAUGACGUUGGUACAAGUACCGUCUGGAAUGAUUUUCGAGAAAAAAAAUAAAGUUUUAUUAAUUACUUGUGGCGACGACAUGUCGUCGGGACAGGUGCCACCUAUAGCGACGCCAUUUUGUCGCCACAUGUUUUCCACAAAUAUCAAUCAAAUACCUAUAGUGGCGACUAGUCGUUAGGAUAGCCACUGGGUGUUUUUUUUUUUUUUUUUUUUUUUUUUUUUUUUUUUUUUAGUUUUUACAGAUUUUGUACAUUUACCAUUCGUGCAUUUUUAACAAAUCCAAACAUUUUGCAGCAUAUAUCAAAUAAGAUACAAUAACUGGGUACCAUUGUUUAAAUUCAAAACAUCAAAUUCAAGUUUAAUAUUACAUACCGAAUUAGAUAAAAUAAGUAGUUAACAUUGUUCAAAAUAACACAAAACAUAAACAUCAUUAUAUUCUUUUUUUUUUCUUCUUCUUCUUCUUCCAUCCUCUCGGGUUCACAUUUUGUUGAGAGGUAUUUCCUUGUGAUGUACUUCCUUCUGUGUUGGAAUUGAAUAGAAAACUAGCAAACGGUGGUGGUUGUGUAACAUCCCAAAAAUUUUAACAAAUAUGAACUUUUCAAAACAACCCAUUUAUUAACAAAAGUGUUUACAAAAACAUGAUUUAAAAUUAGAGUCUCCCAAGAUCCACUUUGUUCUAAAACCGAGGAUGCGUACGGUCACGCCUUUGCCUUGCCAUGAAUCAUUUGAAGAAACUGAAACCAUAAACAAAUCGUAAGCAAGAAUCUUAGUGAGUUCCUCCAAAAUACCACCGCACAAACAGAUAGCACAUAAAUAACGACAACAUGUACUAGGUCCACAACUAAAAGACUGGAUUACCCCUGAGCCUAUAAUAUGAAUCUGGCUUGCCUAUUGGGCCCACAACUCAUAUCUGGUUUGCUCUUGAGCCCACAACAUAAGUCAGACUUGCCCCUGGGGCUCACAACUUAUGUCAGGCUUGCUCCCAACUCAAUCAGUCAUCGGACUAGAAUACCAAUGUUCAGCCCUGUGACAACCUGAAAUUUCCAUUCUGAACAAACCAUAUCAAUCCAAUAGAAGUUAGAACAGUUACAAUGAAAUUCCAGACUUUGGGCAUAAGUUUGACAGUUUUUCAGGAUUUACACUUAAGGAGAUAUCAGGAGAGUGGAUGCACUAGGGUUUUGUGCAACACUGUUAUUCCAAAACUCUAGGAUAUUAGGGUUCAAUUCCGGAAUAAAAAUAUUUUCUGCCAAAAAUCUCAGGACUAUAUAUAGAAAUCUGAGCCAUAUUCAUUCAUUAGUUACAUUUCCAACUAGAGAAAAGCCAAAUUCUCUCUCACGGAUCUUCAGGUUUUUAUCCCAAAUCGUGAGUACUUCUAUCUAGUUGUAUUAUAUAGCUUAGAUUGUUUUUUAUAACAUCAAAAUCGGAUCAAAACCCCAAGAUUUGGGAGUUUACCGCCCAAGAACACUUGGAGAGUAAACUCCUUUUUAAGGGCCAAAAGUGUGCCCAAUGUCCCUCAAAGCCUUGGGAAUGAACCUAGAAGCUACCAUUACAUGUUUAAGACCACAAAACAAUUAAGAAUCAUGGCUAGAAGUGAGUUCACGGCCAAGGAAGUUCUUCGUCCGUGAACUCCAUUUUUAUGUGCCAAAAUGCCCUAAAAGCCUUCCUUAAGCCAAGAGACUAAUUUAGACAUGUACCUAGAUGAGUUUAGGACUAGCAAACACCUUUAGAACACCAAGAGUAAGGUGUUCACGGCCCAAGAAGUUCUAGGGUCGUGAACUCCAAACAAUGGUGCCAAAUGGUGCUAUAAACUCUCCUAAAGCCUUGGACAAUUUCCUUGCUUCAUUCUUAGAUAAAUUAGGGACUUGAAAACACCACAAACACCCUCCUAAGGGAGAUUACGGCCGUAAUCUCCAUGGGAUAUGGUCCAUGGCGCGUGAACUCCUCAAAGGAGUUAAAAGGAAGCCCAAACACUUGUUUAAGCCUAGAAGCACUUCACCACUUAAGUUGUAAUAAUGUUAGGCUUCAUUUAGUGACCCUAUAGAGAGUUUACGGCCAAGAGUUUACUCCCCUAGGCCGUAAACUCCAACACAUAUGGUCUUUUGACCAUAAACUCCCAUAAGAGGUCUUGCACUCCUUUGUUGCAACCCAUUAGCCUCCUAGCACUUGACCAAAGUGUUUUCCUCACAUUAGGAUGUUUAUACAUGUUUAAUUAGUGUUAUAAUCACUAAUUGUUUAUAUACAUAUGUCUUCAUAUGUAAUUAGGACCAUUGUGUGUGUCUAAAGUCUUCACUUGACACCUAGCAGUCCUACCUCUUCAGUUCAUCCGUAUCACCCACAACAGGUGAGUUUAUACCUNGGGGAUACAAGUAGAAUUAUGCUAAUUAUUAUAUCAAUCACAGGUGAUUAAUAAGCAGCAUUCAAAUGAUUAGCUACUCAUUAGCCGUUUUACCAAACCGUUUCCUUCAAAUGUUUUUCAUAAACACCUUAUGUGUUUAAAACUCCUUAUUACACUGUACCUUUUAUUCUGUAUGUUUCAAUUCAAACUUAUUUACAAUUGUGUUUCAAACAAAUGUUUCUUUAUACUAAACUAUUUUGUCAAACCCAUGCCUUCAAAACCGUUUUAUAGAUUGACAUCAAGUCGAUCUUUUCUUAGAUAAUAAUUAUGUUCAAAGGUUUUACAAAACUUAUUUUAUGUUUUUAUAUUAUAAAUUGGAUGCCUAUAUAUGCAUAGUUAUAUAAUAAAUGUUGAAAGGACUUAGGAAGGCUAUCCACCCUAUUUCCUUUUCCUCGAUUUGGAUGUGGUCUGGUGGGAUAUCAGGUACCCGUCCGAAGGUUGUUUAAAUAUUAAUUAUAUAUCAUGUGUACGUAUAUAGUCAUAAAAGUCCUUCCAGCUCAGCCAAUGCCCUUGGGUAGCAAGGGUAUAUUUAACAUCCCCCUCUUGCACGUAUCACAAUAUUAUCCGCUUUGGGCCACUCGGCACGAGGACUUCCCAGGGGGUCACCCGUCCUGGUACUACUCCCGCCCGAGCACGCUUAACUACAGAGUUCUUAUGGGAUUUGCUGCCCUCACGGCUUUAAAACGCGUUGUGCUAGGGAAUGUAUCCACACCCCUUAUAAGGAAUGCUUAGAUCUCCUUCCCAGCCGAUGUGGGAUCAGAUCUAACCCACUUUCACCCCCCAUUAUAGGGUUCGACGUCCCCGUCGAACACAUCGACCCAUGCCCUGGCUCUGAUACCAAUUGUGACAUCCCCUAAUUUCUCGGCCAGAAAAUACCGAUUUAAUUUAUGCUUUUUAAAAUAAAAUCAGAGAAAUCUUUUUAAAAGAUGUUGCGGAAUUGGUCCCCAAACAACAUAUGAUAAAAGUUUAUCAAAAUCCUUCAUUAAGAAGGUAUAUAUUUUCCAUAUAUAUCAAAACCUCGGGAUUUCAUGUUCCGAUACAGAUCAAAAGCAUAAACAAGACAUUAUAAGCCUUUCAACAGUUAUUUACAACUACUGGCCUAUAAUCCAAAAAUUCUCUCGUCGUCCUCCGACUAUGCUCAGGGUCCACUACCUGUAAUCAUAAAAACUGAGUGGGUCAGGCUUGGGAGUCUGGUGAGCAUAUAGGGGUUUCAACCCACAAUAAUAAUAUACUUAUUAAGUUCACCAAUCAACAAUAACCCUGAUUACCCAUUCCCGUUGUCCUCACUUUACGUCCCUAAACACCUAUCACAAGGGACCUAGCCUAAGGAUUAUCAUCGGGAUGGACACUACUGCUAAGGGGUUUCCUCAGCCAUACAUGUCCUUAAGGCAACCAUGAGGGGGAUGAAGUACGCCAAUGAACAUUUAAUUCAUCAACACCUACAAGUUGCGAACCUGCUAGUGUUCGACUGGACUAUCUAGAAAGUCUGUGGUCGUCAUCUAUACUCCGCUAGAUGACUACAACAACAACAACAACAACAUCGAGGCCUCUCACCUUUUUAACACACAUCAACUAUUUCAUCUACCCAUGUUCUACCCAACAUAUUUUGUAGAUAAAAAGAAUAUACAGUUUGAAACUUGUAUAAAACAUCAAAUCAAUAGUCACCUUAGUUAAACAAUUACUAUAUUUACACAUAACACGUAUUUCAAGGUAAAUACUUCAUAUCUAUGUGUAAAUUGAAAGUAACUACACACUCACAUAUUUUGAUGAACAUCGGGCAACAAUUCAUUUCCUAAAACGAUCGUUUCUAAUAAAACCGGGAGUUUUAUUGAGAAACUGGGCUCUGCAAAAGUCGGGGUUUGAAACCGAAAAGAUAAAUUUUCCGGGCUUCACGGGCACUUCGUGGAGUAUUCCGGGCUUUACAAUCGAUACCGGGGCUUUGCGGGAUGUUAAGAUGAAGAAAAUAUGGGUUUAGGGGUUAAAUAUGGCAAAAUUUCAAAGUUACCUGGGAGGUCUCGCACCCUUCUAUUUAUAGGGGCGAGGCUUCUGAUCCAACGGAUAGAAAGAGGACACGCGUCGCAGAUCCGAAGGCUCGCAGGGAAGCCUCGCACGUGGCUGCGCAUGGCUCGCACCUGUGAGGGGCUCGCUGGCAGCUUGUGAUUGGACCGAGGUCUAGGGUCCGAAGUAGAGGGUUCGUGGCAUGUUGCGAGGGCUCGGUCUCGUGCAUGAGGGUACGUGUCACCUUCUCAGUGGACCACUUCGGAUAAGGCCAUGUGCUCGGAUGACUCAGCAGCUCGGGUGACUCAACAGCUCGGAUGACUCAGCAGGACACAUGGCACUUUUUCAGCGAGGGUGACGUGGCAACUCGUGACUAUGCGAAUUUUCUCGAUUUUCGCGCCAAAACUUCUAAAAUCCAUAACUUUCGCAUACGAGCUCCGUUUUUGACGUUCUUUAUAUGCACGCGUAGCUAAAAUUACGCUCUACAACUUCCGUUUAGACUUCGUCGGCUAAUUUUGAAUUUAAAUUUUAUAUUAUUAUUUUUAACAGACCGGGACAGGAAAUCCGUUAAAAAUUCAUAACUUCUUCAUCCGACGUCCGUUUUCAUCAGAAUUUUUACCGUUGUGCUCCUAAUGACGAGACCUUCAAUUCUCGUUUAGGUUGUGUCGGCUAAAAAUCGCUCGAUCUAAAAUUCGAGUUUUUUAGCUGUCUACUGCUAAGCUGAAACUUCGAAAAAUCAUAACUUCCUCAUACGAAGUCAGAUUUGGGCGUUCCUUUUAUCGAACUUCUCAGUUUAACGACUACUACGACUUUCAUUUAGAUUACUAAGGCUAAAAAGUAGUUUAUCGAAAACUCACUUUUUACAACAUUCAGCACCGUGCCGGUUUUGUCGCGAAACUUCGACAUGUCAUAACUUCUUCGUUAUAACUCGGAUUUUGGUAUUCUUUAUAUCCCCGAAAUCCUUGUUUCGACCACUACAAAUUUAUGUAAAGAUAUCGGGCUUAUCUCCCACUUUAAUUUUGACGCUUAUUUUUAUUCUUAACUAAUUAAGCCCUAAUAAUUAAGCAUAAAACACAUAAUUCAUAUAAUAUUCACAUAAUUCCUUUUCAUUUCUUCAAAAUGAGUUACAAAGGUUAACCUAGACUAUCAACUCAAUAUAAAUGCCUAGGAUAGAAACAUGAGUGUUACAAAUUGUAUCAAGACAUGUUAUAUGGACGUGUUGAACUUCCGUGUCCAUUUCUCCUUCUGCUGUUUGUUCUUCUAAAGAAUGAGGAAAGAUAUCCAAGUCUAGCAUAUGCAGAGAACUAGCAACAAGUAGAUCUAAGUCGUCCAAGUUGUUGGCAAUUUCGACUGGACUCGUCGGGUCUAGGAAAGUGACUCGGUGAGUCAGAUCAUAUUUCACCAUUUCCACUGUGUUUUCCGAGUCGGCUCCUUCCAGUAGCUUUUCUAUCUCCUCCAAGUCCUUGUUAACAUCUCCAUCCUCUCCAGAAGGUAGCAAAAGCUUGCUUGGAUCUUCUUCUUGCAAAAGUGCAAGUUCUUUUUGUAGUAUCUCAUCAUCCAAAUCGAUAAAUGAGAUAUCUUCUUUUCCUUCCUCUUCUUGCUUGGCUUCUGGUAAAGCUCUAAAUAUUGCUGACUCGUCUCCUACCCUUAAUGUUAGUGUAGACUCGCAUACAUCAAUUAAAGCACAUGCGGUGUUUAAAAAUGACCUCCCCAAAAUAAUCGGAAUUUCGGGGUCUUCUUCCAUAUCAAGCACCACAAAGUCUACUGGAAAUAUGAACUUGUCGAUUUUAAUAAGAAGAUCCUCACAAACGCCUCUUGGAUGAAUUGUUGUCUUGUCUGCCAAAUGGAUCUUCAUGUUUACCGGCCUUGGCUCCGAUAAAUUCAGUUUCUUGAAGAAAGAGAAAGACAUUAGGUUAAUGCUUGCACCUGAGUCGGUCAACGCUUGAGUGACAAAUGCAUUUCCAAAUUGGCACGGAAUUAUGAUACUCCCCGGAUCGCCCUUCUUUUCGAGUAACUCACUCAAUAUUAUUUCCGUGACUUCAGCCAAAUAUUUCCUAGCAGCAAAGAGACCCUUUAGUAAGUUGAAGUACUUGGGUGUUUUAAGCAUCGUUUCUACAAAUGGCACAUUGACUUGUAGGGAUUUAACAUGCUCCAUAAAAGCUCAAUAAGCUUCAACUUUUUCAACUGGCAUGGCUUUGAUUGGGAAUGGCAAAGGGGGAUUAUAUGGCUUUAAGGGAAUGACGGUUUUGUCAUUAACGCAUGGACUCGUCGAGUCCAUUAGAGGGACUCGGCGAGUCUUGUCGGGCUUAGCUGGAGCCGACUCUUCUGCCUUUUCUGUCUUCCUAUUGGAGAUCCUCUGUGCAUGUGUGAAAAUUUCUUCAUUGCUGGAAGUUACUGCACUCACAUUCUCCAUUCUCGGAUUGUUUUCGGUGUUACUUGGAAGUUGACCCGGUCUUCUUUCGUUCACUUGAUGUGAAAGUUGUCCCAGCUGUUUCUCAAUGUUGAGAAUGGAUGCCUGCUCAUUCCUUAGCAUAUUUCUGGUCUCGUGUAUUGCAGCAUCGUGAUCAUUGUGUCUCUUUUCGGACACGGCUAUGAAUCUAGUGAACAAUUCUUCUAAAUCGGCUUUCUUUUCCAUUACCGGUUCUUCCUUUUGAUAAAAUACCCUCUCCUUCUGCUUGUAUUUCUCCUCCUUAUCCUUCUUGUAUUCUUCGUAUGGGAGCCAUUCCUUCUUCGGUUUCCCCCAAUUCUCGUCGUAUCUAUCGCCACUUGAGUAGAACACUUGAGCCUUCUUGUUUCCAUUUUCAUCCAAAUCACAAUCCUUUGUGAGAUGGGGCCCUCUACAAUUCUCACAUCCAACAUGAAUAGCAUGGAUUGUUUGAUCCAUUUUUGUCAUCCUUCUAUCUAGACUAUCGAGCUUAGCUAUCAUCGCCGCCAUGCUAUCAUUUGCCGAGUUCACUACCCCCCGACUUACUUCAUUUAUUGGAUUGUGGUAUUCUCUAGAAUGCUUAGAGAAUUCUUCAAUUAACUCCUUGAUUACCGGGGGCGCCUUCUUCGUGAGCGGGCCUUGUGAAUCGAGCAAUUGCCUUGUGGUGACAUUGACUCCAUCAUAGAAAAUGGAGACCUCUUGUUGGAUAUUGAGGUCAUGGUGUGGGCAAUUUCUAAGCAAGCUCUUGUACCUUUCCCAAGCUUCAUAAAGAGAUUCUCCGGGUUGUUGCUCGAAGUUGGCAAUGGCUUUCUUUAGUUUAGCUAUUUUGGAGGGCGGGCAAAAGUGGUCUAUGAACUCUUCUUUCAUCUUGGCCCAUGUGGUGACCGAUCCGGGAGGAAGUGACUUGAGCCAAUCCUUUGCAUCACCCUUGAACGUGACUGGAAGCAUGCGAAGUAGUUGGGUCUCGCGAGGCAUAUUUGGUACAUUGAAGUAGUCAGCCACAUCAUUUACUUCAUCCAAGUGCUUGUAGGCGUCUUCGUGGUCCUUCCCAUAAAAAGGAAUCUCCUUGAGUUGAGCGAGAAUAUGGCCUUUUAGUUCGAACGUAGUGGUUGCGGGAAUUGCGGGUUGCACAAGUCCCGAGCCGGUGUCAUCGCGCAUCCUUUUCUUCCAUUACCCCAUGGGGACUUCAUCGAUAUUAGCCAUAGCGAUAGCUAAAUCGUCUUCAAACUCGGAUUCUUGCUCGUAUGUGGGUUCUUCUUCUUCCUCGGUCUCGUACUCGAUGUCUUCUUGAAUUGGGUCUCUGAUUGUCAAAGAGGCACUGGAUGCUCCUGAUUUGCUGCUCCUUGUCUUGCUGAAAACGGACUUGAGGUUUUUGAGUGGUAAGUUCUUUGAAGAAGCGGAUUCUCCAACGGUUUUGCCUUUGCUCCUCCUUAGUGCGGAUUCCGGGUCUUCAAGAGGAGGGACCAGAGGUGUAUCAGAUCCUCAGGUCAUGAAACAACUGUAAACAAAACAAAAAACGCGUAAAAAGAACAAAAAAUAAAUAAAAAUUAAAACUGUGAAUCAGCGAUGUACUCGCCGAGUCGGCACGAGUGCACUAGGCGAGUCUGGUCAAAACAUAGAAAAAUUUUUCUAGUUACUUUAAAAACGGAUUUUUAUUAAAACUUAUACUACUUACUAAAUUACCUUUUAAAUAACUUUGUGUAAGAUAAAUCCCACACAAAUGAUCGAUUAAAUUAGAAUUUAACGUUAAUUUUAGAACCGUUCCCCAGCAACGGCGCCAAAAACUUGAUGUGUGCAAACUCACUUAGUUUUAAACCUACUUUUAAUUUUAAAAUAAACACACAAAGGCAGUGGACCUAUCAAUUGUGGUAUAGUUAAAUAAGUAGGGUAUCGAACACAGGGAACGGCAAAUUAAAACUAAAAACUAAUUCUAUCUAAAUUAAUUAAUAAGUAGGAGGUUUUCUCUAGUUUUUCAAGACUAGAAACUUACUAACUAUUACUUAUUCUAAAACUUAGAAAAACAAAGAAUUAACUAGAUUCAAUAAUGGGAAGGAACUUCUGUUUAGUUCAACUCAAUUGAUCCUAUGGUUGAUAUCAAGGUAAUGGUGCAAUGGAUUAACUCUUUUGUUGGUUACCGAUUCAAGUGAUUAGAUUUGCGUUCACUACACUAAUCCUUAGCAAAUAAACUAACUUAAACAGUGGCCAGUUGUCUAAUUUAAUUAAAUUCACUAGAUUAAUUAUUCGGGUUAAUUUAGACUUGCAAUAGUUAACUAAUUUGGUCCUUUAAUUAACUUNUUUGUUGAUGGUCAUCACAAGCUCACACAUGAAUUUACUCAAUUUUCUUAUUAAUUCUAGUUUCAUGUUCAUUAAUCCUAGACAUAUGACAAAGUGGUCACAUAGCAUAUGAGGUUGAUAAUCAAUAGAUGUUCAUGCUAUUCAAUUACCUUCCUAUUAAUAGAAAAUUAAUUAUCAUUCACACACAAGGUUCUUUAGCAAGCUAAAAUAACAAAAAUCACUAACUUUAAAUUAAUCCUACCAAUAAUCAAACCAUAGUAUCAAUUUUGUAUCCCCAAACAGAAGUUUAAGAGUUUUAGCUCAUGAUUGAAGUAAAUUACAGCAAACAAACAGAUUUUAAUUGUUUAACCAUUAUGAAAAAUAAAAAAUUAAGUAGAAUGAUGAAAUUUGCCUCAAAUCUCCUUCGGAAUUGGAUUCUAGCUUGUAUCUUCGUCCUCUAGGUUUUUUCUGACUCUUCAAUCGCAGCUAACCUCUCCAGAAUCGUUCCAGAAUUCCUCCCCAUCGUUCUCAGAAGUUAUCUUUAUAUAUGCAAAACGACUCGUCGAGUCAGAUGCCGACUCGUCGAGCCCAUCUCUAAGUCCCCGUAUGCGAUAAGUCUCUAGGUCUCCGAGUCUUUAUCUUCUCGAAUAUUCGCUUGGGCUCGCCGAGUAGUUGACCCUACUCACCGAGUAUGUGUUGUUUUUAGUGUUUUUCUUCUUUGUUCGAUUCCCGAGCUCUCAACCGCUUCUCCUGCUUCCUUUUGCUUCCGAGCUUCACUUUUGGACUGAAAACAUAAUUCAAACACUUUUAAGUACCUUUUGUCCAUGAAAUGCAAUAAUUUAGCUAAUAAAUGAAUAAAAAUCUACACUUAAUAUGAACUAAAUAUGCACAUAUCACUUUCCUUAGAUUCAUAGUCUCUCCAACCAAAAUUCCUAGAUAAUUGAAUGGGAUGGAUGAAGGUUCACAUCCAAGAGGAGCUGCCCAAUUUAUUACUUCCAUGUGGGUAGCUCCUAUCCCAUACACCUUCGAUUUCCUAAAGUUCACCUUUAGCCCCGAUGAUACACAGAAGCACCUUAAUAUCCGGGCCAAGUUUGCAAUAUUUCGCCUUGACCAUUAGCCUAUAAACAGUGUGUCAUCUGCAUAGAAUAAAUGAGACAAACAUUGAUUAGAUUGUGAAAAUUUGAUGCCUUCGAAGAUUCCUUUUUCCACAACUGUCUUCAUCGCCUGAUUUAAUCCUUCAAUCACAAUGAUAAAAAGAAAUGGGGAGAGUGGAUCUCCCUGUCUGACACCUUUUGACAUAGAGAACUCCUUGGUCGGACUGUCGUUGAUCGACUGGGAAGGAGAACUAAGCAUUCCUUAUAAGGGGUGUGGAUACCUUCCCUAUCACAACGCGUUUGAAAACCGUGAGGGAAGCAGAUCCCAUAGGAACUCUGCAGUUAAGCGUGCUUGGGCGCGAGUAGUACCAGGAUGGGUGACCCCCUGGGAAGUCCUCGUGCCGAGUGGCCCAAGACGAACAAUAUUGUGAUACGUGCCAGAGGGGAAUGUUACAAAUGGUAUCAGAGCCAGCGCACAGUUCGAUGUGUUCGACGAGGACGUCGAACCCUAUAAUGGGGGGUGAAAGUGGGUUAGAUUUGAUCCCACAUCGGCUGGGAAGGAGAACUAAGCAUUCCUUAUAAGGGGUGUGGAUACCUUCCCUAUCACAACGCGUUUUAAAGCCGUGAGGGCAGCAGAUCCCAUAAGAACUCUGCAGUUAAGCGUGCUCGGGCGGGAGUAGUACCAGGAUGGGUGACCCCCUGGGAAGUCCUCGUGCCGAGUGGCCCAAGGCGGAAAAUAUUGUGAUAUGUGCCAGAGGGGGAUGUUACAGUAUAUAGCCAUGUUCAUACGUACCAGUUAAAUUACUAGUAAGCUAUUGACUAUCCUACACCUUGCUGCUUGCUACAGCCGGACGUCAUUUCUUUCUACAUAUAGAUCAGUUAAGUCUUGGUAGAAGACUCCCUGUUAUAGUAGUAGGAAUCAUAGGGAUUUCUAGAGUUUUUCAAACGUUUACAGUUGUUUUACAUACAUUUUCAAUACUUACGAUUUACAUACAUUUUCAAUACUUACAAAUUCUUACAUACAAAUUCUUACAUACAAAUUAAGACACUAAAAUACUUAUGAUCUCACCAGCUUCAAAGUUGAUACUCGCUUUCAAAAUUACUUGUAUCCUCAGGUCAAACAUAGACAGGUACCGAUGCAAGGUUUAGAGAAGAUGGAGCUCGUUCAAGACUCAUCUUUCAUUUUGAUUUAUGCCUUAGUGUUUAUCAAAAUUUGACAGAACACAGUUGUAUAAUAAUUAUAUUAUUAAUGCAAUGGAUGAUGUUGCUGCUUGUUUACUACUUUUCAUUGUUGUGAUAUUGUACAUGACGUCCUCCGCCCCAGAACGUUUCCGCGGUUCUUGGUUUUGGGGUGUGACAAGCCCUCAGUAAGAGUCUAGCAUACCAACUGGUCCUCAGAUCAUAUCUGGAAUGCUACUAAUCCCCCAGUAUGAGUCUGGCAUGCCCCAUCCGAGACUCAACUCAUAUCUGGAUUUCUCCGAUACCCUCAACCCCUUAGUACGAGUCUGGCAUACCAAUCGGGUCCUCAGCUCGUAUCUUGAAUGCACCUGAGCCCUUAGUAUGCGUAUGGCAUGCCCUAAUCAGCUCUUAGCUCAUAUAUGGAAUGCUCCAGGGUUUGUUGGCUACAGAACGAAGCAGUACAACCUCAACCCAACACAAUAUGUCGACAAAUAACCAACAUAUACAGAUAAUCAUGCACACAUAAUCAUAGGUACUCCUAUAGAUCUACCAUACUAACAUAUCGGCAACUAGCAUACUCAUGCAGAUCUAUUCCAUACUCAGAAUAUUAGUGAAUUGUAGGAUAACAAACCAAUACACCGGCAUUGGUGCCUUCGACUCGUAAAUAUAGUGAGGAAAAAUCACAUCGCACUGCUGAACAUAAAGACGAUCCAUGGUUGAUGGCUGCCAGAUCCCCGAACCGCCAAUAUCAAGACAACACCCCAUCACAGCUGAUCCCAUGAAUAAUUUCUGACUACAGAACCACUAUGAUCCACGUGCUAUCAAAUACUACAAUGACAACCCAUCAAUAGACCUGGCAAUGGAGCGGGUUUGGAGCGAAUCAGCCUUGAUCCAAACCCUUUUAACAAAUUUCAAAAUCCGAUCCAAACCCGCUCCGUAACCCACAGGGUUUUAAAUAAUCAGACCCAUACCUUUAUCCGCCGAAUCAACGAAUAUUCAAGCCCGCCCCAUAACCCAAAGUUUUUUUAAAUAAUCAAACACAUUUUAAUAAACUCCUAAAAUAAAAUUUCUUAAAUAAGAAACUGUAUACUAUAUCUUAAUACUUAAAAUAACAUUUUUUUAAAUAAAAAAAAUUGAUUUAGAAAAGGACAUUACAUACUCGAAGAAUUUCAAUCGGAAUUAAAAAUCACUAUUGCAACAACUUUGAAUUGAUUUAUGACUGUUGGUUGUAGUGAUAGCGAAUUGCAAUUGCCAUCUUUUUUCAUGUUAAAAAUUGAUUUAUUGAAUUAGAAAUGGAUAUGAUGAUUUCUUGAUGCAAAUAAAUUAAAUGACAUUAUGAUUCUUGAUAGAAAUCUAUAAGUUUAGAAUCUGAAUUAUCGAUUCCUAUGUAAAAGCAUUUUUUUUCUUUGGCCUUUGCAUUUUGGACUUUUGAUUGGUAUUAAAAUUAAACGUUAAGAAGUAUAAAAUAUAAAUAUAUAAUUCUAAAUUUAUAUGGGGCGAGUUAUAAAUGGAGCGGAUCGGUGAUGAUCCAUACCUGACCCAUUUAAUAAAAGGGCUAGUGGGAAUGGAUCGUUAACGGGUAAACGAAUCAAAAACUACACUCCAAACCCAUAUAAUUCUUACGAGUUUGGAUCGGAUUAGGGUCAAAACCCACUUCAUUGCCAGGUCUACCCAUCAACCUUUAGCCCCUGACUCACGUUAUGAGUGAAAAUUAGGGUAAAAGACCUUUUUAUCCUUCUUAAGCUUGGCCCGAAGCCAAGGCCCAACUAAAUGGUUAAUGGCCCAAAAUCCAAAAUAGACUUCUAAGGCCCAAAUAUGGCCCAAUUUUCCAAAUUGGGCCCAAUUCCUUUCUUGGGCCUUCAGCUAAGAAAGUCCAUCAAAACAAAAGCCCAAACCAUAAAAUCUAGAUGGCCUAACAUGGCCCAAGACAAUCCGAGCCCAAAACCGGAGCCAAAAAUGAAGGCCCAAUAGUACCGCAUACGCGGGGAGUACUCCAAAGGCACACUUAGCGUACAUGAGGCUGCGUAGAAUCCACCAUUGGGGUGGCAGAUUGGGUAUGCGGGGCGUACACCUCCCUACGCGGGGCGUACCCUCUUAAAACUCAAUUUCUUCAUAACUGCUUAAUGGCUUAGCAUUUGAGCUCAUACUUCAGAUCCAAGGUCCAGAGCCAUACUAUGGCCAUAAAAUUCCCAACUUUAUGAAUUUCCACGUCCAAAAAGUCCUUAAUGAAAGGUCUUAAUGGAUUAAUACUUUCUACAAGAAGUAUGGAGAAAAACUAGCUAAGGUGAUCUCACUUUUAUGGCUUAGAACCCCUCUUAGGGUCUGAAAGGACAGCCCAAAAUGACCAAAACCAAACAUGCAUAACAAUGGGACUUUUGGGACAAAAAGAACAUCAUAAUGCUACCAAAAUGAGAUCCAAGCAAACAAAGCAUAAAGGUAGAAACUUUUUACCUUCUGGAGCUUCCCAAGAAGAUGAUGAUCCAAGAUCCACAAGCUUGCUUCAACUACUAAUCUCCUUGAUGCAACUCCUUCUUCCUUAAGAACACAAAGAACACACUUUUAGCUCAAAACACUCUCUUAUUGGGUUAGGGUUGCCAAAAAUGACUCAAGGGUGUGGAGGCUGAAAAGAUGAGGCUAAAUGAUCUAUAAAGGUGAUUAAAUACCCCACAAACCCUAAAACUUAGGGUUUUUUCUAACAAGAGUACACCCAUCGUACAUAUGAGUACGCCCAACAUACUAGGGUACACCCUAGUAUGCUUAGCGUAUGCACAUGUACGCUUAGCGUACCACUCCUUCUCCCAAAAUUACGAUUUUUCCAAUAGGGCUUCUUGCGACCACUUCCUUCCAAAACAAGGACCAAAAUGGUAUACUCUAAAGCCAAGAGAUGAAUUUGAAAAUGCCUGAAAACUGGGGCAUUACAGGUUGGGAGUUCGGAAUACAUGUCGCCAAUGAUGCAUUAUAUUGUUGCAAGUAUUCUUGCAUUUGUUGUGCAUUAGAUUGGGAUUGAGAUUGGAAAGAUGUGGAAGUUGAAGCACAUUUAUUUGGAAUUAGACCGAAGUUGGUGACUGGUCUCCUACCCACUACGCGAGCCUGCCCUUGUCUCGUCCUGAGGGCACGUGCAAGCCAUUCUUCCUCAUCUACUUCUUCACCUUACCCGACCCCGCUUUGCAUUUUCUCGUAUUUAUCUUGAAUCUUCUUCUAAAAUAAACAAGAUAAUAAACAUACGAUAAUUAAAACAAACAACUAAACUUAAACAUUAAAAUAAUAAUAAUAUACCUUAGACAUAAACUAUAAUUAAUAAUAAUAACAUAUUUAACUAACGUAUUAAUUUCGCUUAUGACUUACCUAAUCUUGUUGUGCUCGACUUGUACACCAACCCUAGCCUUCUUUGUAGCGCAUUUGUCUCCAACCCUCAAUAUGUUGCGGCUUCAGUCCUAGUUUUUCCUGUAAUAUGUAAAAAACAAUAAAUAUAUUUAUACGAGUGAUAGUAACAUUUUUAAAUAAUACUAAUAUACUUUAUUACUUUUAAAUGACGUCGUUGAGCAUACGACCUACAUCCAUGAGAACUUGUGUCCGGAAGUUUAAUUCGACCUAGUAACUUUAUUUUUGGCCGAUGUGUGUAUAUAUUCAUCAGUAAAAAACAACAUGCCAAUCGUCUUAUUCUAAGCUUUGGCAGACCAAUCAAUCUGUGGAUGUUUUUUUGUCCUUUCCACAUCCGCAUAUCCACCAGCUUUUUCAAAAUGAUUUUCCAUGUCAUGCUUGCAAUCUCGAUAAGCUUUUUGCAUACUAUCUUGGGUACCCGCUCGAACGGGUUCCCACAACUCUGUGCCCUAGUGCAUAUCGGGAUCAAAAUAAGUCUGCAAAAAAUACAUAUUUGAUUAGUAAUAAGAAAUAUUUAAUAAGUGUAAAAUUCAAUACAUAUAAAAUAUUUUGUAUAUACUUACUUCUAGCUCGAGAUAUAAAUUAUCUUCGUACUUGGUAGAAACAUGGCGCCAAGAAUGAUAAUGCAACAGUACCUCUGAUCCCACCAGAUUUGAGAUCAAUCUAACAAAUAAGUGUCUGUUGUCCCGCACGAAUCGAUACGUCCUCCUGGAGGUAUCAAGGCUCACAACCAAAGGAUUACUACCUUUAUCUUCAUACUCAUCGUACAAUUUUAAGUUUCUCCAUCUGCCAUGUACAUUCACAUUCUUCACUUUUGUUACAUUUACACAUAGAAUUGGAAAUUUAGAAAUUUAAAUCCAAUACUUAAUAUUUUCAUGUAACUUACAUGAUUGGCAACCCGAUGGUAAACCAUGUGUGACCAUGUGUGGGGCUCUAUCACCACUGUCUCCUCCAUGUUACCUCAUGACUUCUGCCAUUUAUUUAACAAAUAUUAUAAACAUUCAAAAUCUAUAAUAAAGCUACUUAUAAAUAGGCAAAAUUUAAAAACUUAACACAUAUUAUAAACAAUCAGGAUAUAUAAUAACCGUAACAUACCAUCAAUGAGAAUCAUCACUAGAACAAUAUAACAUCAUCAUCGUUAUCAUAGUCUUUGUUAUUUAUUUCUUCUUCUGAAGAGUACGUAUCCCCACCAUCAUCGUCAUCGUUAAUUGUCACACCCCUGAACCAGACGACGGAAACGUCUGGGGGCUCGUGUGACUAACAAUUGAAUUAUCAUCACAAUGAAUAUACAUGAAACAUUACACAUUCAUCACCAACAUUACAUAUUACAACCAGCAUUGUUCACAGCAAGUACAUUGUUAAAGAUUACAUAAAUUCAAAGUAUUAAUAGUAAGAUAGGUGAUGUUACACAAAAUAAAUCGAUACACUUGAAAAUCUUCCUGCUUAACGAUUACCUGAGAAUACCAGUUAUUUUGAAAAACGGUCAACAUAUAUAAUGUUGGUGAGUUCAUAAGUAUGUGUGAAUAAAAGUCUUUGCAUCUUUUGUAAAAACCUAGAAAAUCUGAUAUUUUCUGUAAAAUGUCUUAAAAUGAUGUGAAAAUCAAGUAUAAAUGCAUGUGUGAAUUUCAUAGCAAUAACAUAUAUGAUUUCAGUUUAAAUUUCUUUGUAUUUUAAGUAAGUGAUAAAUGAAUAAUAGUAUUUCCCUAGAAAAUCUGAGUAUUUCCUGAUUUAUAAUAAUGUCGAGGUUCUUGUAUCAUUAAUUAAGUUGUUUCGUAUUGACACAAUCGAAGGGUUAAUCUUCGAAAUGUCAAAUUGGUAUUGGAUCUCUAUAUGAGCAGUUAUAACCAUGUAUGAUAAUGACUAGGUUGUCUUUCUUGGCAUUUUCCAAACGUCGGUAUUUGCUCAAGGUUUUGUCGCCCAAGACUGGCCUAGUCUAGUUGUAGCGAACAACUAAGGCGUGGGGGGUCACCCCAUAUAGAUCUAUACACAAACUCCCGCUCUCCCUCCAGGAAACUCUGGUUAUAACUACAGACUACGAUUGUACACUCAGAGGUGUCAACCGACAUGUCUCACUAGAUUCUCAACUUUUCAUACCAUGUUUAAUGUUUACGUGAAUGUUGUAUGUUUUCAAAUCCAAAGGUAUAUAUAUAAGUAUACGAACUUUAGGGCUGGCAAUUGUUGACACGAUACGCGACACGACAUGAAAUAAAUGGGUUUGGGUUGAGUUUUUCAACCCGCCAACCCGCUAACCCGUCAACCCACCAACCCGUUUAUUAAACGGGUCAUAUAUGGGUUUCUCAAAAAAUAAACGGGUUGACCCGCCAACCCGUUUAUAUUCUUAAUAAAAAAAUUAUUAUAUUUUUAAAUGUAUUUAUGUAUCAAGUAUUAAUAUUUAAUAUGUAUUAUAUAAUAUAUACCAUUUAUUCAUAGACCAUUUGAUUGUUUUGACAUUAUUACUCGUGGUGGAUGGUCUAAGGUCAUAAGUCGUAACCUAUAAGACUAAGUCUGUAACAUGUUUCUAUGAAUGUUUUUAAUUUUCAUUUGGAUGUUUAAGACUUAAAUAUCUAAAAUUUAGACCCACGAACCCAAAUCUGACCCACGAACCCGCCAACUUGUCAACCCGUAUAAAUAAAUGGGUUGGUGGGUCAUAUAUAGGUUUAAGUUCCAAACCCGCCAACCCGUGACCUGUAUAUUUAAAUGGGUCGUCAUUGGGUUGGCAUAUUUUGACCCGCCAACCCGCCAACCCGCGACACGCCAACUCGAACACAACACGAUUGCCACGCCUAACGAACUUCAAGAAUUAUGUAAAGGUAUAGUUACAAUCUACUAAGCAUGUGAAUUUCAGUCCAAGCCCAACUAGCAUGUAAAUGGACCACAAAGGUCCAAUGACAUGUAAGAAGGUAAUUUAGACCCAAUAGGCAUGUAAGUGGACCACCAAGGCCCAACAAACAUGUAACCUAUAGCUCAGGCCCAAAUUAACAUGUAAAUGGGUCGCAAGGCCCAAUAAACAGGUCAUUGAAAAUAUUGGGCUCAAUAUAUACUUGAAUGGGCCCUUAAGGCCCAUUGGCCAUGUAAUGUGAAUAUUAGGUCCAAUAAAAUUAUUAUCGAUGUAUUUCGUCAAUUCGUUAUUAUUUCAUGGUUUGCUUUAGCUCGAUGUUUACCGAAUUAAAUAUAAAAGUCCCCUUUUUGUAUAAACGACGUUCUUGGCCAAUAAGACUAAAAUUUUGAAUUAAGGCCCAAAGUUUUGUAAAAAUUAACACUUUAGUCCAUAAUGUAUAAAAAUUUGUAAUUUUGCCCCAAAUGUUUAGAAAUUUACGGAUCUAGUCCAAAAAAUUAUAUUUUGACAUUUAUGGCCCAGUUUCGCAGAAUAUUACAUUUUCAGACCCUUGUUUGUAAAAAUGACACUUUUGACCCAGUUUUUAUAAAAGUUACAUUUUUGGUCCAAUUUAGAAAUAUAUGUUAUUUUUACCCCUAAAUUUGGUUUAUUUACAUUUAUGACUAAAACUUUGGUCAAAUAACAUUUUUAAUCCCAAAACUUCCAUUUUUUCGCAAAUUUGGCCCCAAAACCGUGAGGCCCAAAUAUUCAGCCCAUUAGGCUAAAAUUUACGUUUUUGGCCCUUUGGAAAGCAUGUUUAUCAUAAAAAUCCCUUUUUAUACAAACAGGACCUGUUUGGUCCUUUAAAAACCGUAAAUGUCACUUUUUUCCCUUAUCUUUUGUUUUCUUGACAGUUUUGACCCUUAACAAGGUUUUUGCUUUAAAUUUUUGUAUCUUAAACAUAUAAACACUUUUAACUUGAUAAUAUGAUGUAUAAGGUGUUUUAGUGUUGGAUUAAUGUCUAAGUUUAUAACUAUAAUUGGUAAGACUUGACCCGAUCCGGCAUGGUCCAUUUGGGUUGCAUGGCAUCAUGCACUUGGAUAGACUAUAAUGAGAGAAAUAAGACACUUAUGGUUAUUAAUAUAUUAUAAGUUCUAGUAUAUUAAUAAUAAGAAUAAUAAGAUUAUUUAAUUAGUAUUGAUCAAGAAUUAAUCUAGGAUUAAUUAAGUGAUCAAAAGAAGACUAAUUAAAUAUAUGGGUUGAUUGUGUAAAUCAUCCAUACUUAUAUAGUGGGCUAAUGCUCCAUGGAUAAUCAAGUUGGGCUAAAACCCAUAGGAUGGUCCAUGGAUGCUCCAUGGUGUAUUUGAACCCAUGGAUCCAAGGAAAUGGAAAGUCAUGACAAUUAGGGUUUACCCUAAUUGUAACACUAUAUAAAGAUCUUAUUAUUGACCAAAAUCGGCCACUAGAAUCAUUCUAGAGAAGGGCUAGCCGAUUUCAUGUAGUGUAGAUUUCUCUCAAGUUAUUCCAAGUGUAUUUGGUGUUGUGUGAACCAUUUGAGGUGUCACACUUGGGGCACUAGACACUCAAGCUUCAUGAAGACUUUCUACAUCAAAGAAGUAUGUAUUCUAUCUUGUUACAUUCAUUGUUUUGUAUGCUAGAUUAGGAUAAUACCUUGGAAGUUCUUAUUUGCAUGUAUAAUAGAGAAAACAUAGAUCCAAGGUAUUUAGGGUUGCAUGUACACUUAGGAGUGUUAGAAUGCUCAAAACCCAACAGUGGUAUCAGAGCCUAGGCUUGUUUUCUUGUUAUACUUGCAAAAGAAGCUGAAAAAUCGAGUUUUGAUGCUGUCUGCCCAGCAGACUCGCCGAGUCCAUGAAUGGACUCGCCGAGUCCAAGGCAAAAUGCAUCCAACUCGCCGAGUUGGUUCGUGCACUCGACGAGUUGGACCCCCAGACAGCAUAAAUUCGACUUUUUUGGCUGGAAUUGGACUAGGAACAUUACCCUAAGAUGUUUUUGGACUUAUAAACUUGUUUUUGAUGUGGUAAUGUUCAUGCUAAUCCAAUUUCAAAGAUAAUUGUCAAUAGAUUCAUGUUUUGUAUUAGUUUAAGGUUUAGACUAAUUACAUGAAAAAGUUUGAUUUGAAUUAUCUUGUUCUUAUGAGUUGCUUAGAUUAAUAGAAAAGUUGAGUGAAAUAGUUGUUUUCAAUCCAAAUUAAUCUAAGAGUUGAUUCUAAAAUGUGUUUUUGUAACUUGUCCUCAAGUUAUAUGAAAAGUCACAUUUAAGUUUCAUAAAACUCAUAAAAGUUGGCAAAGGUUACAAAAUGAAGAGUCUAGUUCUAAUUAAAUGGUUUUAUGACUCCAUAACUUGUCCUCAAGUUAUGGAGGACCAAGAGUCUCUUCAUUAAAUAAUAAAUAAAAAAAAAAAGUAACCUUAAUUAAUUCCAUAAGUUAUAAAAUAAAGAAAAGUUAAUUCUUUUAUUAGUUUAAAGUCUUCCAUAACUUGUCCUCAAGUUAUGGAACUUGAAGAGUUUUUGGAUUAAAACUACUUUAAACACAUAAGUUAUGGAAUUAAUUAGUUUUGAAUAGUUUCAAAACUUGCCCUCAAGUUUUGGAAUUUGAAAAGUUUUCACUUAUGAAUACUUUAAUUCCAAGUUAGCCCUUAGAAUUUUAAAAGUUAAAAUUCAACCCUUAUACUUUAUAAUAUUAUAAGUUAAUAAUAUAUAUAUGUAUAAGAGUAAAGUCAGUCUUACCGCUAGUACGCCUCAUUCACGAAGCCGGUCUAUAAGGUGGGUAUAAGGUUGUUGCCUAUAAAAUGGCAACUUAAUGGGUGUCCACUCUCACCCACCGCUUGCUUGACUGGUGGAGGGUCGUUAGCCGAACGGGUUUGACAGGACUAGAAUUCUCCCUUCAUUAAAAGUAUUAAUGAUAAUACUAAGUAACUAAACUCUUAAUAAUACCCAAUCUUAGUUACUUAGGAAAAAUGUGAAUAAGGUGCUAAUCCAUGAAAUUACACUUUGCACUUUGUUUAAGUCGGUUAGUGGAGCGUGUGUGGUUAACCGGCACACUAACUCGUAUUUAACAAGGUAGGCAAAGGGUAACUUAAUGUUUAUCAUAGUAUCGAUGGAGCGUGUGUGGUUAACCGGCACAUCGAUUGAGGGGUAAACACUUAAGGGUACCAAGUAAUUUGCAUGGUUACUUCACACCUUGUUUUGUGAUCCUCGGCAUCCCAGUCACAAAACCUGAAGGGCACACUCGAGAUUGAAACAUGCCAUUGAACAGUUCAAUGAAUCUCAAAGAUCUAGGAGUUUCAAAACCAAUUAAAACCUAAUAAUACAUUUCGUUUAUCUUGGUGGAAAUUGGUGAAUCGUCAUUCACCUACCUUCAAAUAUUUUAUAGCUUGGAUUACGGCAUACCUCUUCUAAGUUAUAAAAUAGUUUGUUGGGUCCUAGCCUUAAUAUUUCAUAUUGGGUGUCAUAUUAAGGACUUUAAAUCAACUAUCUUGAAUAUCUCCCAAAAGAUGUCUGGUUUAGACACCUAUGAUCUUCCCAAAUCUCUUGAAACAAGGUUUCCUAAUGAAGAUGAUGUCCCAUGGAUAUCAUACUUCUUCACCUCUUCAAAUUAUUCUCCCUAACCCACAAGUUCUUGAAAAGUUUAAGGUCACUCAGGCCCUAUUGGCAAGGCAAGGUCUAGGUGUGAUCACAUCUUGGAGAUGUAGUCACAUAUUGACAAGCCGGGAGAGUUGGGUGUCAAAGUCUUGAGAAAGUUGGUGGUUCAAUCACUUUCUAAGUCACAUAGUGAGUUCCUUUGGGACACCUAUGAAACAGACUAUGACAAGACCCUUAAUGAUCUUAUCUAUUUGAUAAGAUCAACUUCCUAAAACUUUAUGGACAUUGACAAUGAUAACAUUGGAUAUCUAGUAAAGCUCUCUCUUCCCAGUGGAAAGGGAUCAGCCAUAGUCAACUGGGUUGACCAAAAUGGUAAAGAGAAAAGCUAAGUCUGUGAUAGUCCCGUGUACCAUUAUCAAAGGGUCCAUAUGUUUAUAUUGCCAAAGGAAGGGGGAUUGGUUGCGAAGCUGCCAAAUUUACCUAAAGAUGUUAAAGUCAAUAAGUUUGACUCUACUUCAUGUAAAGUCCACUAUCUAACUCUGUUAAGUUUCUAUUCUGAGAUUCCUGAUACAUGAUGUGACUGGGUCACAUGGUGAUGUUUUAAGAAUCGGAGCAUAUCCUCGAGUGUCUGGAUGGUGCACUCACUCUGACCAUCCGUCUGUGGGUGGUAGGCAGUGCUCAUAUCUAGCUGUGUUCCCAUUGCCUUCUGAAGAUAUUGCCAGAAACUUGAAGUGAAUCUGCUAUAUCGAUUUGAGAUAAUAGAUAUUGGCACUCCAUGGAGUCUCACAACCUCCUUGAUGUAGAUUCGGGUCAGCUUUUCCAUCUUGUAAGAUUCUUUUAUUGGUAGGAAAUGAGCGGAUUUUGUUAAUCUAUCCACGAUUACCCAAAUAGCAUCCAAUCCGUCUGCUAUCUUUGGCAAUUUUGUCACAAAGUCCAUGGUAAUCCUCUCCGAUUUCCACUUGGGUAUCACUGGUUGUUGCAGUAGUCCCGAGGGCUUUUGGUAUUCCACUUUCACUUUGGCACAAGUAAAACACUUGCCCACGAAAGUGGCUAUCUCUGCCUUCAUAUUAGGCCACCAAUAUUGUUGCUUGAUAUCCAAAUACACCUUAUCUGACGCCGGAUGAAUAGAAUAUCGCGUCUUGUGGGCUUCAUGCAUGACUACUUCUUUGAAUCCCUUAAAUUUGGGAACCCAGAUUCUAUUCAUGAAGUAGUGAGUUCCAUCGUCUUUAACUUCGAGCACCUUCUCCAUUCCACGUAGUGAGUCACUAGCGACAUUCUCUGGCUUCAAUGGUUCCAAUUGGUCUUCCUUGAUCUGUGAGGCUAGAUGAGAUUGGAUGGUGAUUGAUAGAGUUUUCACACGACGACUUGAAUACUCCUUUUGGAUCAAGGCAUCGGCUACCACGUUAGCCUUGCCUGGAUGAUAUUUGAUCUCACACUCAUAAUCAUUUAACAGCUCAACCCAUCUCCACUGCCUCAUGUUUAGUUCCUUUUGAUUUAGAAUGUGCUGGAGGCUCUUGUGGUCUGUAAAGAUGGUGCACUUGGUACCAUAUAGGUAGUGCCUCCAAAUUUUCAAGGAGAAGACCACCUCCCCCAAUUCGAGAUGUUGAGUAGUAUAAUUUACUUCAUGUGUUUUCAAUUUUCUAGAUGCAUAUGCAAUUACCUUCCCGCGUUGCAUAAGGACACAACCUAAACCAUGAUUCGAAGCAUCAUAGUAAAUUAUGAAGUCUUUAAUUCCCUUCGGUAAGGAUAACAAUGGAGCACUACAGAGGGCUUGCUUCAAGGUUUGGAAGGCGAUCUCUUGCUUCUCAGUCCAGUUGAAAGGUACGCCUUUCUGUGUCAAUGUGGUGAGGGGUUUGGCUAUCUUAGAAAAGUUCUGAAUGAAUCUUCGGUAGUAGCCCACAAGACCCAAAAAUUGGCGAAUUUAUGUUGGCGUUGUUGGAAUUUCCCAGUUUUUGAUUGCUUUGAUCUUUGAAAGAUCCAUGUGUAUUCCUUCCUAACUAACUACAUGGCUUGGAAAGUUUACACUGCGGAGCCAGAACUCACACUUGGAGAGUUUCGUAUACAACUUUUCAGCUCGAAGGGUCUUCAAGAUCUGUUGGAGAUGUUGACUAUGCUCUUCUUUGCUUCGAGAGUAUAUGAGGAUAUCAUCGAUGAAAACGAUCAGGAAUUUGUCAAGGAAUGGGCGGAAGACUCGAUUCAUGAGGUCCAUAAAUGCAGUGGGGGCAUUUGUUAGACCGAAGGGCAUCACGACGAAUUCGUAAUAACCGUAACGGGUUUGGAAAGCAGACUUAGGAAUGUCCUCAUCUCGGACCUUGAGUUGAUGAUAACUGGAUCUUAGAUCUAUCUUUGAAAAGUAACUAGCCCCUUGAAGCUGGUCAAAUAGAUCAUCGAUUCGUGGAAGUGGAUACCGGUUUUUGAUGGUGAGCUUAUUUAGUUCCCUAUAAUCAAUGCACAUCCUGAAGGAUUCGUCUUUCUUUUUAACGAAAAGAAUCGGAGCUCCCCAUGGAGAGAAGCUUGGUCUUAUGAAUCCUUUAUUCAAGAGUUCACUUAGUUGGCUUGACAAUUCAUGCAUUUCAGCGGGAGCCAACCUAUAGGGUGAUUUGGCUAUUGAAGUGGCUCUAGGCACUAGGUCGAUUCAGAAUUCGAUUUGUCGUUCUGGGGGUAUUCCUGGAAGCUCUUCUAGAAACACAUCCGGGAAGUCACAUGCCACUGGGAUGUUUUGAAUGUUCGCUUCCUCUUUGGUAUUAUCCACCACAUGAGCAAGGAAUGUGUAGUUCUUCUUUUGUAGACACUUUUGUGCCUUGAUACACGAGAUAAGGUAAAGGUUUGCACCGGGUUUAUCUCCGUAGAUUAUUAGGGUUUCGUGAUUAGAAAGAUGAAAGUGAAUGACCUUCUCGUGACACAUAAUAUCGGCAUGAUGGGGGCUUAACCAAUCCAUGCCGAUGAUGACAUCAAAACUCCUAAUAUUUACUGGCAUCAAAUUUAUUUGGAAAAAGUGGUUGUUUAGUGUUAACGUACAUCCUAUAUAGAUAUCUUUGGUUGUUUCAGUGUUCCCAUUAUCCAUUUCCACCGUGAAGGAUUCGUUGAGCUUCUGGGGUUGUUGAUUUAGAAAGUAUUUGAAUUUAUUACUAACGAAACUUCGCUCCGCCCCACUAUCAAAUAAGAUGCAUGCAUACGAGUUGUUAAGUAGGAACGUACCGAUGAUAACAGCUGGGUCCUACACUGCUUCAUCCUAACCCAUUGUCAACACUCUCCCUGCUGCUCCUGCCCCUUGAUUGUUUGCGUUGGGGAAAUUUCUCCUGAAAUUCCCGGUUUUCCCACAUACGUAACAGGUAUAAUUGGCCCCAACAUUGGUGUUGUUGUUAUUGUUGUUGUUGUUGGUGUUGUUGUUGUUGUUGUUUUUUGGCAUCUGGUUUUGUUGAAGCUGAGUCCUGCAAUACUUUGUUGUAUGGCGUUUCUGGUUGAACCUUGCGCAAAUCAUCUCUCUGUAUUCCCCAUGAUGGUGGAAGUUGCAUUUGUUACACUUGGCGAGAUUUCCUGAAUACUGCUUUGGAGCAUUUGGCGUGGAUGAGGCUGGAGCAUGGGGUGUGGUGGUAGCUUGAGUUACAGCAUGGACAGUCACAGUUUGUUGCUUCUUAGAUGAUUCUGAGUUAUGUUUUCCAUUUCUCUUGUUGUUUAUCCCUUUCUUUCUCUCUUCUUCCUUCUUAACCUCCGCUUCCACUGUUUUGGCACGCUUCUUAUUUCCAUGAUCAUACGAUUUCUUGUCCAGUCUCUUGGCGCUAUCAAACAUCUCAGGGUUUUGCUGCAAUAACAUUCCCUUAGAUAGGUGCAGUCAAUCCCUAGAUAAACCUAUCAAUCUUUUUCCCUUCUAAGGUGAUCAUUCCGGGACACAAAAGAGAUAGCUCACUAAACCUAGAUAUGUAUGCGGUUAUAUUGGAGUUUUGAACUGUGAGGUUCCACAACUCUUGUUCCAUCUUCUGAAUUUCACCUCCAAGACAGUAUUCUGCCAACAUCAUUUCCUUAAGCUCUUCCCAGAGCAUCGCGUUCGCUACCGGGAGUGUCAUGGCCUCUACAUGCCCAUUCCACCAGGAGAUGGCUUGAUCAAUGAAUUUGCAGGUUGCGAACAUGACCUUACACUCAUCUGGGCACCCACAGAUUUCAAAAAUGGAUUCUACUUUCUCGAUCCAUCGCUUCAGGGCUAUUACGCCUCCUGUCCCAUUAAAGGUUCGAGGUUUGGCAUUGGUGAAGUCCUUGUAGGUGCAUGUUCGUGUGGCUCCAUGGAUUGUUCCUUGAUUUGUGCUUCCGUUUCCCUGUCGGUUGCCUUCUCUAUUGUUUCCAUUGCGAAUCUGCACAAGUGUUGUAGUGACCGCAACAGACAAUGUUGCCUGGAAUGCAACCGAGAUUAUUUUCGGCGGGUUUGGUGUUGCGUUGUUUCCACGAUUGGGCCUUUGAGGCAUCUUUCUGUCAUGGAACGGAAAGAUGUAGAGUGACUAUUGUUUUGCGAGUUUGGAAUCCCCUAGGCUAGGUGUAUCGAGUGUGUAUUUAAGUAAUUUCAUACAUUAACAUAAAAUAGGGAAGUAAAACACAUAGCAGAUGACAACAUCAUGAUAAAACGUAAAGCAUUUUCAUUAAUACUAAUUGUUUUGAUACAUGAACAUUUGCCAGAAGGCAUACAGUACAUAGGGAAAUAUAAAAUAUGGCAGCAUUACAACCCUAUGAGCAGUGUGAUCACUUAAACAUAGAGUCGAUAGUACAUAGCAUAGUACACAUAAGGGAAACCUAAUAGUAUUAAGAGAUACUACUGGUCCUGAUCAUACUGAGAAGUGCCUAAUGGUGGUGGUGAAAUCAUAUCCCAAAAUGUUAUGCUAAUAACUGAUCCAUCUCGGUCAUCUCUCCGAUGACCUCAUCUUUUUCCUACUCAGUUUGCAUGGCUCGUGCCUCCAUAGCAAAUAGUUGUUGUCGAAGUGUGGCAACCUCCGCUUCCAGAGACCGAUCCUCAUCAACGGGGUUCCCUAGUGGACCAGGGUGGUCCUGGUGUGCCUCAUUGGUAGGUGGUUCGACGGGGGCUUCAUUUUUGUCCCCAUCCUCCUCCAUGUCUUCGUCAGUCCUAUCAAACUCAUAGUCUGUAUUAGUGUACUCGUCGGGCCCAAUGGUAGGGGCUCCUCCUUGUUCCUCCUCGGGAUUCUCCUCAAGCAUCCCAUGUGCCACUAGGGAUUGAUAAAAAUGGACUCCUUGCUGAGCGUCGUCCAUGGUGACUGCAUGAGGGCGUAUGAAUAAGUCAUGUUUUGAUUAUUCCUAUAGUAUAUUUUACUUAUUUAGGUUUGGUUUCCCUAGAGUUGUUGGAGAGUGAGGUAGGCUUUUGGAUUCAUUUCCCGCUAUGAUUACUCCCAAACACAAUUUGGUCAUAUUCUGAAUAAAUAUAGUUGAUCAGGCUAUAUUUAUCCCUAAUAGGACUACAUAACUGCCCAUGUUUAAUUAUAAUGUUCAAUAUCCUCCAAAAGCUUUUAUUAAAUAUUGUUAGGUUAUUAUCCUAAUAUGCGCAUAUAAGUAUGAAAUUUUUGUUUUGUUCACAGUUAUUUAGUCCCAUUGUGUUUAUAGUUGCAUAUCAUGUAUGGUUAGAUAUGCUAGUUCACUAUAAACAUUGCUUUGAUACCAACCUGUCACACCCCCGACCCAGACGGUGGAAACGUCUAGGGGCUCCUGUGACUAACAAUUGAAUUAUCAUCACAAUGGAUAUACAUGAAACAUAACACAUUCAUCACUAACAUUACAUAUUACAACCAGCAUUGUUCACAUCAAGUACAUUGUUAAAGAUUACAUAAAUUCAAAGUAUUAAUAGUAAGAUAGGUGAUGUGACACAAAAUAAAUCCAUACACACUUGAAAAUCUUCCUGCUUAACAAUUACCUGAGAAUACAAGUUAUUUUGAAAAAUGGUCAACAUAUAUAAUGUUGGUGAGUUCAUAAGUAUGUUUGAAUAAAAGUCUUUGCAUCUUUUGUAAAAACCCAGAAAAUCCGAUAUUUUCUGUAAAAUGUCUGAAAAUGAUGUGAAAAUCAAGUAUAAAUUCAUGUGUGAAUUUCAUAGCAGUAACAUAUAUGAUUUCAGUUUAAAUUUCUUUGUAUUGUAAGUAAGUGAUAAUUGAAUAAUAGUCUUUACCCAGAAAAUCCGAUAUUUCCUGAUUUAUAAUAAUGUCAAGGUUCUUGUAUCAUUAAUUAAGUUGUUUCGUAUUGACAAAAUCGAAGGGUUAAUCUUCGAAAUGUUAAAUUGGUAUUGGAUCUCUAUAUGAGUUGUUAUAACCAUGCAUGAUAAUGACUAGGUUGGCUGUCUUGGCAUUUUCCAAACGCCUGUAUUUGCUCAAGGUUUUGUCACCCUAGACUGGCCUAGUCUAGUUGUAGCCAACAACUAAGGCGUGGGGGGUCACCCCAUAUAGAUCUAUACACAAACUCCCGCUCUCCCUCCAGGAAACUCUGGUUAUAACUACAGACUACGAUUGUACACUCAGAGGUGUCAACCGACAUGUCUCACUAGAUUCUCAACUUUUCAUACCAUGUUUAAUGUUUACGUGAAUGUUGUAUGUUUUCAAAUCCAAAGGUAUAUAUAUAAGUAUACGAACUUUAGGGCUGGCAAUUGUUGACACGAUACGCGACACGACAUGAAAUAAAUGGGUUUGGGUUGAGUUUUUCAACCCGCCAACCCGCUAACCCGUCAACCCACCAACCCGUUUAUUAAACGGGUCAUAUAUGGGUUUCUCAAAAAAUAAACGGGUUGACCCGCCAANUGUAAGUGGACCACCAAGGCCCAACAAACAUGUAACCUAUAGCUCAGGCCCAAAUUAACAUGUAAAUGGGUCGCAAGGCCCAAUAAACAGGUCAUGGAAAAUAUUGGGCUCAAUAUAUACUUGAAUGGGCCCUUAAGGCCCAUUGGCCAUGUAAUGUGAAUAUUAGGUCCAAUAAAAUUGCUAUCAAUGUAUUUCGUCAAUUCGUUAUUAUUUUGUGGUUUGCUUUAGCUCGAUGUUUACCGAAUUAAAUAUAAAAGUCCUCUUUUUGUAUAAACGACGUUCUUGGCCAAGAAGCCUAAAAUUUUGAAUUAAGGCCCAAAGUUUUGUAAAAAUUAACACUUUAGUCCAUAAUUUAUAAAAAUUUGUAAUUUCGCCCCAAAUGUUUAGAAAUUUACGGAUCUAGUCCAAAAAAUUAUAUUUUGAUAUUUAUGGCCCAGUUUCGUAGAAUAUUACACUUUCAGACUCUUGUUUGUAAAAAUGACACUUUUGACCCAAUUUUUAUAAAAGUUACAUUUUUGGUCCAAUUUAGAAAUAUAUGUUAUUUUUUCCCCUAAAUAUGGUUUAUUUACAUUUAUGACUCAAACUUUGGUCAAAUAACAUUUUUAAUCCCAAAACUUCCAUUUUUUUGCAAAUUUGGGCCCAAAACCGUGAGGCCCAAAUAUUCAGCCCAUUAAGCUAAAACUUACGUUUUUGGCCCUUUGGAAAGCAUGUUUAUCAUAAAAAUCCCUUUAUAUACAAGUAGAACCUGUUUGGUCCUUUAAAAACCACUUUUUGCCCUUAUCUUUUGUUUUCUUGACAAUUUUGACUCUUAACAACGUUUUUGCUUUAAAUUUUUGUAUCUUAAACAUAUAAACACUUUUAACUUGAUAAUAUGAUGUAUAAGGUGUCUUAGUUCAUGGGUUUUUUACUUAAUGUUGCUUAAGAUGUCGAGACAUGCUAAGAUCUAACAUAUUUUUUACAAAAUAGACUAAGAAAUCACACACGACAUGCAUAUAACACAUAGAUCUACACAUUUUACUUGUAUUCUCCCCCAAAACUAAUAUGAAAACCAAAAACAAGGGGGUAAGAACUCACCUUUGCUUCGAUGUUUCGGUUUUGAAGAAGAAAUGGAAGAAGUUGAUGUGAUUUUUUGCUCUAGCAAGCUCCUUGAGUAGAUUUCGAGCUUAAGAAGUUUCCAAGAGUCUGACCAUGGAAUAAAGCUAUGUAACAAGGAAUUUUUUGAUGUUAAAAUAAAAGGAGAUGUUUGUGUUUGAUAACAACUUACCAAAGAUUGAAAAUGCUUGAUGAAGAUCCUUAAAACUCAAGCAAAAUUUUGAGAUCCUUGGAGAAAGGAGGAUGAUCUUUGAGAGUGUUUGGAGAGGAUUUGAAAGAGUGUGUGUGUGUGUGUGUGUGUGGUUUGCCUCUCGGCCGUGAGUAGAAGAAGAAGGGGGAAAGAGAAGAUGUGAUGGAUACUUAGGAGUAUAAGCUUUGUAUUUGCUUAAUGGGUAAUUAGCUUGGAGAACCACCAUGUAAUUAUCAUGUGUCAAUGCAUGGUAAUUCUCUUAUUUUCCUUUUUUUACAUGUAUAUGAAUGUACAUAUCUAAUGGGCCGAGAAAAAGAAAGAAUGGAGGGGCUUUGGCCUCUUUUUGAUUUGGUUCGAGUUUAUGAGGCCCAUAGAAAGAGGCUUUCGGCCCAUUGGGCCUUUAGGUGUGUUCACGGCCCAUUUCGAAAGAAGAAAGGGUGUUUAUGGCCCAUUACGGCUAAUUAAUUCAUUAAUGGCCUAAUAAGGCCCAUUAAGGAUAAACCAAUUUAUUUUGGACCCAAAAUGGCCCAAAAUGCUAAGUUUCACGGAAGUGGGUCCAAUUAGUGCCCAUUUAAGGGUCCUAAGCCCAAAAUAGUUAAAUUGGAACCUCAUUGGUCCAUUAGGCCCAAUAAGGAAAUCCUAGUCCAAUAUGGACUUAAAUCGGGAUUCUUAGGGUUUUCAAACUCUUUGUUGAACAUGAGAGGUGAAUUUAAAUGAGCAUUGCGUGAUAUUUACUUAAAGUAUAUGUUUUACACUAGUUGAAUGAUUACACGAGAAUAGAGUUUUCUAGCAAAAAUGCUAGUUGUGACAUUAAUGAAAUCGUGAUUAUUUAUAGUAGGAGCAACAUUCCUCAUAGCAACCACACUUGAUUUACCAACUUCACCUAAAGUCAUCUGCAUAGGCAAGGUGCUUAAGUUUACAAACAAGGUAAAAUCAGUUGAUCGAGUUUUGUUCACGACAUCUAUCUCAUUAACAACACUGAUACUUGGAUGAUCCUAAAGUUUUGAUGAUGAACCUCUUCCACAAAUAUCCGUUUAUUGUUUUGAGUAUGAUCUUUGAGAUAAAACACUUGUUUAGCUUGUGUGGAUAAGAUGUAUUAUUGAUCAUCAUACCUUCUUUUAUUGACAUACCAUCCAUGACUGGUAUCUAUAACGACCAUAUUAUUUAUAGUCUUUAAACAUCCAUUACGUAAUGACACAUUGAACCAUUUACCACGACAGAGUAAAAUUGAGUUACCAUAUAAAUAAUGCGAAUCUAGGAUCUCCUCUAAUUGUCCAUAGAAUGGUCUACCAUCUUCUUGUUGGAUUAGUGUCUAAUUCCAUAACUAUAUUUGGUAUGUACUUGACCCAAUUGGCAUGGUCCAUUUGGGUUGCAUGACAUCAUGCAUUUGGAUAGACUAAAAUGAGAGAAUAACACUUAAGGUUUAUUAAUAUAUUAUAAGUUCUAAUAUAUUAAUAAGAUUAUUUAAUUAGUAUUGAUCAAGAAUUAAUUUGGAACUAAUUAAGUGAUCAAAUGGAGACUAAUUAAAUAUAUGGGUUGAUUGUGUAAAUCAUCCAUACUUGUAUAGUGGGCUAAUGCCCCAUGGAUUAUCAAGUUGGGCUAAAACCCAUAGGAUGCUCCAUGGUGUGUUUGUACCCAUGGAUCAUGGAAAUGAAAAGCCAUGAAAAUUAGGGUUUACAUGGUGUAACCCUAAUUGUGACACACUAUAUAAGUAUCUUAUUCUUCCCAAAAAAAGAGCUAUAAAGGAAUGGUGAGGGCUAGCCGAUUUCAUGAAGUGUCUAAUUUCUCUCAAGUUAUUCUAAGUGUAUUUGGUGUUGUGUGAACCAUCUGAGGUGUCACACUUGGGGAACUAGGCUCUUAAGCUCCGUGGAAUCAAGCUACACCAAAAGGAAUGUCUUCUAACUUGUAUUAUUCCUCAUGAAUCAAUAUUUUGUAUGCUAGUUAGGAUAAUACCUUGGAAUAUUAAUAUUUGCAUGUAUAAUAGAGAAAACAUAGAUCCAAGAUAUUUAGGGUUGCAUGUACACAUAGGAGUGUUAGAAUGCUCAAAACCAUUCACUUCUCCAAAUUUAACAACACCACUAUUUUUAGUAGUGUGUCAGAGAUCACGAAUACUCACAACAAAACGAACACCGACAAUAUGUAUUAUGUUGGUCAUAGACAAUUCUUGAAUAUGAACCAUAGAUGGAGGGAGAGUCUAUUGUUUGAUGGUCCACCCGAUACAAGACCGUAUCCUAGACGAUUUAGUAAUUUAACUAUAUUAAAGUAAUGUAACGUCUGUGUUUCUGGGCUUGCCAUUUUUAGCAAUGUANNNNNNNNNNNNNNNNNNNNNNNNNNNNNNNNNNNNNNNNNNNNNNNNNNNNNNNNNNNNNNNNNNNNNNNNNNNNNNNNNNNNNNNNNNNNNNNNNNNNGACGAAGGUGGACCGGUAUGCGAAGGGACUCCCAUGGGAGUAUGACGUGCCAGUACGUCAGGCACAUACUUUAGAGGCAGCUAUCUGGGCUACCAAGUCUGUUGAGAACAUGAUAAAGGGGAGAACCACCAACAAGGUUGAGGUUGGUGAGAAGAGGAAGUUUGAGGGAACAUCUGGUUCCGGUAAGAAAAGCAAAUUUUCGAAAUCUGAUUCGAAAAGGUUUGGUGGGGGUAAAGGAGGGGAAGCGAAGUGGUGUGAAAAGUGUAAGAAAAAGCAUUUCGGGAAAUGUAGCGAGGAUGUAACUUGCUACAAGUGUGGAAAGGUUGGACAUUUUGCCAAUGAAUGUCCGAACAACAAAAGGAUGUGUUUUGGUUGUAAUGAAGAGGGGCAUAUUUUGAAAGACUGUCCGAAGAAGAAGGAGGCAGCUAAGCCCAACAUUCCACCAAAGCCGAAGGCGAGAGCCUUCCAGAUGACACUUGAGGCUGCGAAAGAUGAAGCUGAUGUCGCUUCAGGUACCUUUCUCGUAAACGAAUUACCUGCUCAUAUAUUGUUUGAUUCUGGAGCCAACUACUCCUUUAUUUCGCAUGAGUUUGGUAGAAAGCUAGCUUUGCCUAUUGAUAGACUAGAUGAUGCUUUAUUAGUCGAAGUAGCUAGUGGCAAGUUUGUACCUGUUAGUCAUCGUAUGAAAAGCAUCUUAAUUGAUCUGAAUGGGAAUAAGUUUCACGAGGAAUUAUUGCCUAUCGAACUAAAUGGUUUCGACAUCGUGUUGGGAAUGGAUUGGCUUAGCGCCAAUGAUGCCGAAAUUUUGUGCAAGAAGAAGAUAGUUAAAGUAAACCCGCCUGGGAAAGAUUCGUUUAUGGUGUAUGGGGACAAACGCAGAGUGAAUUCUGGAAUCAUUUCUCUAAUGAAAGCCAGAAAGUGUUUGACCAAGGGAUGUACAUCAUAUUUAGCAUUCGUGAUUGAUGCUAAGAAGGAAAAGAAGGUGAUGCAGAGUAUUCCAGUGGUGUGUGAUUAUCCGGAAGUAUUUCCCGAGGAUCUUCCUGGAUUACCACCUGAUAGACAAGUGGAGUUCAGAAUAGACUUGUUACCAGGAACCACGCCAAUAGCAAAAGCACCUUAUCGAUUAGCACCGACGGAGAUGAAGGAGCUGAUGAUGCAACUUCAGGAGUUAUUGGACAAAGGUUUCAUUAGACCUAGUUCAUCGCCCUGGGGAGCUCCGGUGUUAUUUGUAAAGAAGAAAGAUGGAAGUAUGAGAAUGUGCAUCGAUUACAGAGAGCUGAACAAGGCAACAAUAAAGAAUAGAUAUCCGUUGCCGAGGAUUGAUGACCUGUUUGAUCAAUUGCAAGGUUCGAGCUAUUUCUCGAAGAUCGAUCUUAGGUCAGGAUAUCAUCAGCUGAAAGUAAGAGAGCAAGAUAUCGAGAAGACUGCAUUCAGAACUAGAUAUGGACACUACGAGUUCUUGGUUAUGUCGUUUGGACUAACCAAUGCUCCAGCAGCGUUCAUGGAUUUGAUGAAUAGGGUUUGUAAUCCUUUCCUUGAUAAAUCCGUGAUAGUGUUCAUAGACGACAUUCUGAUCUACUCGAAAAGCCAGGAGGAGCAUGGCAGACACUUGCGAGAAGUGUUAGAAGUUUUGAAGAAGGAGAAGCUUUAUGCGAAGUUCUCCAAAUGUGAUUUUUGGAUUCGUGAGGUCCAAUUCUUGGGUCACGUGGUCAACCAAGAAGGGAUAAUGGUUGAUCCAGCGAAGAUCGAAGCUGUGACGAAGUGGGAACAACCGAAAAGUCCCACGGAGAUUCGAAGCUUUUUAGGAUUAGCCGGAUAUUACCGAAGGUUUAUCCAAGGCUUUUCUUCGAUUGCUACUCCAUUAACAGCUUUGACCCACAAAGGAGCUACUUAUGCUUGGAGUGAGAAGCAUAAAGAAGCAUUCGAGAAGUUAAAGAAGAAGCUAUGCGAGGCACCGAUACUUUCUCUACCCGAUGGAGUUGAAGACUUCGCUGUUUAUAGCGAUGCGUCUGGUGUUGGAUUGGGUUGUGUUUUGACCCAAAGAGAAAAGGUGAUAGCAUAUGCGUCUCGACAGCUGAAAGAGCAUGAAAAGAAUUACCCGACUCAUGAUUUGGAGUUGGCAGCGGUAGUUUUCGCUCUGAAAAUAUGGAGGCAUUACCUCUAUGGCACGAAGUGCAAACUUUUCACUGAUCAUAAGAGUCUCCAAUACCUCUUUAAUCAGAAAGAAUUGAAUAUGAGGCAACGACGCUGGCUAGAAUUACUUAAAGACUACGACUGCGAGAUACUUUACCACCCCGGUAAAGCUAAUGUUGUUGCUGAUGCUCUCAGUCGGAAAGUCAAUCUUGAAAGGAAGAGGCCAAGAGCGUUGAGAAUUGAAGUUGUCUCGACUAUUGUGGAAAGUAUAAAGAAAGCUCAAGAGGAAGCUUCUGAGAAAAAUGACCGAAAGGAGGAACGUUUGGGUAAAACGUUGGUGUUUGGUACUAACGGUCAUGGACUGAAGGUAUUCCAAGAUCGUAUUUGGGUACCUAAGUCAGGAGGAAUUAGGGAUCUUCUGAUGGAAGAAGCUCACAAAACCAUGUACUCAAUUCAUCCGGGUAGCACUAAAAUGUAUAGGGACCUGAAACCCUACUACUGGUGGCCGACGAUGAAGCUUGAUGUUGCAAAGUAUGUGGCCGAGUGUGUGACUUGUGCGAGAGUCAAGACACAACAUCAGAAACCUUACGGGAGUUUAGAACCAUUGCCUGUGCCUAUGGGUAAGUGGGAAGACAUUGCUAUGGAUUUUGUCACUAAACUGCCCAGAACAAAGAAUGGUCACGACAUGAUUUGGGUGGUCGUUGAUCGAUUCACUAAGAGUGCGCAUUUCAUAGCGGCCAGGGAGAAAUGGUCUAUGGAAAAGCUUGCGAAUUCUUACGUGAAGGAAAUUGUGAGGCUUCACGGUGUUCCGUUAACGAUUGUAUCGGAUCGUGAUAGCCGUUUCACCUCAAGGUUUUGGAAAAGUCUACAAGAGGAAAUGGGUACCAAGUUAUGUUUAAGCACAGCUUACCAUCCGCAGACUGAUGGUCAGAGUGAAAGAACAAUACAAACACUUGAAGAUAUGCUGAGAGCAUGUACCUUGGAAUUCCUAGGUAAUUGGGAUGAACAUUUACCGUUGGUAGAAUUUUCCUAUAAUAAUAGUUUUCACUCGAGCAUUAAGAUGGCACCUUAUCAAGCUUUGUAUGGACAGAAGUGUCGUACGCCGUCUUGUUGGCUUGAGGCUGGGGAAAAGCAGUUUAUGGGACCGGAGAUGGUUCAUCAAACUGCUGAAAAGUUGAAAAUAAUUAGGGAAAGAAUGUUAGCAGCUCAAGAUCGUCAAAAGAGCUAUGCUGACAAGAAGCGAAGACCGAUGACUUUUGAGGUUGGAGAUUCGGUUUUGCUUAAAGUCUCGCCGUGGAAGGGACUUAUAAGAUUUGGUAAAAGGGGAAAGUUGAGUCCAAGGUUUAUUGGACCGUUUAAAGUCCUUCAGAGGAUUGGGAAUCAAGCUUACAAGCUCGAAUUACCCGAAGAACUGAAUGGAAUUCACAACACCUUUCAUGUGUGUUAUUUGAGGAAGUUCACGGGAGAAGUUCCCGAUAUAAUUCCAAUUUCUGAAUUGAGAAUUGAUGAGAACAAAAGGUUGAUUGAAGAACCAGAGGCAAUUGUUGACCGAAAGACUAAGAAGUUGCGACGCAAAAUGGUUGGGUUAGUGCUUGUCCGAUGGAAACACACGAAUGGGCCGAAUCUCACCUGGGAGACGGAGAGUGACAUGUUGAGUCGCUAUCCGCAUUUGUUUGUUGAUGUGUGAUUCCGGGGACGGAAUCAUUCUAAGGUGGAGAGAAUUGUAACGCCUGUGUUUCCGGGCUUGCCAUUUUUAGCAAUGUAAUAGUCUAGGUUAACCUUUGUAACCCGUUUUGAAAUAAUAAGAUUGUAUUAUUUGAGUAUUAUGUGUUUUGUGCUUAAUUGCUUAAUUAUGUGGUUUGAUUAAUUAAGAAUAAAAAUAAGCGUCAAAAUUUAAGUGUAAAAUAAACUUAAUAUCUUUGGUUAAUGUUGUAGUAGUUGAAACGAGGUUUCCGAAUAUAUAUAGAACGCCCAAAUCUGACUUCGUAUGAGGAAGUUAUGAUUUAUCGAAGUUCCGGCUUAGCGAUAUACAGCCUGUUUUACUCGAUUUGAGAUCGAGCGGUUGUUAGCCGAAGCAAUCUAAAUGAGAAUCGAAGAUCUCAUUGUUGGUAUUGAAACGAUAAAAAGUUAGGCGAGAACGGACGUCAAACGAAGAAGUUAUGAAUUUAUAACGAAAGUUUCUGUCCCGGCCUAUUAAAAAUAAUUAAUAAAAAUAAAGUCAAAAUUAGCCGACGGAGUCUAAACGAAAGUCGUAGAGCGUGGUCUCACCUUCGCGUGGAUAUAAAGAACGUCGAAAACGGAGUUCGUAUGAAGAAGUUAUGAAUUUCCGAAGUUUAUUAAUCAUUUUGUAUUUAUUUUUAAUUCAAAAUUCGGAAGCAUUAUCCGAAGGAGUCACCGAUCUGAUCCGAGGUACGCCCCGCGUACUCGAGUACGCCCCGCGUACUCCGAGGGAUGUCGACACUCGCACUCGAGCACUUCGGAUACGUAAGCAAUGACGUUUUGGGCAGUACGCCCCGCGUAACGCAGUACGCCCCGCGUACUCCGAGGCUCCAGCCUCCUAUAAAUAGGAUGCGAGGGUUCCGGGUAUUUUUGCCAAUUCCCUCUCGUUUUCGUGUCGAAGCUCUGUGCAAAAACCCCCGAAGCUACCCCGAAGUCCCGGUAUCAUACUCUAGCCCCGAGGCAAGUCCCGAGAUCCUGAAGAUCCCGAAAAGUGCGGUUCCCGAGUCGAAGCUCUGCCCGCGAGAAGUUCGAUUUUCGAGAAGAUCUUCCAGAUCUGCUGUGGAUUACUACUUCUAUAAGCCGUAGUGCUGUCCGAUCAUCUUCUGAUCAAGUGAGUGUGUAGUUAUUUCUUCUAAUACAAUAAUACGAAGUAUUUUAUAUAAAAAUACGUGCUAUGUGUAUAUAUUUUGUUGUUAUAUAUGUGAAUGUAUACCCACUCUCUUCUAUCUUAUAGAUCUGAUUAUUUCUCAAUGAAAUACGUGUUAUGUGUGUGUGCCUCAUCUGUUAUGUGAAAAAUGUUUUGAUUGAGCAUGCUAUACAGGUUUUGAAACUACGUAUAAAAAUGUAUAUUUUAUCUACUAAUAUGUUGGGUAGAAUAUGGGUAGAUAGUUGGUGUGUAAUAAACAGAUGAGAGGCCUCGAUGUUGUUUUGAUCCAGUCAUCUAGCGGAAUUUAGAUGACGACCACGGACUUUUCUAGACAGUCCAGUGGAACGCUAGCAGGCUCAUAACCUGUAGGUGUUAAUGAACUUGGGUGUUCAUUCGCUGUAUUCCAUCCCCCCCAUGGUUGCCUUAUUUGACUUAUAUUGCUGAGGAACCCCCGAAGCAUGUGUAGUCGCCCCGAUGAAAUAUUCUUUGACUAGGUCCCUUGUGUUAGUUAUUUUAGGGACAUAAAGUGAGAAUAACGGGAAUGGGUAACUGGGUUAUUGUUGGAUGAUAAUAAUUAAUUAAAUUAUUUAUUGUGGGUUGAAAACCCUAUAUGCUCACCAGGCUCCCAAGCCUGACCCACUCAGUUGAUUUAUUUUACAGGAAGUGGCGCAAGAGCUUAAGAUGGGCGAACAUCAAGUUGUUUUGUUUACAAGUCUGUAUAUGUAUAUAUUUGUUGAAAGACUUGUAAUGCUAUCGUUUAUGCUUUAUGAUCUGUAUCGGAACAUGACAUCCCGACUUUUGAUUAUGAAAUGAAAUCAUAUUUCUUUAUGAAAUGUUUUGAUAAAUAUCUAUUUUAUCAUGUUUUGUUUUUGGGAACAAAUUCCGCAUCUCUUUUAAAAAUUAAAAGGAUUUACUCUGAAAAUUAUUUUAAAAAGCAUAAAUGAAAUCGGUCUUUUCUGGCCGAGAUUUUGGGGAUGUCACAAGUAAGUAGCUCGUCUCUCUGAUAAUAUGUAUUAUGUUGGUCAUAGAUGAUUCUUGAAUAUGAACCAUAGCUAGAGGGAUAGCCUAUUGUUUGAUAGUCCACCUAACACAAGACCGCGUCUUAGACAAUUCAGUAAUGUAACUAUAUUAAAGUAAGUAGCUCGUCUCUCUGAUAAUAUUCCAGGGGAAUAUCCUAAUCAUGGGGCUAAAAAAGAAAGCAUGAACAUGAAAGCAAAAAGGCAGAGUUGAAUCGGAUGAAACAAAGUAUCUUAUUUGAGCUUGAGUAUUGGUCUUCCCUCCACCUAAAACAUAAUUUUGAUGUUCUACAUGUUUUGAAAAAUAUGAAUGAGAGUGUGUAUAAUACUACACUGAUGAACGAUAAAAGAAAAUACAUAAAAGAAGUAAGAAUUGACUUGAAAAAUACGGUCAUUCGACCAGAUCAAUGGCCAAAAGAGAAAGUCAAGAAGAAGAAGACAGUACACCAUUCUAUGGUCCCUUGGUUGAUGCAUCUCUCAUUUGGACUCCUUCAACCCAUAACAUUUUCAACUCAGCCACCAAAGGCCUCAAGUAAACAUCAAUGUCCUUUGUAGGUGAUCUAGGGCCAGGAAUCAACAAAGUUAGCAUGAAAGAAGAGUCCUUCAUACAUAUCCAUGGUGGUGUAUUGUAGUUAGUAAAUAUAACCAUCCAAAUAAUAUAAGUAUUAUUAAAGUUGUUGAACGGAUUAAAGCCAUCAGCAGCUGAACCUAGACGAAUAUUUCUAUAUUCUUUAGCAAACUCUCGAUAUCUCUUAUCAAAUUAUUUCCAUGACUUCUCGUCAACCGGAUGACGCAUCUUACCAUCCAUUGAGCAUCCAGUAUUAUGACAACUAAUAUAUUUACCAGUGAAUCUGGAACUAUACAUUCGUCGAAGCCUUGAGUCAAAGGAAACUACCACAAUGCUUUUUGUGGUACUCUCUUCCCAUUUUGUUGUUGUGUCCACCCAUUUGCUUGCAUUACAAAUUCGGGCAAUUUUACAUGGAAUCAUUCUCCUUCCAAAACGAAGCACAAUCAUAUUUACAAGUAUGGAUGGAUUGAUAUCAAACCCUAUCUUUCUCAACUUAUUCUUAGCUUCAUAGUGUGAAGUUGCUCUUCGGGAAUGAAACUCUUAGUAACUCUACAAGUUGGUUAAAAAAAAUAUUUGUCCAUUUAUUUAUCACUUUAGUAUGCAACAACUUUGCCAGAAAGUUUAUGUAACGUCCCAAAAAUUAAGACUAAAAGUUUUUAAUUUUAAAUUAAUUAAAACCAUUAUCCAAACAACAUCUUAGAAAUCAUAGUGCAUCAAAGUGUAUCAAUAACAUCCAUGUACAUCAGCAAGAUAUAAAAAUGCAGAACGACGUGGUGGGUGCAUUGCAAUCAUCCCGUGUAACGCCCGUAAACUCGGGCUAGUCAAUUUAGAGACAAUGUGCGUCAAAAAUGACUUUUUGAUGGGAGAUUGUUUACAAGAAACAAUCUUAACCAAGUUAUAUUAUAUGUCACAAAGGUUCCUUAUAUAUAAAGAACGCCAAAAUCCGAGUUAUAACGAAGAAGUUACGACCUUUCGAAGUUCUACGACAAAACCAACACGGCACCGUGUAACGUAAAAAGUGAAAUCUUGAUAAAUUACUUUUUAGCCUUAGGGAUCUAAAUGAAAGUUGUUUUAUACAUUAAAUUGAGAGCAUGCAUAAAAAGAACGUCAAAAUCUGACUUUGUAUGAGGAAGUGAUGAUUUUUCUAAGAUUUCGCACAGAGUAUACAACCUGGAAUUCGAAUGUCAGAUCGAGUGAUUUUUAGCCAACACAACCUAAAUUAUAAUUGAAUAUCUCAUUAAUAGGAGUUCAACGAUAAAAAGACAGUUAAAAACGGAGUCUGUAUGCAGAAGUUAUGAAUUUUACACGGUCGUUAACAAAAUAAUAUUUUCAUACUGUUAUAUUUAAAAUUGGUUGAGAAUUAGCCGAUUCAAUCUAAAGGAAAGUUGUAGAUCUUGUCAAUACCUAUGUGUGGAUAUAAAGAACGUAAAAAACGGAGCUCGUAUGCGAAAGUUAUGAAUUUUUUAAAAUUUGUUGUUUUACCUGCGUCCAGCGCCACGUGUCAGCACCAGGCGAAGCCUUAGUGCCUACACAAGGCCACGACGUGGAUUAUAAGUCUAUGAUGUUGAUUUCCCCAGAUAACCUAUAAAUAGAGGUGGAAAUAAUCCAUUUCCUUCACACCUUCACCCUUCUUUCUGUCUCAACACUCCCAAUCUCUCCCUCCUAAUCCCUAGCAACUUCUAAGUGCUAGAGGCGAGUCCCGGAGCGCCAAAAGGGUCCGAGAAGAAGAGUUUUCGUCUCAAAAUUUCCGCCCCCUCAGAGCCCGGUUCCUAGCCAAACCCCCAGGAAGUGAGUUAUGCUUACACUACUUUAAGUAUACUUAUGUUUAAGUUUAUUAUCGUUAUUAUGAACUUAUAAACAAGAUUUAUCAGUGAUUCCAAGUCGUUAUACUAAUUGAUCUACUUACGGGGAUGAUAUAUAGGUUGUGAUUUAGUGAGGUGUUUAAAGUGGGAUUUCAAAACAGUAUACUUCGUAUACGAAACGGAACUUACCUCCGAUAUGAUCCUACAUGGUUGUUCCUUACUUGAUAGAUCAUGAAAGUAGACUUUGAGUUAAUGAUGAAUCUAGACUAAUAAUUAGUCGUGCGUAAAGAUUAGACUAAAACUUAGCGAUAAUAAUGCUAGGUUUCAUCGAAGGAAAAUAGAAUCAUGAGAAGCAAAGUGCUUCCCGAGUUUGGAAUUAUCACUUUGAUAAGUGAGUGCAUAGUUACUUUCAUCUUACACAUAGAUAUGAAGUAUAUUAUAUAAAUUACAUGCUAUGUGUUCAUAUUAUAUGUUUACUUUAUAUCUAUGCUAGAUGAAUGAUCCUAUACAUGUUUUGAAUGAUUUAAACUGUAUAUAUAUUUUUUGUAUCUAUAAAAUCUAUUGGGUAAAACAUGGGUAGAUGAAUGAUAAGGGAUGAAAGUUGAUAUAGAGGAACAUUGGCAGUUAUAGACAUAGUGUCCUAUAGGUGAACAUUGACAACAAUGGACUUAGUGCCCUAUAGAUGAGCAUUGGCAGCCGUGCCACCACCUGUAGAUGUUUUGAUCUACGAUGUACUCUAAACAUCAUAGCAGCUGCGCUCAAAGGGUAGUAUCGGCAGCUGCGUGUAACGCAUGUGUUUCUAGGCUUGUCAUUAAUAUUGAUGUAAUAGUGUAGGUUAACCAUUGUAACCUGUUUCGAAAUAAUAGAAGUGUAUUAUUUGAGUAUUAUGUGUUUUGUACUUAAUUGUGUGUCUUAAUUAAAUUAAGUAUGAAAAUAAGCAUCAAAAUUAAAUGUUACAUAAAGCUGAUAUCUAUGGAUAAUUUUGUAGUAGUUGAAACGAGGUUUCUGAAUAUAUAUAGAAUGCUGAAAUCCGAGUUAUAACGAAGAAGUUAUGAUCUGUCGAAGUUUCGCGACAUAAAUCGGCACGACGAUGAAUGACGUAAAAAGUGAAUUUAUGUUAGAUUUAUCUUUAGUCCUAGUGAUCUAAACGAAAGUUGUAGAGUUCGUUAAACCGAUAGCGUGCAUAAAAAGAUCGACCAAAUCUGACUUCGUAUGAGUAAGUUAUGAUUUUCCGAAGUUUCGACUUAGCAGUGUGCAGCCCGAAUACUCGAUUUGAGAUCGAGCGGUUUUUAGUCGAAACAAUCUAAACGAGAAUCGAAGAUCUCGUCAAUGGUAGAGCAACGGUAAAAAGAUAAAUGAAAACGGACGUCAGAUGAAGAAGUUAUGAAUUUAUAACAGAGUUUUCCUAUCCCGGCCUACUAAAAAUAAAUAAUAAUAAAAUAAAUUCAAAAUCAGCCGACAGAGUCUAAACGAAAGUUGUAGAGUGUAGUCUCACCUACGCAUGGAUAUAAAGAACGUCGAAAACGGAAUUCAUAUGAAGAAGAUAUGAAUUUCUGAAGGAUUUAUAUGAUUAAUAUUUAUUAAUUAAUCUUUAAUUCGAAUGUAUAUCCGAAGGAGUCACCGACCUGAUCCACACUAUGCCCAGCGUACACCGAAGCGUGACCCACCUCGCACUCGAGUGCUCCGAUGACACAUGCAGUGACGAAUCCGAAGCGUACGCCCCGCGUACUGAGCAUUACGCCUAGCGUAAUGCGAGGCUUCAGCCACUAUAAAAGGGCAUGCGAGGGCAGCCAAUCCUUUUGCUCAAUUUCUUUUCUCUCUCUCUUGUUUUCCAUCGUUUUGCGUUCAACUUAUACCCCGAAUCCCCAGUAUCAUUCCCGAGCCCCGAAGCAAGUCCCGAAGCCCCGAAGAUCCCGAGGAGUAGAGUUCCCGAGCCGAAGCUCUACCCGCGAGAAGCCAAUUUUUGUGAAGAUCUUCCAGAUCUAUCAAAGAAUACUACUUCUACAAGUCGUAGUGCUAUCUGUUCAUCUUCUAAUCAAGUGAGUGUGUUGUUACUUUCUUCUAACGCAUAAUUACGAAGUAUUUUAUAUGAAAUACGUGUUAUGUCUAUAUUUUGUGUUGGAUAAGGUGUCUAAGUCCAUAACUAUUUCUGGUAUGUACUUGACCCGACCCGGCAUGGUCCAUUUGGGUUGCAUGGCAUCAUCCAUUUGGAUAGACUAUAUGAGAGAAUUAACACUUGUGGUUUAUUAAUAUAUUAUAAGUUCAAAUAUAUUAAUAGUAUUAUUUAAUUAGUAUUGAUCAAGAAUUAAUCUAGAAUUAAUUAAGUGAUCAAAUGGUGACUAAUUAAAUAUAUGAGUUGAUUAUGUAAAUCCUCCAUAACUUAUAUAGUGGACUAAAGGGCUCCAUUGAUAAUCAAGUUGGGUUUGUUGGAUUAUUGUCUAAGUCCAUAAACUAUUUUGGUAUGUACUUGACCCGAUGGUGUAUGGUCAUUUUGGGUUGCCUUCACCAAAGCAACUUGAUAGGAUGAAUUAUAAAGAGAAAGGAUUAAAUAUGAUUUAUUAAUAUAUUAUGAUAAUACUAUAUUAAAGGAGAAAUCAUAUUGUUUAAUUAAUAUUAGUCAAGAAUUAAUUGAUAAUUAAUUUUGUGACUAAAAGAGAUUAAUUAAACUUAAGGGACUAGAACUGUCAAUUGUAUGAUAGUUGAAUAUUGAGCUAAUGGACUCCAUAUUAAAGGAGUGGAUGAAUUCUAUGGGGAAACCCAUUAGAAAUCGUCCUAGGCCUUUAAGGAAGGAGCCCAUGGGUUACUUAGGGCUUAAGCAUCCAAAUUAGGGUUUCCUUGUUAGAUAACCCUAAUAGCCUCACUAUUUAAGGACCCUUUGGGCACCAAAAACGUAGGCAACUGAAUCCUAGGGGUUUCUACACGUUUUUGGGUGUUUCUUCUCUUCUCCUAUUCAUCCUCUUGCUCUUGGUGUUUGUGAACCAUUAGAGGAGUGACAUUUGUGACUCUAAGCUUUCUAAAGUCAUUACAAAGGAGGAUUUGAGAUUGUUAUUGCUACAUAACAAUCAAGGUAUGAUCUAAACCCUAAUUCAUAUCUUAUACUGAUUAUCAUAUACUAGAUCCAAGCAUUAGGGUUUGUAUGAGCACAUAGGAUGUUCUUAUAGCUAAAACCCAUCAGUGGUAUCAGAGCCUUGAUUGGUUUCUAUUGUAUUGAUGCCUUGUUAAUUUGUUCAUGCUUGAAAAAUUCGAUUUUGUGAGUCUGCCUAAUGAACUCGGCGAGUCCCAUUGUGGACUCGGCGAGUAGGCCCCUACUCGGCGGGUCCAUAGGGGUACUCGGCGAGUUCGAGCGUCAGAAAGAGGGGACUUCGAGAUUUCUUGCUGAUUUACUCAUGGAUACUUGCCUUAUCUGUUUUAGAUCAUUAAAAUCCGAUUUUAAACAUAUUUAUGAGUAUAUCCUUGAUUAAACAAAAGAUAAUUACCAAUUGAUUAGAUAAUAACUUCCUUAUAUGAUAAAGUUUGAUUAUUUGUAUUAAUUGGGUAACUUAUUUUGCAAGAAAUUGAAAUUAGGUCAAAUAUAGAUAAUGAUGAGAUUAAUUGUUUAAUUUAUAUUAUUUGUUAUUUGAUCCUUGUGUUAUGAAAAGUUUCAAUUUUCCCCUUUAGGUUUUAUAGUUUAAAUUUGAACUCAAAAGUUUNUAGGGUUUCAUGUACACCACAGGAACGAUGUUUCAUAAACUUGACGAGUUCCAUAGACUCGAUGAGUUAAGUGUCCUGGUGCCGGGAUUUUCGAUUUUCUGGCCAAAUUUUAAUGAGGAUAACUGUGAAAACUCGUUUUUCUUUCCUAAAUUCAAAUCUUUAAGAUCGGUAUGGAUAUCCUUAUCAGAUUUGGUGGAUUUAGUUAAAUAUGGAUGAUAUAGGAUUAUUUUGAUUCAAAUAUUUAACCUAGUAAGUUUGAAAAGUUUCAAAUUACACCCUUUAGGUUUUAUAGUUUAAAUUUGAACUUAAAAGUUUUAGUUUUGAAAUUUAAAUAGUUAAACCCUAAUAUUUUGAAAAGUUUUAAAAUUUGUCCUUAAAUUUUGGAAUUUAAAAUUUAAUUAAAAGGUAUUACUUUUGCAAUAUUAAUUUCUAAAACCCUAGUGUUUUGAAAAGUUCAUAUUACACCCUUAUGGUUUUAUUAAAUUAAUUAAGUGCUUAAUUAAGAGAGAGAAUUAAUAAAUCCAUAACAAUAUGGUUUAAGAUUAAUCAAAUUAAAAGUGUAAUUUAUUAAUAGAUUAAACCACCUAAUAUUUUUAAAGUGUAAAAUACACCAUUAUACUAUAUAUAAAAUUAAAAGUCUAAUAUAUUAUAUAUGUAUAAGUAAAGAGUCUGUCUUAUCGUUAGUAAGCCUUAUUCACGAAGUUGGUCUUUAAGGGGUGUUUAAGGAAGCGGCAUGUAAAAUGACCGUCAUUGGAUAUCCACUCUUACCCACCGCACCAUUAACUAGUGGAGGGUCAUUAGCCGAAUGGGUAGGAUAGGACAUAACCUUCCAUUAUAAGUAUAAUGAAAUACGAAGUAACUAAACGUUUAUAUAAAUUCUCAAAUCUUAGUUACUGUAGGAAAAAUGUGAAUUUGGUGCUAAUCCAUGAAAUUGCACAUUGCACCUUGUUGGUCGUUAGUGGAGCGUGUGUGGUUAACAGAACACUAAUAUGGGACCAAUGAAGGAUGGCAAUGGGUUUCUCGUAAUAUUAUCAUUGAUCAAUGGAGCGUGUGUGGUUAACCGGCACAUUGAUUGGGUGGUGAUCGACAUCGAGAGUAUCAAGCUAAUUUGCAUGGUUAUUCACACCUUGUUUGUGAUCCUCGGCGUCCCAGUCACAAACUUGAAAGGCAUAAUCGAGAUUAAACAUGCCAUUGAAAAGUUUAAUGAAUCUCAAAAGAUCUAGGGCUUUCAAUUCAUUAAUAACCUAAUUUUCAUUUUUGUUUUUCAUGGUGGAAAUUGGUAAAUCGUCAUUUACCUACCUUCAAAUAUUUUGCGACUGGAUUACGGCAUCCCUCUUCCGAAUUGUAGAAUAUUGUGUUGGAUCCUAGCCUUAAUAUUCCCUUUGGGUGUUAUAUUAAGGAUUGAAUCAACUAACUUGAACUUCUCCCAUUUUGUAGAUGUCUAAAUCUAACAACUAUGGUAUUCCACAAUCCUUUGGAAAAAGUCUUCCACAUGAAGAUGAUGUUCCACGAUUCGAUCGAGGAACAAGAGAUCAUGCUUCACUUCAUCCUCCUCCUCCCGUUGUUCUCCCUAACCCACAAGAUCGAAGAAUUGAAAGGUUCAAUGUCACUAAAGCCCUAUUGGAAAUGAAACAUGAAGAUAAUGUUGGGUGCGUCAUUCCCCGAUAAGUUGGCUGUGAACUGGGUUCUGCAGUCGCUCCCUGAAUCAUAUAAUGAGUUCAAGAGAAUGUAUUAUAUGAUGGAUCAUGACGAUAACCUCAUUGACCUAACUUACAUGCUCAUUGCUGCUGAAUCAGAAAUAAUUUGGCAAAGCAAUGGAGCGGUUUUGUUGGGAAAGUCAACCAACCAUGCUUUCGAGGACGUUCUAGGAGAACCGACCUGCGUUUGCUGCCAAGAGAAAGGGCGUUGGAUACAAGUUUGCCCUAAGAGCCUGAAGAAUCCAAAAGAUGGGAGAGUCAAAGAGUAUGGUUGUGCUUCAGGUAAAAAUCCACUAUCUAACUCCAUUAAGUUCUUAUUCGUUGAUUCUUAAUACAUGAUGUGAUAAGAUUGCAUUUGAAUGUUUUGCAGGAUCAGUGAAAAGAGAGGAAGCUUGAUGGAAAAGCAAGAUAAGUCUAAUCACAAAGAAAUGGAUCUCGAUCGCAUGGACUUGAAGAUUAGAUUUUGAGCUUAGAAAGUUAUGAUAGAGUUGUUAGGAAUAUUAGACUACAUAGUUUUUCAGUUAAUUUUGCAUUGUAAGGAAAAAUGUUUUCCGCUGCUUUUAUGAAUAAAAUAAAUUUUGAUUUGACUCAUUUAUUUAUUUAUUUCCUUGCAAUGAAAUCGUUAUGAAAAAUUGAUGUUUGCAUAUUUCUACAACGAAUGGAUGUGAUUCUUAAUUAUGUUAAUUAUGGAAAGGUCAAGAAUUUACCAAAUAGGAAAAGUUUCUCAUCGCCCAAGUUUCAAUUGGAUAGAGACUUGGGUCAUGCAACUUGGUUGCACGAUGAAUGAGAAAUUUCAUAUGUGGAAAUAAGACUAAUUCGUUGACAAAGUGUCAAGUGAAGAACUAGGAGAUCGAGUACACAAAGUUGUGUGUUGAUCAAGUCCACCGCAAGAGUAACGAAGAUAUUCGUCAUGAUUUACUAGAGGUUUAGUAAAAAUGAUUAUACUUAUAAGAUUAAGUGUAAUUCUGAAUUGAUUGAAAAAGGUUUAAAUCAAUAGCAUAACGAAUAAGAAGAAUCAAGUAGACAGAAAGAUAAAAGUCUCUCUAUUCUAAGAAGAAGGGAGAGUAUCUUUAUGCUUUAUGAUAUGUCUUAAUGAUUAAGAACCAUAUCUCAAUUGAUCCUCUAAGUAAGUCUUAGUACAAUUGUAUGUCUGAGAAGAGGAAUCAAGAAUUAAAGAAAUGGUUAAAAUCAAGAAGUCAAUCGUAUUUCGUUCCAAACAAGUCUUAGAGUUAAGAUUGUGACAUAGAGUGACAAGUAUUAGGAAGGUUUAUGACAAUCAUCAAAUGUAGAAUUUGGAAAAGGGUUUUCUUAUUCUUGCACAUUUGAAAUUCGUAAGUUGUGAUGUCUUGGAUUAGACAAAGACCAACGAGGACCAAUUUGUGAAGUGUUUUGUCUUGAUAAAAGCUACACUAACUCUUGAAUAUUUGGUUGUCGAGAAAUGUUUAUUGACAAGAGAAUCUUAUAUGUCAAGGAGUCAGUGGGAGUCUUAAUGGUCUUGAAAAGGUUUCAAUAACAAAUCAAAAUAAACCUUAUCAAUCAUCACUAGCACACGAGUUGAGGUUUACAACCUAUCGUGUUGACAUUAUCUUGUUUCUGUGCCGUUCCAAUCGAGUUAAUUAUGCAUGUGAGUUCUAUGAGUUCUCAUUUGAAUGCAUAAAAGGCAAGGACCUUGAUCAAUGGAAAGUACAUUGAUAGGAAAGGGUGAGCUGCUUAACUACUUGGAAGACAUGGUGGGCAGCCGUGUUACCAUAAGGCAAGAAAUCAAGAUUAAGAGUUCGGUCCAUAUAAGUUUGAAUUUGUCAUAAACUUUGGUUUUAACAAAUUCACAUGGAUAGGAACACAUACACUAUUAAAAUCUAAGUGUCAUAAGAUUCCCUCCUUCAUGGAAAUGACUGUGAGGUAAUGCUUUCACUAAAAGAGAUUUUAAGAAGAUAGUAAUUGUGAAAAUUGGAUUCUCGAAUUCGAUUAUGGUUACAGUAUCCCUUUCCAUGAUUCGAAUUGUAAGAUUUGGCAAUUAGUCUGAAUUGUUUAGACACACAUAUGAGCUAUCUAAGGGAAAGGUGUAUAAGCUUAGAUAAAGGAUUAUCAAAGCAUUAGUUAUUAGAAACAUGAACUUAAGAAAUUCAAUAGGUAUUGUUCUUCUGAAAGUUAAGUUGUUUCUAAAUACAUGUCAAAGCUAGUGGGAGCAUAAGUGUUAUGUUUAUAAUAAUCAUCAUGAUAGUGGGAGCAUAAAUGUUAUGAUUAUGUGAUUAUUAAGGCAAGUAUUGCAAGUUAGCAAUAUUAAUUAUAGAAAACAAGAGUUAUACUUUGCAAAGUCACAAUGGUUAAAAGGUUGUUUUGCUAUAAUUAAGGGAGAGAAUAUUAUGCUUCAUUUCAAAACUAAAGGCUUAGGUUGUGGAAUGUUAAUUAUUUUAGUCAAGGAUACAUAGUAUUCUUAAAUUUCGAUUAUGAUUACGACAUUUCUCUUCAUAGUUCGAAUUGUGAGAACAUAGCACAUAAAAUAUUAUGGCAGAAGACUGAUAAAGUAUCAAAUCUUUAUGCAUCGUGUCCCAUGCGCUUCGGGUAUAGGAUCGAUUGCAAAUGCUAUAAUAUUUGACCAUUCCAAAAUUUUCCAAAUGUCUAGCGCAUUUAGAGGGAAAAGGACAAGAAUAGGUUUUGACUAAGAUAAUUAAACAACUAUCAAAGGACAAUCCAAAGUUCGCCAAGGAUUGGUCACUUAUGAGUAGUUGGAAGUAUAGUAUUGAAUAGACCAUAUCGACAUUAUUAUGAAUAGAAAAGAUUCUAUUAAGAAUGAGUUGUCAUAUGGAAAAUAUGGAAACGUUUCCAUAUUGGGAGUCGGAUAUUGAGAAUCUAUGUCUAGAUUAGAAAUUUUAUGCAAAAGGAUGUUCAAAGGAAUGUCCUUUGAGUGAGAGACAUCACAUCUAAGGAAUUGUCUUGUAACAAUCUCCAAUAGACAGCUUUGUAAUUCAUUGGCAAUAGUCAUUGUGACUUUGGUGCAGUGACAUUAUGAAAGGAUGAUUGCAUAAAAUAUUAGAAUCUAACAUAUUCCAUAAGUGGCAAGAAUUUGAUAUUCUUUCACUUGUGAAAAGGAUUGGGAGUUAUGAAAUGAUUAUGAUUGGAAAUGUGUUCAUUUGAUCUAUUUCACAAAGUAAGAACCAUAGAUAAACACUGUGUGCAUGCUAAGAGCAUGGGACAAGUGUUGUAAUAAUUUAAGUAAGAAGUUUAUUACCCGAAACAAGAAAUAAUGAGUAAUCGAUAUGGUGAUAAUAAAAGGUGUUUUAUUUAUACUCAAGGUUUGAGGCCAUAUGGGACUAGUAUUAUUCUUGUGUUUCACUUUGCAUGUUUUGACUUCCUAAAUAAUUUAAAUUGGUUUAGAACAGUUAAAUUAUUCGAACGGGCCCUAGUCGUUCAUAUGUUGGAAGUAGGUAUGAAUGAAGACUGUCAUGAAUUGGUGUGUGGAUUGUCUAAAGAGCAUUAGACAUAAGCAAAUGUUUGCUGCAACGUUCAUGAGUGCUUAUAAAUAUGAUUUGAGCAUUGCAUUAAACCCACGCUCACUUGGAUCACUUCAUGGAUUUUAUCACGAGUGAUUGGUGAGACGAUAAUAUCUUAUAUUCUUGAAACCGAGAUGUGUGAGUUGUAUCUUGCGAGUUGGUUGCACAUUGAUAAUACGUAAACGCACCAGUAACUUGGUGUUAUAAAACAUAUUGUUGUGUGUGAUUCGGUGAGUAAGUGCAAUCGAACAUUGAGUCAAAGUUUAUCCGUUCCUUUUAUCAAAAGUAGGAUAAAAACGAUUUCUGUGGGCCCCUCGAUUAUUUAGUGAUGGCACCUAAGCGCUUGGCCAAGCCGGGACUAAAUUGAUGUGUUCAAUUGUAGUCUAUUGUUAGUCGUCAUAAAUCUGAAUUCGGGAAACAACACAUAGACAGAGAGAAUGUUUUAGAUCCAUGUCUCAGUCUAUACGAUAUCUAGAAUGGAGGAAUAUAUGAUCCCUUAUCUAAAGGAUACGCGAAUAUGAUAAGAUCAGAGUUGACAGCGGCUUUAGAAAGCUACGAUUGCAGAUCAGGAUCUGAAGUCAUACGCAUAAUAGUUAUUAGACUUAUCCAAGUGGGAGACUGUUGGAUUAGUGUCUAAGUCCAUAAACUAUUUUGGUAUGUACUUGACCCGAUGGUGUAUGGUCCUUUUGGGUUGUCUUCACCAAAGCAACUUGAUAGGAUGAAUUAUAGAGAGAAAGGAUUAAAUAUGAUUUAUUAAUAUAAUAUGAGAAUAAUAUAUUAAAGGAGAAAUCAUAUUGUUUCAUUAAUAUUAGUCAAGAAUUAAUUGAUAAUUAAUUUUAUGACUAAAAGAGAUUAAUUAAACUUAAGGGACUAGAACUGUCAAUUGUAUGAUAGGUGAAUAUUGAGCUAAUGGACUCCAUAUUAAAGGAGUAGACAAAUUCUAUGGGGAAACCCAUUAGAAAUCGUCCUAGGCCUUUAAGGAAGGAGCCCAUGGGUUGCUUAGGGCUUAAGCAUCCAAAUUAGGUUUUCCUUGUUAGAUAACCCUAAUAGCCUCACUAUUUAAGGACCCCUUGGGCACCAAAAACGUGGGCAACUGACUCCUAGGGGUUUCUACACAUUUUUGGGUGUUUCUUCUCUUCUCCUAUUCAUCCUCUUGCUCUUGGUGUUUGUGAACCAUUAGAGGAGUGACAUUUGUGACUCUAAGCUUUCUAAAGUCAUUAUAAAGGAGGAUUUGAGAUUGUUAUUGCUACAUAACAAUCAAGGUAUGAUGUAAACCCUAAUUCAUAUGUUAUAUUGAUUAUCAUAUACUAGAUAUAGGGUUUAUAGUCUUGGAUGAGUUGCAUGUACAAUAGAGAAACCUAGAUCCAAGCAUUAGGGUUUUUAUGAGCACAUAGGAUGUUUUUAUAGCUAAAACCCAUCAGGGUUAAACCCAUUGGAUGCUCCAUGGAGGCUCCAUGGGAGUUACAAACCCAUGGGUAAUGGAAAUGAAGAGUCAUGUCACAUUAGGGUUUACAUGGCGUAACCCUAGAUGUGACACACUAUAUAAAGAACAUCAUACUCCCUAAAAUCGGCUACACAUAGUGACAAGAGGGCUUGCCUGAUUUUUUGAGUGUUACACGUUCUCUCAAAGUUGUUCCAAAGCAUUUGGUGUUGUAUGAAGCAUUUGAGGAAUCACACUUAGGGUGCUAGGCUCUCAAGGUUUCAAGGAAUCAUAACAACAACAAGGUAUGUGUUUCUAGCUAUCUUUUAUAUUAUAAAGUUCCCCAUGUAUGCUAGAUAGGUUUAUGAACCUUGGAAAAAAGUAAUUUGCAUGUAUCUUAUACAAACAUAGAUCCAAGGUUCUCUAGGGUUGCAUGUACACUUAGGAGUGUUAGAAUUGCUCAAAACCCUUCGAUGGUAUCAGAGACUAGGCUUGCUUGUUUGAUAUUUGAUGCAAAAUAGUGAAAAAAGUCGAUUUUUUGUUGUCUGCCUGCUGAAAUCGCCAAGUCCAUGGGGGGACUUGCCGAGUUCAUGUGUAAAAUCAUCCUACUCGUCGAGUAGGUUCAUGCACUCGACGAGUAGGAGCCUCAGAAUGCAGUUUUUUGACUUUUGCUGCUGGAAAUGGACUAGAAACGUUACCCUAAACUGUUUGGGUGUUAUUAAACAUGUUUUAGAUGGUGUAAUGGUUGUUCUAAUCCAUUUAUAAUGACUAAUAUCAAAAUUCCAUGAUUUUAUGUUUUCUUGAAAAUUUGAUAUUCAUAUUCAUGUUCUUAUGAGUUUAGAUGAUCAUAGGAAUUAUGUGUAACUUCUUGAUAGUUUUAAUUCUUAAUCAUUAUGUGUUUUAAUGGAAUCCAUAAUUUGUCCUCAAGUUAUGAAUUACCAAAAGUUUUAUCUUUGAAUGUCCAUUGAAGAAACACAUAGGUUACAUAAAAUGAAGAUUUACUCAUUUUAAUGAACCAAUUAAUCUCAUAAGUUAUGGAUUGAAGAGUUUUGUUAAGUUACAAAACUUUCCCUCAAAUUUUGGAACUUGUAAAGUCACCUAAUUAACUUUAGUUCCAACCCCUAGAAUUUAAAAUGUUAAAAUUCAACACUUAUACUUUAUAAUAUUAUAAGUUUAAUAUAUAUAUAUAUAUAUAUAUAUAUNNNNNNNNNNNNNNNNNNNNNNNNNNNNNNNNNNNNNNNNNNNNNNNNNNNNNNNNNNNNNNNNNNNNNNNNNNNNNNNNNNNNNNNNNNNNNNNNNNNNNNNNNNNNNNNNNNNNNNNNNNNNNNNNNNNNNNNNNNNNNNNNNNNNNNNNNNNNNNNNNNNNNNNNNNNNNNNNNNNNNNNNNNNNNNNNNNNNNNNNNNNNNNNNNNNNNNNNNNNNNNNNNNNNNNNNNNNNNNNNNNNNNNNNNNNNNNNNNNNNNNNNNNNNNNNNNNNNNNNNNNNNNNNNNNNNNNNNNNNNNNNNNNNNNNNNNNNNNNNNNNNNNNNNNNNNNNNNNNNNNNNNNNNNNNNNNNNNNNNNNNNNNNNNNNNNNNNNNNNNNNNNNNNNNNNNNNNNNNNNNNNNNNNNNNNNNNNNNNNNNNNNNNNNNNNNNNNNNNNNNNNNNNNNNNNNNNNNNNNNNNNNNNNNNNNNNNNNNNNNNNNNNNNNNNNNNNNNNNNNNNNNNNNNNNNNNNNNNNNNNNNNNNNNNNNNNNNNNNNNNNNNNNNNNNNNNNNNNNNNNNNNNNNNNNNNNNNNNNNNNNNNNNNNNNNNNNNNNNNNNNNNNNNNNNNNNNNNNNNNNNNNNNNNNNNNNNNNNNNNNNNNNNNNNNNNNNNNNNNNNNNNNNNNNNNNNNNNNNNNNNNNNNNNNNNNNNNNNNNNNNNNNNNNNNNNNNNNNNNNNNNNNNNNNNNNNNNNNNNNNNNNNNNNNNNNNNNNNNNNNNNNNNNNNNNNNNNNNNNNNNNNNNNNNNNNNNNNNNNNNNNNNNNNNNNNNNNNNNNNNNNNNNNNNNNNNNNNNNNNNNNNNNNNNNNNNNNNNNNNNNNNNNNNNNNNNNNNNNNNNNNNNNNNNNNNNNNNNNNNNNNNNNNNNNNNNNNNNNNNNNNNNNNNNNNNNNNNNNNNNNNNNNNNNNNNNNNNNNNNNNNNNNNNNNNNNNNNNNNNNNNNNNNNNNNNNNNNNNNNNNNNNNNNNNNNNNNNNNNNNNNNNNNNNNNNNNNNNNNNCUCCUGGAAGAAUCGCGGGGCCACCCCGACUCAACUCGCCGAGUCUGAAGAACAACUCGACGAGUCCCAGUUAAUCUUCAAGCUACUCGCCGAGUCUGUUCAUCGGACUCGGCGAGUCCAUGCCAUGCAACCGCUCAAACUGCUUUCUAAGGUCAGAACUGCUCCGACCAUUCAUAGGUCUGGCCUUCCUAGACUGAUUCAUCACGUAAGGUCCUCAUUUCGGUGCUCAUAAUACACCCCAUGACUCAUAAUUUACAUUUUGACCUAAGGCAUAAGGAUUCCAAUCCAAAACCUCCAUUGAUUCCUGAAAUGCUCAGGCAUGGGACAUUCUGGACUUCCAAAGAUCUCAAUACAGGGUUCCAAUCGUUUGGGGGACUAAAGUAACACUCAAUCUAGCCACAAAAGGGUUCAAUAAAUCCUAAAUCCAUAUACACAUCAACAUAGAAGAAUGUAACUCGAAAUAUUACCUGAAUAACGUGCUCUCUGUGUCCCCAAUCCACAGAACGUGGCUCUUCCUGUUGUUCCCUUAACCAAGCCUCUUCUUCCUUGCAAAACCACACUUCCAAAAUCAACAAUGGUCUUCAACCUUGCUCCAGACGCUCACAAUCGAAUUAGGGUUUCUCUCAGAGGACUAGGGUGAACAAUGACGGCCAUAAAGUCCCUCAUAUACGUCCCAAACCUGAACGGUUAGGGUUUUCGCUAAAUAGCGCAGACUCGCCGAGUCCAUAUCCGGACUCGUCGAGUCCAGUCGCGAACCCGCAACCAGAUCCGCGAUCCUACUCGGCGAGUCUAGGCUCCAACUCGCCGAGUCCCCUCUUAAAACACCCAAAAUCAUAAAUAUAACAAUACCUGAAAUUCCAGGCUGUUACAGUAAUCGGGUUAUUGUUGGUUGGUAAAAGUAAAUACAAUUAUUUAUUGCGGGUUGAAAACACUAUAUGCUCACCAGGCUCCCAAGCCUGACCCACUCAGUUUAUUUGUAUUACAGGUAGUGGCGCGAGGGCAUAAGAUGGACGAAUCAUCAAGUUAUUUUGUUUAUUAGACCAGUUGUUAUAUGUAACUAUUGUAUGGUCUAUCUUUUGUUGUUUAUGCUUUUGUGUCUGUAUCGGAACAUGACAUCUCGAGUUUUGAUUUUAUAGUGAAAAUACAUUUCUUUAUGAAAUGCUUUGGUAAAUAUUAUUUUAUCAUACUUUGUUUUUGGGAACAAAUUUCGCAACUCUUUUAAAUCAAAAGGAUUUACUCUUAAAUUAUUUUAAAAAGCAUAAAUGAAACUGGUCUUUUAUGGCCGUGAUUUUGGGGAUGUCACAGUGGGUAUCAGAGCAUUAGUUUAAGCGAACUAGGAAUUUGUAAGAUUUCUAGACUUAAACUUAGAAUGCUAAGUGGAGAUUGUGAGAAGUGUGUCUGUUAUAUUAUGGACACGAGCACUAGUAUAUUUUAGGAAGUUGCCUAAAAUGCUCUUAGGUGCUAAAUGUUAUAUGUUGCCAUAUAUGAUAUUAUUUGUUUGGAUCUAUGGUCUGUUGCCGACCGGAUCAUGAAACCUUAUGUGUGUAGGAUUCUAAGCAUACGUCUACGACAUUAGAACUAGCAUGUAAACGUUUCGGAGUGAUAUGGAAGAUCGUAAUAUCUAUCAUGAAUAAAGAUCUAAAUUUCACCUUAUUCGGUGUAUUGAUCAAGAAUGGCAAGAACAAGAAGCAGUGAUGGAAAUGCAAACAAGAACAGGAAUCAACCGCCUCUAAUUGAACAAGUAAUUGUUGAAACUGCUGCACCAGAGCAAAUCACUCUGGCUGGGGUGCAAGCCAUGAUUCGGGCUAUGUUAGCCGAACAAAAGGAAGAAAUGCGACAGAUGUUGCAUGAAAAUAGGGACGAACCAAUCAUACCCAUUGAGGAACCCAAACUGAUUCCCGAACAAUCGGAGGAAGGAAACAAUAGUCGCGUUGUGAGUCAAGUUGGGAGUCAAGGAGAACGAAGGAACGACCCGGAAAGGGGAAACAAAAAGGAUGGGAGAAUGUAUAAGAAUUUCUUGGGCGCCAAGCCGCCAAGUCUUUCUGGGAACCUAAAGCCCAUUGAGAUUAUGGAUUAGAUCUCCGAAAUGAAGAUGGUAUUUGAAAGUUGCGACUGUAUCAACAAACAGAAGACUGUCUUUGCAGUUAGACAACUGAAGACCGGAGUCUUGAGCUGGUGGAAGUUGUUGGCAGAUAUUAUGUCAUGAGGAGAAGCCCUGAAAAUGUCAUGAGAGGAGUUCUUAGAACAACUAAGGGCGCAGUAGUGUUCAGAGAUAGAUCUGAUUGAUCUGAACAAUGAGUUCCAAAACUUAAAGAAGGGGAGGAUGAGCAUAAAUGACUAUGCUAUCGCAUUCACUGAUAAAAUGAGGUUAUUUCCAUACCUAGUGCGAAUGAAACUCUCCAAGAUUGAGAGGUUCGCUAAUGGACUACCUUCCGACUUUUGCCCGAUAGUCAAGAUGGCAACUACUCUAAAAAUAGUUGUUUGUGCGGCUAAGAAUGUGGAGACCCAGCAGAAGGAAAAGGGUCUGGAAAGAAUAGAGGUUGGUGAGAAAAGGAAGUUGGAUGGACCUUUAGGGUCCAACAAGAAAAUCAAGUUUUCGAAGUCUAGUUCGAGAGGAGGAGGAGGAAGAGAAGCCAAAUGGUACGACAAAUGUAAGAAGAAGCAUCAUGGAAAAUGUGAAGUAGUAGCCACAUGUUUUAAAUGUGGAAAGCCAGGGCACUAUGCCAAUGAAUGCACUCUCACCAAGAAAGUUUGUUAUGGCUAUGGUGAGGAGGGGCACAUCUCGAGAGAUUGUUCGAAGAAGAAGGAGGCAUCAAAACCCAAUAUUCCCCCAAAGCCGAAGGCGAGAGCAUUCCAGAUGACACUGGAAGCUGCAAAAUAUGAAGCUGAUGUCGCUUCAGGUACCUUUCUCGUAAACAAAUUGCAUGCCCAAAUUUUAUUUGAUUCUGGAGCCAACUACUCCUUUAUUUCGCAUGAAUUUGGUAGAAACUAGCUUCUCCUGUCGAUAGACUAGAUAAUGCUUUAUUAGUCGAAGUUGCUAGUAGCAAAUUUCUACCUAUUAGCCAUCGUAUGAAAAACAUCUUAAUUCACUUGAAUGGGAAUAAGUUCCAUGAGGAAUUAUUGCCUAUCGAACUAAACAAUUUCGACAUCGUGCUGGGAAUGGAUUGGCUUAGCGCCAAUGACGCCGAAAUAUUGUGCAAGAAGAAGAUUGUAAAGGUAAAUCCGCCAGGNGCAAGAAGAAGAUAGUAAAAGUAAACCCACCAGUGAAAGAGUCAUUUAUGGUGUAUGGGGACAAACGCAGAGUAAAUUCUAGAAUCAUUUAUCUAAUGAAAGCCAGAAAGUGUUUGGCCAAAGGAUGUACAUCAUAUUUGGCAUUUGUGAUAGAUUCUAAGAAGGAGAAAAAGGUGAUGCAAAGCAUUCCUAUCGUAUGUGAUUAUCGGGAAGUAUUUCCCAAAGAUCUUCCCGGAUUACCGCCUGAUAGAAAUUUGGAGUUCAUAAUAGACUUGUUACCAGGGACGACGCCUAUAGCAAAAGCACCUAAUCGAUUAGCACCAUCAGAGAUGAAGGAGCUAAUGAUGCAACUUCAGGAGUUAUUGGGCAAAGGUUUAAUUAGACCUAGUUUAUCACCCUGGGGAGCUCCGAUGUUAUUCGUGAAGAAGAAAGAUGGAAGUAUGAGAAUGUGCAUCGAUUAUAGAGAGCUGAACAAGGCAACAAUAAAGAAUAGAUAUCCGUUGCUGAGGAUUGAUGACUUGUUCGAUCAACUACAAGGUUCAAGUUAUUUUUCAAAGAUCGACCAAAGGUCAAGAUAUCAUCAGCUGAAGGUGAAAGAGCAGAUAUAGAGAAGACUGCAUUCAGAACACGAUAUGGACACUAAGAGUUUUUGGUUAUAUCAUUUGGACUAACCAAUGCUCCAGCAUCAUUCAUGGAUUUAAUGAUCAUGGUUUGUAAUCCGUUCCUAGAUAAAUCUGUGAUAGUGUUCAUAGAUGACAUUCUGAUUUAUUUGAAAAGCGAAGAGGAGCAUGGCAUACACUUGCGAGAAGUGUUAGAAGUCUUGAAGAAGGAGAAGUUGUAUACAAAUUUCUCCAAAUGUGAUUUCUGGAUUCGAGAAGUCCAAUUCUUGGGUCACGUGAUCAACUAAAAAGGGAUAAUGGUUGAUCCAGCAAAGAUUGAAGCUGUAAUGAAGUGGGAACAACCGAAAAGUCCCACGGAGAUCCGAAGCUUUUUAGGAUUAGCCAGAUAUUACCGAAGGUUUAUCCAAGGCUUUUCUACGAUCGCUACUCCAUUAACAGCGUUCACCCACAAAGGAGUUACUUAUGCUUGGAAUGAUAAGCAUAAAGAAGAAUUCGAGAGGCUAAAGAAGAAGCUAUAUGAGGCAGCGAUUCUUUCUCUACCCGAUGGAGUUGAAGACUUCGCUGUUUAUAGCAAUGCGUCUGGUGUUGGCUUGGGUUGUGUUUUAACCCAAAGGGAAAAGGUGAUCGCAUAUGCAUCUCGACAGUUGAAGGAGCAUGAAAAGAACUACCCGACUCAUGAUUUGGAGUUGGAAACGGUAGUUUUCGCUCUGAGAAUAUGGAGGCAUUACCUCUAUGGCACGAAGUGCAACUUUUCACUGAUCAUAAGAGUCUCCAAUAUCUCUUUAGUCAGAAAUAAUUAAAUAUGAGGCAAUGAAGUUGGCUUGAAUUACUUAAGGAUGUACGACUGCGAGAUACUUUACCACCCUGGUAAGGCUAAUGUUGUUGCUGAUGUUCUCAGUCGGGAAGUCAAUCUUGAAAGAAAAAGGCCAAGAGCGUUGAGAAUAGAAGUUGUCUCAACAAUUGUGGAGAGUAUAAAGAAAGCUAAAGAGGAAGCUUUUGUGAAGAAUGAUCGAAAAGAAGAACUUUAGGGAAAAAUGUUGGUGUUCGGUAUAAACAGUCAUGGACUGAAGGUGUUCCAAGAUCGGAUUUGGAUACCUAAGACAAGAGGAGUCAGAGAUCUUAUGAUGGAAGAAGCUCAUAAGUCCAUGUACUCAAUUCAUCCCGGUAGUACUAAAAUGUAUAGGGACCUAAAACCCUACUACUGGCGGCCGACGAUGAAGCUUGAUGUUGAAAAGUAUGUAGCCGUGUGUGUGACUUGUGUGAGAGUCAAGACACAACAUCAGAAACCGUAUGGGAGUUUAGAACCUUUGCCUGUGCCUAUGGGUAAGUGGGAAGACAUUGCUAUGGAUUUUAUCACUAAACUGCCCAGAACGAAAAGUGGUCACAACAUGAUUUGGGUGAUCGUUGAUCGAUUCACUAAGAGUGCGCAUUUCAUAGCAUCCAAUGAGAAAUGGUCUAUGGAAAAGCGUGCGAAUUCUUUUGUGAAGGAAGUUGUGAGGCUUCACGGUGUUCCGUUAACGAUUGUGUCAUAUCGUGAUAGCCAUUUCACCUCGCGAUUUUGGAGAAGUCUACAAGAGGAAUUGGGUAGCAAGUUGUGUUUGAGUACAUCUUACCAUCCACAGACUGAUGGUCAGAGCGAACGGACGAUACAAACACUUGAAGAUAUGCUGAGAGCAUCUACCCUAGAAUUCCAAGGUACUUGGGAUGAACAUUUACCUUUGAUGAAAUUUUCCUACAAUAAUAGUUUCCACUAGAGCCUAAAGAUGGCACCUUGUCAAGCUUUGUAUGGACAGAAGUUUCGUACGCCGUCUUAUUGGCUUGAGGCUGGAGAAAAGAAGUUUAUGGGACCCGAGAUGGUUCAUCAAAUUGCUGAAAACCUGAAAAUAAUUUAGGAAAGAAUGUUAGUAGCUCAGGAUCGUCAAAAGUGCUAUGCUGACAAAUAGCGAAGACCGAUGACUUUUGAAGUUGGAAAUUCGGUUUUGCUUAAAGUCUCGCCAUGGAAGGGACUUAUAAGAUUUUGUAAAUGGGCAAAGUUUAGUCCAAGGUUUAUUGGACCUUUUAAAGUUCUUGAGAGGAUUGAGAACCAAGCUUACAAGAAUGAAUUGCCAGAAGAACUGCAUGGUAUUCAUAACACUUUCCAUGUGUGUUAUUUGAGGAAGUUUACUAGAGAACUUCCCGACAUGAUUCCACUUUCGGAGUUGAGAAUCAAUGAGAACAAAAGGUUGAUUGAAGAACCAGAGGCAAUCGUUCACUGAAAGACUAAGAAGUUGGGACGCAAGAUGGUCGAGUUUGUGCUUGUCCGAUGGAAACACACGAAUAGGCCAAAUCUCACCUGGGAGACGGAGAGUGACAUGAUCAGUCACUACCCGCAUUUGUUUGUUGAUGUGUGAUUCCGAGGACGGAAUCAUUCUAAGGUGGAGAGAAAUGUAACACCUGUGUUUCUGGGCUUGUCAUUAAUAUUGAUGUAAUAGUCCAGGUUAACCAUUGUAACCCGUUUCGAAAUAAUAGAAGUGUAUUAUUUGAGUAUUAUGUGUUUUGUGCUUAAUUGUGUGUCUCAAUUGAGUUAAGUAUGAAAAUAAGCGUCAAAAUUAAAUGUUAGAUAAAGCCGAUAUUUAUGUAUAAUGCUCUAGUAGUUGAAACGAGGUUUCCGAAUAUACAUAGAAUGCCGAAAUCCGAGUUAUAAGGAAGAAGUUAUGAUAUGUCGAAGUUUCGCGACAGAAACCGGCACGACGCUGAAUGACGUAAAAAGUGAAUUUACGUUAGAGUGAUACUUAGCCCUAGUGAUCUAAACGAAUGUUGUAGAUUUCGUUAAAUUGAGAGCGUGCAUAAAAAAAUCGCCCAAAUCUGACUUCGUAUGAGGAAGUUAUGAUUUUCCGAAGUUUCAACUUAUCAGUGUGCAGCCCGAAUACUCGAUUUGAGAUCAAGCGGUUUUUAGCCGAAACAAUCUAAACGAGAAUUGAAGAUCUCGUUAAUGGUAGUGCAAUGGUAAAAAGACAGAUGAAAACGGACGUCGGAUGAAGAAGUUAUGAAUUUAUAACGGGGUUUUUCUGUCCCGGCCUACUAAAAAUAAAUAAUAAAAAAAUAAUAUCAAAAUCAGCCGACGGAGUCUAAACGAAAGUUGUAGAGCGUAGUCUCACCUACGCGUGGAUAUAAAGAAAGUCGAAACGGAGUUCAUAUGAAGAAGAUAUGAAUUUCCGAAGUUUUUAAAUGAUUAACAUUUAUUAAUUAAUCUUUAAUUCGGAUGUAUAUCCGAAGGAGACACCGAUCUAGUCCGCACUACGCCCAGCGUAGUUGAGUACGACCAGCGUACACCGAAGUGUGACCCGCCUUACACUCAAGAGCUCCGAUAACGCAUGCAGUGACGAAUCCGAAGUGUACACCCCGCGUACUGAGCAUUACGCCCAGCGUAAUGUGAGGCUUCAGCCUCUAUAAAAGGGCUUGCGAGGGCAGCCAAUGCUUUUGCUCAAUUUAUUUUCUCUCUCUCCCGUUUUGCAUCGUUUUGCAUACAAAUUAUACCCCGAAACCCCGAUAUCAUUCCCGAGCCCCGAAGCAUGUCCUGAAGCCCCGAAGAUCCCGAGGAGUAGUGUUCCCGAGCCGAAGCUCUGCCUGCAAGAAGCCAAUUUUUUUGAAGAUCUUCCAGAUCUACCGAAGAAUACUACUUCUACAAGUCGUAGUGUUGUCCGAUCAUCUUCUGAUCAAGUGAGUAUGUAGUUACUUUCAUCUAAUGCAUAAUUACGAAGUAUUUUAUACGAAAUACGUGUUAUGUGUAUAUUUGUUGUUAUAUGUGUGAAUGUAUAUUCACUUUCUUCUAUCUCGUACAUAUGACUAAUUCUCUAUGAAAUAUGUGUUAUGUGUAUCUGUCUCAUCUGUUGUUUGGAAUAUGUAUUGAAUGAGAAUGUUAUACAGGUUUUAAACUAAGUAUAAAAAUAUAUAUUUUUAUCUACUAAUAUGUUGGGUAGACCAUGGGUAGAUGGUUGAUGUGUGAUAAACAGAUGAGAGGCCUCGAUGUUGCUGUUGAUCUAGUUAUUCAGCGGACUAUGGAUAAUGACCACAGACUCUUUCGAGACAGUCAUGUGGAACGCUGUGACAUCCUCAAAAUCACGGCCAAAAAAGACCGUUUUAAUUUAUGCUUUUAAAAUAAUUUGAGAGUAAAUCCUUUGAUUUAAAAGAGUUGCGGAAUUUGUUCCCAAAACAAAAUAUGAUAAAAUAAAGUUUUUCAAAGCAUUUCAUCAAGAGAUGCAUCUUCAUUAUAUAACAAUAUUCGGGAUGUCAUGUUCCCAUAAACAGACCAAAAAUAUAAACAACAAAAGAUAGAUCAUACAACAGUUACAUAUAACAAUUGGUCUAGUAUCAAAAGAUCUUGAUAAGUCAUCCAACUUAUGCUCUCGCGCCACUACCUAUAAUACAAAUAAACUGAGUGGGUCAGGCUUGGGAGCCUGGUGAGCAUAUAGGGUUUUCAACCCGAAAUAAAUAAUUAUAUUUAAUUUCACCAACCAACAAUAACCCAAUUACCCAUUCCCGUUAUCCUCACUUUACGUCCCUAAAACAACAUCUAUCUCAAGGGAUCUAAUAUAGGAUUUUCAUCGGGACAGACACUGCACAGGGGUUACCUCAAUAGUAGAUGUCCUAAAGGCAACCAUGAGGGGGAUAGAGUACACCGGUGAACACAUCGUUCACAACACCUAGCUAGCGUUCCACAGGACUGUCUAGAAAGAGUCUGUGGUUGUUAUCCAUACUCCGCUGAAUAACUAGAUCAACAACAACAACAUCGAGGCCUCUCAUUUGUUUAUCACACAUCAACUAUCUACCCAUGUUCUACCCAACAUAUUAGUAGAUAAAAAUAUAUAUUUUUAUACAUAGUUUAAAACAUGUAUAGCAUUCUCAUUCAAUACAUAUUCCAAUCAACAGAUGAGACACAUACACAUAGCACGUAUUUCCUAGAGAAUAAAUUAUAUCUCUGAGAUAGAAGAAAGUGAAUAUACAUUCACACAUAUAACAAAAAAUAUACACAUAACACGUAUUUUGUAUAAAAUACUUCAUAAUUAUGCAUUAGAAGAAAGUAACUACACACUCACUUGAUCAGAAGAUGAUCGGACAACACUACAGCUCUAAGAGUAGUAUUCUUCGGUGAAACUGGGUUCACUUCACUCACCAGGCUUCUUGCGGGCAGAGCUUCAGCUCGGAAACUCUUUUCUUCGAGGGAUCUUCGAGCUUCAGGACUUGCUUCGGUUGUCGGGAUGAUACCGGGGCUUCGGGGGUACUUUUUCACGUAAAUCGAGGUAAUAUGAGUGAGAGAGAAGAGAUUUGGCAACCACAAACGGUUGCCCCUUCAAAUCUAUUUAUAGGGCUAUUUUCUCAUUUUCCACGUCGUGGGCACUUCUUCCACGUCGUGAGCUUGGUCGUCAUUGCAUGCGUCAUCGUCCACUUGCUCUGCCAGGCUCCAGAAGGCGUCAGAAGCCAUGCCACGUCGUGGUCUCUGACGGUUUUGGUGUUUCGCACCCCGAACUUCAGAAAUCCAUAACUUUCGCAUACUUACUCCGUUUUCGACGUUCUUUAUAUCGACGUGUAGGUAAAAACAAGAUCUACAACUUUCAUUUAGACUUUGUAUGCUAAUUUUGACUUUAUUUUUAAUAUAUUAAUAAUAUACUAUUGUUAGUAGGCCGGGACAGGAAAACCCCGUUAGAAAUUCAUAACUCCUUCAUCUGACGUCCAUUUUCGACUGUCUUUUCACCGUUGGAGUACAAUCGAUGAGAUCUUUGAUUCUCGUUUAGAUUGUUUCGUCUAAAUAUCGCUCGAUCUCGUAUUCGAACUUCGGGCUAUACACUGCUAAACAAAAACUUCGAAAAAUCAUAACUUCCUCAUACGAAGUCAGAUUUGGGCCUUCUUUUUAUGCACGCUCUCAGUUUAACGAACUCUACAACAUUACUUUAGAUCGCUAAGUCCAAAUAUUUUUCUAAUGUAAACUCACUAUUUACGUCUCGCUGUGUCGUACCGGUUCUGUCGCGAAACUUCGACAAGUCAUAACUUCUUCGUUAUAACUCGGAUUUCGGCAUUCUUUAUAUAUUCAGAAACCUCGUUUCAACUACUACAACAUUAUCCAUAGAUAUUGGGUUGAUCUAACAUUUCAUUUUGACGUUUAUUUUUAUUCUUAAUUAAAUUAAGACAUACAAUUAAGCACAAAAACACAUAAUACUCAAAUAAUACACUUCUAUUAUUUCAAAACGGGUUACAAAGGUUAACCUAGACUAUUAUAUCAACAUUAAUGACAACCCCAGAAACACCGUCAUUACAAUUCUCUCCACCUUAGAAUGAUUCCGUCCCCGGAAUCACACAUCAACAAACAAAUGUGGGUAGCGACUCAUCAUGUCACUCUCCGUCUCCCAAGUGAGAUUUGGCCCAUUCGUGUGUUUCCAUCGGACAAGCACAAACUCAACCACAUUGCGUCGCAACUUCUUAGUCUUUCGGUCAAAGAUUGCCUCUGGUUCUUCAAUCAAUCUUUUGUUCUCAUCGAUUCUCAACUCCAAAAGUGGAAUCAUGUCGGGAACUUCUCUCGUGAACUUCAUCAAAUAACACACAUGGAAAUUUUUAUGAAUUCCAUUCAGUUCUUCUGGUAGUUCGAGCUUGUAAGCUUGGUUCCCAAUCCUCUAAAGAACUUUAAACGGUCCAAUAAACCUUGGACUCAACCUUCCCCUUUUACCAAAUCUUAUAAGUCCCUUCGACGGCGAGACUUUAAGCAAAACCGAAUCUCCAACUUCAAAAGUCAUCGGUCUUCGCUUGUUGUCAGCAUAGCUCUUUUGACGAUCUUGAGCUGCUAACAUUCUCUCCCUAAUUAUUUUCAACUUUUCAGCAGUUUGAUGGACUAUCUCUAGUCCCAUAAACUGCUUUUCUCCAGCCUCAAGCCAACAAGACGGCGUACGACACUUCUUUCCAUACAAAGCUUGAUAAGGUGUCAUCUUUAUGCUCGAGUGGAAACUAUUAUUGUAGGAAAAUUCUACAAAAGGUAAAUGUUCAUUCCAAUUACCUUAGAAUUCCAGGGUACAUGCUCUCAUCAUAUCUUCAAGUGUUUGUAUUGUUCGUUCGCUCUGAGCAUCAGUCUGUGGAUGGUAAGUUGUACUCAAACACAACUUGGUACCCAAUUCCUCUUGUAGACUUCUCCAAAAUCGCGAGGUAAAGCGGCUGUCACGAUCUGACAAAAUCGUUAACGGAACACCGUGAAGCCUCACAACUUCCUUCACAUAAGAAUUCGCACGCUUUUCCAUAGACCAUUUCUCAUUGGAUGCUAUGAAAUACGCACUCUUAGUGAAUCGAUCAACGACCACCCAAAUCAUGUCGUGACCACUUUUCAUUUUGGGCAGUUUAGUGAUAAAAUCCAUAGCAAUGUCUUCCCAAAUACCCAUAGGCACAGGCAAAGGUUCUAAACUCCCGUAUGGUUUCUAAUGUUGUGUCUUGACUCUCGCACAAGUCACACACUUGGAAACAUACUUUGCAACAUUAAGCUUCAUCGUCGGCCAACAGUUGUAGGGUUUCAGGUCCCUAUACAUCUUAGUGUCGCCGGGAUGAAUUAAGUACAUGGUUUUGUAAGCUUCUUCCAUCAGAAUUUCUCUGACUCCUCUUGUCUUAGGUAUCUAAAUCCGAUCUUGGAACACCUUCAGUGCAUGACUGUUUACACCGAACACUAACGUUUUGCCCAAACAUUCUCCCUUUCGGUCAUUCUUCUCAGAAGCUUCCUCUUGAACUUUCUUUAUACUUUCCAUUAUUGUCGAGACAACUUCAAUUCUCAACGCUCUUGGCCUCUUCCUUUCAAGAUUGACUUUCCGACUGAGAGCAUUAGCAACAACAUUUGCUUUGCUGGGGUGGUAAAGUAUCUCACAGUCAUAGUCCUUAAGUAACUCUAGCCAGCGUCGUUGCCUCAUAUUCAAUUCCUUCUGAUUAAAGAGAUAUUGGAGACUCUUAUGAUCAGUGAAAAGUUGGCACUUCGUGCCAUAGAGGUAAUGUCUCCAUAUCUUUAGAGAGAAAACUACCGCCGCCAACUCCAAGUCAUGAGUCGGGUAGUUCUUUUCAUGCUCUUUCAACUGUCGAAAUGCAUAUGCGAACACCUUUUCCCUUUGGUUCAAAAUACAACCCAACCCAACACCUGACGCGUCGCUAUAAAAACAAAGUCUUCAACUCCAUCGAGUAGAGAAUGUAUCGGUGCCUCGCAUAGUUUCUUCUUUAGCUUCUCGAAUGCUUCUUUAUGCUUAUCACUCCAAGCAUAAGUAGCUCCUUUGUGGGUCAAAGCUGUUAAUGGAGUAGCGAUCAAAGAAAAGCCUUGGAUAAACCUUCGGUAAUAUCCGACUAAUCCCAAAAAGCUUCAGAUCUCCGUGGGACUUUUCAGUUGUUCCCAGUUCAUUACAGCUUCAAUCUUUGCUGGAUCAACCAUUAUUCCUUCUUGGUUGAUCACAUGACCCAAGAAUUGGACUUCUCGAAUCCAAAAAUCACAUUUGAAGAACUUAGCAUAUAGCUUCUCCUUAUUCUAGACUUCUAACACUUCUCGCAAGUAUCUACCAUGCGCCUCUUGGCUUUUCGAAUAAAUCAGAAUGUCAUCUACAAACACUAUCACUGAUUUAUCAAGGAACGGAUUAGAAACCCUGAUCGUUAAAUCUACGAAUGUUGUUGGAGAAUUGGUUAGUCCAAACGACAUAACCAAAAACUCAUAGUGUCCGUAUCGUGUUCUGAAUGCAGUCUUCUCUAUAUCCUGCUCUCUUACUUUCAGGUGAUGAUAUCCUGACCUAAGAUCGAUCUUUGAGAAAUAGCUCGAACCUUGUAGUUGAUCAAACAGGUCAUCAAUCCUCGGCAACAUAUAUCUAUUCUUUAUUGUUGCCUUUUUCAGAUCUCUGUAAACGAUGCACAUUCUCAUACUUCCAUCUUUCUUCUUUACGAAUAACACCGGAGCUCCCCAGGGUGAUGAACUAGGUCUAAUGAAACCUUUGUCCAAUAACUCCUGAAGUUGCAUCAUCAGCUCCUUCAUCUCCGUCGGUGCUAAUCGGUAAGGUGCUUUUGCNNNNNNNNNNNNNNNNNNNNNNNNNNNNNNNNNNNNNNNNNNNNNNNNNNNNNNNNNNNNNNNNNNNNNNNNNNNNNNNNNNNNNNNNNNNNNNNNNNNNNNNNNNNNNNNNNNNNNNNNNNNNNNNNNNNNNNNNNNNNNNNNNNNNNNNNNNNNNNNNNNNNNNNNNNNNNNNNNNNNNNNNNNNNNNNNNNNNNNNNNNNNNNNNNNNNNNNNNNNNNNNNNNNNNNNNNNNNNNNNNNNNNNNNNNNNNNNUCUUUCCCAGGUGGGUUUACUUUGACUAUCUUCUUCUUGCACAAUAUCUCAGCAUCAUUGGCGCUAAGCCAAUCCAUUCCAAGCACGAUGUCAAAACCUUUAAGUUCAAUAGGCAAUAAUUUCUCGUGAAACUUAUUCUCAUUCAAAUCAAUUAAGAUGUUUUUCAUACGAUGACUAACAGGUACAAACUUGCCACUAGCAACUUCGACUAAUAAAGCAUUAUCUAGUCUAUCGACAGGCAAAGCUAGUUUUCUACCAAAUUCAUGUGAAAUAAAGGAGUAGUUGGCUCAAGACUCAAAUAAAAUUUGGGCAGGCAAUUCGUUAACGAGAAAGGUACCUGAAGCGACAUCAGCUUCAUCUUUAGCAGCUUCCAGUGUCAUCUGGAAGGCUCUCGCCUUCGGCUUUGGCGGAAUGUUGGGUCUUGCUGCCUCCUUUUUGGGGCAGUCCCUAGACACGUGUCCCUCCUCACCACAACCAUAACAAACUUUCUUGGUGAGAGUGCAUUCGUUGGCAUAGUGCCCUGGCUUUCCACAUUUAAAACAUGUGGCCACUACCUCACAUUUUCCAUGAUGCUUCUUCUUACAUUUGUCGCACCAUUUUGCUUCGCCUCCUCCUCCUCUCGAACUAGACUUCGAGAACUUUUUUUUCUUGUUGGACCUGAAGGUCCUUCGAACUUCCUCUUUUCACCAACCUCUAUCCUUUCCAGACCCUUUUCCUUCUGUUGGGCCUCCACAUUCUUAGCUGCUCGAACAACUUUUUUCAGAGUGGUUGCCAUCUUGACUGUCGGACCUAAUUCGGUAGGUAGUCCAUUAGCAAACCUCUCAAUCUUGGAGAGUUCCGUUGGCACCAGGUACGAAAAUAACUUUAUUUUCUCAGUGAAUGCAGUAGGAUAGUCGUCUACGCUCAUUCUCCCCUUCUUCAAGUUUUGGAAAUCAUUGUUCAAAUCAAUCAGAUCUAUCUUUGAACAGUACUGCACCCUUAGUUGUUCCAAGAAAUCCUCCCAUGACAUUUUCAGGGCUUCUCCUCAUUGCAUAGUAUCUGCCAACAGCUUCCAAAAACUCAAGACACCAGUCUUCAGUUGUCUAAAUGCAAAGACAGUCUUCUUUUUGUUGCUACAGUCGCAACUUUCAAAUACCAUCUCCAUUUCGGAGAUCCAAUCCAUAAUCUCAACAGGCUUCAGGCUUCCAGAAAGACUUGGCGGCUUGGCGCCCAAGAAAUUCUUGUACAUUCGCCCAUCCUUGUUGUUUCUCCUUUCCGGGUCGUUCCUUCGUUCUCCUUGAGUCCCAACUUGACUCAUAAUGCGACUAUUGUUUCCGUCCUCCGAUUGUUUGGGAAUCAGUUCAGGUUCCUCAAUAGGUAUGAUUGGUUCAUCCCUAUUUUCAUGUAACAUUUGUUGCAUUUCUUCCCUUUAUUCGGCUAACAUAGCCUGAACCAUGGCUUGCACCCCAGCCAUUGUUAUUGGUUCUGGUGCUGCUGCUACAACAGGUAUUUGCUCAAUCACUGGUGGUUGAUUCCUGUUUUCAUCUGCAUUUCCAACGCCACUCCUGGUUCUUACCAUUUUUUAUCUACACACCGAAUAAGGUGAAAUUCGAUCCUCAUCCAUGAUAGAUAAUUAAAUCAUCCUUAUCACUCCGAAACAUUUACAUGUUAGUUCUAAUACCGACGUCAUACGCUUAGAAUCUUACACACAUAAGGUUUCAAGAUCCGGUCGGCAGUAUACCAUAGAUCCGAACAAAUAAUAUCAUAUAUGGCAACAUAUAACAUUUAGCACAUAAAAGCAUUUUAGGCAGCUUCCUAAAAUAUACUAGUGCUCGUGUCUAUAAUAUAAUAGACACACAUCUCACAAUCUCCACUUAGCAUUCUAAUUUUAAGUCUAGAAAUCCUACAAAUUCCUAGUUCGCUUAAACUAAUGCUCUGAUACCAACUGUGACAUCCCCAAAAUCACGGCCAGAAAAGACCGUCUUAAUUUAUGCUUUUACACUAAUUUCAGAGUAAAUCCUUUGAUUUAAAAGAGUUGCGGAAUUUGUUUCCAAAACAAAAUAUGAUAAAAUAAAGUUUAUCAAAGCAUUUCAUUAAGAGAUACAUUUUCAUUAUAUAACAAUGUUCGGGAUGUCAUGUUCAGAUAAACAGACCAAAAGCAUAAACAACAAAAGAUAGACCAUACAACAGUUACAUAUAACAAAUGGUCUAAUAUCAAAAGAUCUUGAUAUGUCAUCCAACUUAUGCUAUCACGCCAAUACCUGUAAUACAAAUAAACUGAGUGGGUCUGGCUUGGGAACCUGGUGAGCAUAUAGGGUUUUCAACCUGCAAUAAAUAAUUACAUUUAAUUUCACCAACCAACAAUAACCCGAUUACCCAUUCCCGUUAUCCUCACUUUACGUCCCUAAAACAAUAUCUAUCUCAAGGGACCUAAUCAAGGAUUUUCAGCGGGACGGACAUUACUGCAAAGGGGUUUCCUCAACAGUAGAUGUCCUAAAGGCAACCAUGAGGGGGAUAGAGUACACCGGUGAAUACAUCGUUCACAACACCUACAGGUUAUGAGCCUGCUAGCGUUCCACAGGACUGACUAGAAAGAGUCUGUGGUCGUUAUCCAUACUCCGCUGAAUAACUAGAUCAACAACAACAACAUCGAGGCCUCUCAUCUGUUUAUCACACAUCAACUAUCUACCCAUGUUCUACCCAACAUAUUAGCAUAUAAAAAUAUAUAUUUUUAUACAUAGUUUAAAAACUAUAUAGCAUUCUCAUUCAAUACAUAUUCCAAUCAAUAGAUGAGACAUAUACACAUCGCACGUAUUUCAUAGAGAAUAAAUCAUAUCUAAGAGAUAGAAGAAAGUGAAUAUACAUUCACACAUAUAACAACAAAAUAUACACAUAACACGUAUUCUGUAUAAAAUACUUCAGAAUUAUGCGUUAGAAGAAAGUAACUACACACUCACUUGAUCAGAAGAUGCUCGGACAGCACUACAGCUCUAAGAGUAGUAUUCUUCGGUGAAACUGGGUUCACUUCACUCAUCGGACUUCUUAUGGGCAGAGCUUCGGCUCGGAAACUCUUUUCUUCGCGGGAUCUUCGAGCUUCUGGACUUGCUGCGGGUGUCGGGAUGAUACCGGGGCUUCGGGGGUACUUCUUUGCAUGUAAAUUGAGGUAAGAUGAGUGAGAGAGAAGAGAUUUGGCAACCACAAACGGCUGCCCCUUCAAAUCUAUUUAUAGGGCUGUUUUCUCAUUUUCCAUGUCGUGGGCACUUCUNUUCACAUCGUUACAUCAUCGCAAGUUGGGUCUGGUAGACUCCAGGAGUCGUCAAAAGACAUGCCACGUCGUGACCACUGAUUUCACAUCGUGGUCUCUGACAGUCUUGGAGUUUCGCGCCCCGAACUUCAGAAAUUCAUAACUUUAACAUACGAACUCCGUUUUCGACGUUCUUUAUAUCGACGCGUAGGUAAAAACAAGGUCCACAACUGUUAUUUAGACUUUGUAGGCUUAUUUUGACUUUAUUUUUAAUAUAUUAAUAAUAUACUAUUUUUAGUAGGCCGGGACAGGAAAACUCCGUUAGAAAUUCAUAACUCCUUCAUCUGACGUCUGUUUUCGACUGUCUUUUCACCGUUGGACUACUAUCGAUGAGAUCUUCGAUUCUCGUUUAGGUUGUUUCGGCUAAAUAUCGCUCAAUUUCAUAUUCGAACUUCGGGCUGUACACUGCUAAACCGAAACUUCGAAAAAUCAUAACUUCCUCAUACGAAGUCAGAUUUGCACAUUCUUUUUAUGCAUGCUCUCGGUUUAACGAACUCUACAACAUUCCUUUAGAUCACUAAGUCCAAAUAUUGCUCUAAUGUAAACUCACUAUUUACGUCUCGCUGUUUCGUACCGGUUCUGUCGCGAAACUUUGACAUGUUAUAACUUCUUCUUUAUAACUUGUAUUUCGGCAUUCUUUAUAUAUUCGGAAACCUCGUUUAAACUUCUACAACAUUAUCCAUAGAUAUCGACUUUAUCUAACAUUUCAUUUUGACGCUUAUUUUUAUUCUUAAUUAAAUUAAGACACACAAUUAAGCACAAAACACAUAAUACUCAAAUAAUACACUUCUGUUAUUUCAAAACGGGUUACAAAGAUUAACCUAGACUAUUAUAUCAACAUUAAUGACAAGCCCAUAAACACAGUCAUUACAAACGCUAGCAGGCUCAUAACCUGUAGGUGUUGUGAACGAUGUGUUUACCGGUGUACUCUAUCCCCCUCAUGGUUGCUUUUAGGACAUCUACUGUUGAGGAAACCCUUAGCAGUAAUGUCCGUACCGAUGAAAAUCCUAGAUUAGGUCCCUUGAGAUAGAUGUUGUUUUAGGGACGUAAAGUGAGGAUAACGGGAAUGGGUAAUCGGGUUAUUGUUGGUUGGUAAAAGUAAAUAUAAUAAUUUAUUGCGAGUUGAAAACCCUAUAUGCUCACCAGGCUCCCAAGCCUGACCCACUCAGUUUAUUUGUAUUACUAGUAGUGUCGCGAGGGCAUAAGAUGGAUGAAUCAUCAAGUUAUUUUAUUUAUUAGACCAGUUAUUAUAUGUAACUGUUGUAUGGUCUAUCUUUUGUAGUUUAUGCUUUUGUGUCUGUAUCGGAACAUGACAUCCCGAGUUUUGAUUUUAUAAUGAAAAUACAUUUUGUUAUGAAAUGCUUUGGUAAAUAUUAUUUUAUCAUGCUUUUUUUGGAACAAAUUCUGCAACAAUUUAAAAUCAAAAGGAUUUACUCUGAAAUUAUUUAAAAAAACAUAAAUGAAACUGGUCUUUUCUGACUGUGAUUUUGGGGAUGUCACACUGCGCCUAAUCGAGAACAUCAUAAUCCUGGCAGCUACGCCCAAAGGACAAUAUUAGCACUUGCGCCUAAUAGAGAAUAUUAUAAUUCUGGUAGUUGCGUCUAAAUGAUAAUGUUGGUAGUUGUGCUUAAUAGAUAACGUUGACAACUGUGUCAUUAGGAAAACGGUGGACUGCGUGCCUAUUCCUUAGGAAAAUCCUUAGGAAUGAAUGAGUUAAUGAUAAAUGAUUCUUAGGAUACAUCCUUAAGAAAUAACGAAGAUAAUGGGGAUGGAUAAUUGGGUUAAUUUUUUAAUGAUUAAACAUAAUUAUAUUAUUGUGGGUUGAAAACCCUAUGUACUCACUAGGUUUCCCAAUAUGACCCACUCAAGUUUAUUUGGAUCACAGGUGUCUAUACGAAGCUACUUUACACUGAGAGAUUAAGGAGACGUAAAUCACUAGUGUAAAUGAAUGGAAGGUCUGUUUAUGCUUAUAUUUAUGUAUUAACGAUGACGUCCUAAAGUUUUAAAAAGAAAUGAAAUACAUUUCUUCGAAAAUGCUUUGAUAACACAUUUAUCAUGUUUUUCUGGGAACAAAUUCCGCAACAUUUUUAUAAAAAGGGUACUCUCAUUUUUAAAUAAAGCAUAAACAAAUCGGUCUUUUCUGGCUGUGAAAAUGGGGAUGUCACAAUUGGUAUCAGAGCAUUAGUUUAAGAGAACUAAGAAUAAGGGUUUAUUUCUAGACUUAAACUUAGAAUGCUAAGCGAUGAUUAUGAGUUGAGUGUGUGAUGUUGCGCAUAAAAAAACACAAAGAUAACCAAGAAUGAACCUGUUGAUUCUAAAAGAAUAGCCAGGACAAUCUCUUCAAAACCACGUUGAUUCUACGAAUACUGUGGGAUUGGCUUCAAAAACUGGGUUAACACGCACAAAAUUUGGGAGAAAACUGAAAGUUCAUAAAAUUGAUGAUCGACCAUCCAAAUUACAUAAAAAACAGUUAAAUAAAAAGCAUAAAUUAAAAUGAAACCCUAAAAGUCCAUGGGCGAAAUACAAACCCAAAAAUUAAGGAAAAAUAACAAAAUUGUUCAUAACUCCAUUUAGAAAGCGAUUUCUGGACUCAAAAUGGGUAAGUCCCUUUCGGGGACUUAUCUAGAUGUGCUCCUUGCUCCAAGCUUCGACUUGACUGGUCGUAGGCCCAAAACGGAGACUCGUAGCCAAAGUUAUGGCCAUUUCCGUGAAGCCCCUUUAAUCACACGAUCGUGGGCCUCUAGGAAUGCAAUGGCCCGAUCCUCCACACUAGGGCCCGCAUCUGUGUGUCUAAUAUAUUUUAGGUAGUACACCUGAAUAGACACAGCCACUAUCUUAUUUUGGGAGGAUGCCUAAAAUGCUUUUAUGUGCUAAAUGAUUUGUGAUACUUUAUGAUGCUAUUGUUCGAUCAGAUAUAUGGUAUGUUGCCCACCGGAUCCAGAAACUUUAUGUGUUUAGAUUUCAAAAUGUUUAAUUACAGUAUUAGAACUGGCAUGUAACUUUUCGGAGUGAUAAGAAGAUUUACAUGUGGAUCGUAAAUAAAACCUUUCCUAUCUUAAUUAUCAUCAUUACACAUCAAACGUCUGAUUUGGUGUAUAGAUCAACAUGUUGAGAACUCGAAGCGGAUUAGGAGACGCUAAUGGAAAUGUUGAUCAACGGCCUAUGAUUUAACGUGCACUAAAGGUAGCAGCUACACCAUAGCCAAUCACAAUGGCAAGAGUCCAAGCAAUGAUUCAGGCUAUGAUAGCCAAACAAAGGGAGGAGAUGAGGCAAAUGUUGCUUAAUAGGGAUGAACCUACCAUGCUCAUUGAAUAACUAGAACUAAAUGAUGAACAGUUAGAGAAGGGAAUUACAGUAGAACCGUUGGUCAAGCUGAACUGCCAGUGGUUAGGAGGAAUAACCAAGAGGAAGGGAUCAAGAGAAAUAGAUGCAAGUAUAAGGAUUUCACAACUUGCAAACCAUAGAUUUUCACUGGGAAAGAGGAUCCAAAUCGGAGUUACAGACCGGAUCUCGGAGAUGGAUUUGGCUUUCAUAACAUGUAGAUUCAAAGGAAAGCUAAAAACCAUAUAUGCAGUGCGUCAGUUGAUGGGUGGAGUUGUUCACUAGUGGAACACUUUGGGAAAGAUCAUGAGUCCUAAUGAGCUGCUGCAACUGACGUGGGCAGAGUUCCUAGUGCAUUUCAAACGAAAGUUUUGCUCGGCCCAAAAUCUGUUGGAGCUAGAGAACCAAUUCCUAACAUUGAAGAAGGGCAUCAUGCCUAUUGACGAAUACAGCAAUGCCUUCACCGACAAGAUGGAAUUUUCUUUGCGCAUCGUCCCUGGCGAACUAACUAAAGUCGAUAAGUAUACAAAGGGACUACCAUGGGAAUAUGUUGUGCUAGUACGCCAGGCACCUACCAUCGAGGCGACUAUCUGGGCUGCUAAGUCUGUUGAAGAAAUGAUCAAGAGUAGGGCCACCAACAACGUCGAAGUUGGUGAAAGAGAAAGUUUGAAGGAUCUUCAAUGUCCAAUGAGAGGAGAAAAUGCUCGAAGUCUGGUUCGAAGAAGUUUGAAGGAGGAGGAGGUGAAGCAAGAUGGUGUGAUAAGUGCAAGAAGAAACACUUUGGAAAAUAUGGCAAGAAGGUGACUUGUUUCAAGUGUGGAAAGUCUGGGCAUUAUGCCGAUGAGUGUAUAUUCAACAAAAGGGUGUAUUACGGAUGUAAUGAAGAAGGGAAUUCAAGCUGGACUGCCCAAAGAGGGAAGGAGCUACAAAGCAAAAUGCACCGCCAAAGCCGAAGGCAAAAACAUUCCAUAUGAUCCUUAAUGAAGCAGAUGAUAAUGCAAGGAAUCAAGAAUGAGGACUGAUACCCGAAGAUCAAGUUAUGAAGUAGCCAUGCAGAUAGUAUCAGGAGGUGUAGCCUAUUAGAGGCAUAUUAUAGGUUGAACUUUAACAUCCAUGUAAUCAUUUCAAGAAGUAAUAUAAGCCUUGGUUUUGUUAUCUGGUGCGUUAAGUUGUUAUGUGAUUUUCAAGUAUGGUGACUUGGAAAACUGCGAGACAAUACUUGGGACAAGUAUGAGUAUAUGUGAAUGGUAGUAGAGGCCUAUACUACCAGAAGCACAGGACUCGCACUUGGAUUAGGGAAAGUCACAAGGUUACCAAGGCACUAGUAAUUGAUUCUUUUUUGUUCAUGUUUGUCGUCACCAUCGUUUCGGUAAUGACUAAGAAGAUGAUUGUUAGUCCAACCCUAGUGGUCAUAUCAAAUCGAGUCCGACUAAGAUGAAUAUGUUGCGUGGUUCAAAAAACCAAGGUCGAUGUUGCAUCUGACUUAAGCCAGACGAUUGAAGUGAAAGAUAAUCGAACCGAUCAAUAGAAGUAUCGUAACCUUUGUUAAGGUAAGAAGCUUGUAGCUAGAAGUGCUACAUGCUAGAAUAUGAUUAUAUCACAUUAGAACAUGAAGGAAGGUAUAUUUUGUUCUAUAGUUUGACUCUAAAAGACCUAAGUCUAAGUGUUGCAUCAUACGAUAAGAGGUCAUUACAACAUGACCCAUCGGUUUAUUGUGGUAAUCAAAUAACUUCUCUUAAUAUAAGUAUGUUUAACAAGAAGUAGGAGUCUCUGAUUUGGAUCGAUUUUGUAACUCGAAGGUUACGAUUGGAAGUCCAACAUAGGAUAAAGAACGGGUGCAAGAUUGAGUACCUCCUGCGGUCAAGAAGUCCAAGAGUUUGAUACUCAUUCGAAGGAACAUAAAAGUUACGAUUAUUACCUAAUAUGAAGAGAUAACAUAAGGAUUCAUUAUACAAGCCCUAUUUUGUUGAUUAUUCUGGGACGUAAUCAUCCUAAGGAGGAGAUAACUGUAACGCCCGCAGAUUCAGGCUAGUCAAUUAGAGAUAUUGAGCGUCAAAAAUGACAUUUUUAUGGGAGUUUAUUUAGAAGAAAUAAUCUUAACCUAGUAAUAGUAUAUGUCACAAGGGUUCCGUACAUAUAAAGAACGCCGAAAUCCGAGUUAUAACGAAGAAGUUACGACCCGACGAAGUUCUACAGCAAAACCGGCACGACACCGCGUAACAUAAAAAGUGAAUUUUUGAUAAAUUACUUUUUAGCCUUAGAGAUAUAAAUGAAAGUUAUAAUAUAGGUUAAACCGAUAGCAUGCAUAAAAAGAACGUCAAUAUCUAACUUCGUAUGAGGAAGUUAUGAUUUUUCUAAGAUUUCGCAAAGUAGUAUACAACCCGGAAUUCGAAUUUCAGAUCGAGCGAUUUUUAGCCAACACAACCUAAAUGAAAAUUGAAUAUCUCAUUAAUAGGAGUUCAACGAUAAAAAGACAUUAAAAAUGGAGUUCGAAUGUACAAGUUAUGAAUUUUACACGGUCAUUAACAAUGUAAUCUUCUCAUACUAGUAAAUUUAAAAUCGGUCGAGAGUUAGCUGUUUGAGUCAAAAGGAGAGUUGUAGAUCAUGUCAAUACCUAUGCGUGGAUAUAAAUAAUGUCAAAAAUGGAGCUCGUAUGCAAAAGUUAUGAAUUUUUGAAAAUUGGUUGUUUUACCUGCGUCCAGCACCACGUGUCAGCACCAAGCGAAGCCAUGGUGCCUACGCAAGGCCACGACGUGGAUUGGCUCCAGAUAGCCUAUAAAUAGAGGCGGAAAUCAUCCGUUUUCUUCACACCUUCACCCUUCUUUCUCUCUCAACGCUCCUAAUCUCUCCCUCCCAAUCCCUAGCAACUUCUAAGUGCUCCGAGAAGAAGAUCUUUCGGCUCAGAAGUUCCACCCCCGCAUAGCCCGGUUCCUAGCCAAACCCACGGUAAGUUAGUUAUGAUUACCCUACUUUAAGUAUAACUUAUGUUUGAGUUUAUUAUCAUUAUUAUGAACUUAUAAACAAGAUUUAUCAAUGAUUCCAAGUAGUUAUAUUGAUUGAUCUACUUAUGGGGAUAAUGUCUAGGCUGUGAUUUUGUGAGGUGUUUAAAGUGGGGUUUCCAAAUAGUAUACUUCGUAUACCAAACGAACCCUACCUCUGAUAUGAUCCUACCUGGUUGCUCUUUACAUGAUAGAUCAUGAAAGUAGACUUUGAGUUAAUGAUGAAUCUAGACUAAUAAUUAGUUGCAAUAAAGAUUAGACUAAAACUUAGCGAUAAUAAUGUUAGGUUUCGUCGAAGGAAGAUAGAAUCGUUAGAAGUGAAGCGUUUCUCGACUUUGGAAUUAUCACUUUGAAAAGUGAGUGCAUAGUUACUUUCAUCUUACACAUUGAUAUGAAGUAUUUUAUAUAAAUUACGCGCUAUGUGUGCAUGUUAUCUGUUUACUUGAUAUAUAUGAUAAAUGAACGAUCUUAUACAUGUACUCUAAACAUCCUAGUAGCUGUGCUCAAAGUGUAGUAUCGGUAGCUGUGCCGUCACACCCCCAAACCAGAACGACGGAAACGUUCAGGGGCGGAGGACGUCAUGUAUAGUAUCAUAACAAUGCAUAAUAGUAAAACAAGCAACAACAUCAUCCAUUGAAUUAAUGAUAGAAUUUAUACAUGUGUGUUCUUUGUAAAGUUGUAAGACACCAAAAAUAUAUAAUCAAAAUAAAGACGAGUCUUGAAUACGCUCUGUCUCCUCAAAACCUGGUCAUCGAUACAUGUCUACUGGUGACCUAAGAAUACAAGUUAUUUUGAAAGAGUAGAUCAACAUUUAAGCUGGUGAGUUCAUAAGUAUAUUAGUGUCAAAAAUUUUCAUCUGUUUCAUGAAAAUGUUUGUAAGUAUUUAGAUGUAAAUGUUUGUAUGCUUCCAAGAAAAUCCUAUAUUUUCUACUAAAAUGAAAAGUAGUCUUCUUCCAAGACUCAACUGUUUUGUAUGUUUGUUUUCUCGUAAAAAUUGAUGUAAGAUGUAUGUUUGUACUUGUAAUAGUAUAAAUGUGGGUUUUCCAUAUUUUUUUAAAACUUUCUAUACACGAAAAAUAGUAUGCAUUUCUUACGUGAGAAUAUCACUGUGUGAAUAUGAUGGAAAAAUGACGAUAUUCAGUAGUGUUGUAUAAAAUAUCUACUGAAGCACUAACUACCUUAAAGCAAAUUGUUAAUUAAGGUAAAACGUGAUGAGGUUAUAACCAUGCUUGAUUGACUUGUAUAAAACACAACGAUCAAAAUACAUCGAAAUGGUAUGACAUUUGUCACUUGUAGACCUGUAGGUCCCAUUGUAGCUAGCAACAAGGUUUAGGAUGGUCAAUCCAGUAUAGAUCUAUACACAAACUCACGCUCUCCCUCCAAGAGACUCUGGUUACAAAGCGUGACACAACAAGUAUAUUGAUAUGCCAUGAAGUAGUGGCUCACAUUAAUGUUAUCUUGUUCUAGUUAUAGUAUGUAUGUUCCUUUCUGUUCUAGUUAUAGUAUGUAUGUUCCAAUCUGUUCUAGUUAUAGUAAGUAGUAAUACUCUAAACUAUACCUAUUAUAGUUUACUAGUAUGAUUGUUUGACUGUUACUAAUUUGCAGAAAAGUCUCAAUUACUCACAUAAGCAACUAACUUAAGUAUGUAACUUAAAAAUGGGUUUAAUAUUCAUAUAUGUAUUUAAUAAGCAUAACUAUGAUUUUGCUGACAUUCGAACUAGUGAUCCUACCCUAAGCCCACAACCAAACAAAGAAACAGGAGUUAAGGUAUCUCGCAGUAGUCCUAAGCCCGUUAAAGCAUACUUACACGUAAACAGAUAGACGAAUAUGAUUUGAUAUAAAAGAAGUUUAUAAAAGAUUUAAAAGAGUUUUAACAAGUUUUGAGUAUAAGAAAUCCCUUUGGAUGUUGUUUUCACAUGUAAAUGGUUAACAAAAUUUAAUUGUGUUCUACUUGUUAUCCCCCAUAAAAGCAUUUAAAAGGUAUUUAAAAGUGUAUUGUAGGGGUAUGAACUCAUAUGUAGUGAGUGAUUCGAAUGAAAGAUCGAUAUAGGAUGAUAAGUAUGCCAAGUGAAGUAUCGAGCACAAACGGGUCCUAUUAAGCAUAUAAUAACACAUAUAUGUAUACAAUUAGUAUAUAUAACAACUAAAAUGUAAGGGAAACAACCUUAGGAACUAGGAAACACUUUGAAUGAAGUGUUAGCAUCACAAAUGAUUGGCUGAAAGGUGUUCACGACUAAACAAGGGGUGUUCACGGCCUUAGGAGGGUACAUGUCCAUAGAACGCAUGAUGUGUUCACGGACCAAGGUUGAUCUUAUGAAGGUUUCACGGUCCUAUGAUGCAUCUAUGAAGGGUUCAUGGCCCUAUGAAGGGUUCACGGUCGUGAACUCUUGAAGAUCUUGCAAAUAAGUGUUUGUUUCAUGGGUGGAAUCAAGUGUUUCUAAGGGACAACAAGAUGAUGGAUGAGAUACUUAUGUUUUGGAAGCCUUUAGAAGUGUUCACAGUUGAAGAUAGUUGAGAGAGAAGUGGUGUUCACGGCUAGGGUUUAAAGAAAUGAAGAAAAAUGAGCCAACUCCUUAUAUAUAAGACUUGUUCACGGCCAAGGAUGGGUACACGGCCAUGAACCUAGAUGUGGCCGUGAACUCCUUUUGGUGGUGUUUCCGGCUCGAUUGCAACUCAAUGAACUCAAGCUAACACUUCCUAACUCACAAUCCUUGAGUGUACUAGGCUUAGAAAUUCUCAAACAUACCCUUAACACAACAUAAAGGUAACAGAAACAAGUCUGACUUUAGAUUGAAUUGAUUGACUUUACAAGAUAGAAAUUCCAGGUUGUCGCAUGUGCCUAAUAGAAAACAUCAUAACCCUGGCAGCUACGCCCAAAGGACAAUAUCGACUGUUGUGCCUAAUAGAAAAUAUCAUAAUUCUGGCAGCUGCUCCUAAAUGAUAAUAUUGGCAGCUAUGCUUAAUAGAUAAUGAUGAUAUAUGGUCCAUUAGCAUGGCCUAGACUGCUCUAGCGCGCCAUAUGAUGCGACAUCGGCUCCGACCACCUGCUCUAAGGAGAUGCUUCUGCACCAGAGAUAGAUCUGUGAGGUCACAACAAACAAGACCGUUAGAGCUGCCCCAAAGACUGUGCCCUGGGAGAGAGCUCCGACGGUCAAGUUAGAUCAUUUGGUAGAUCUGAGAUGGAUCUCUUUAGCUAGAGAGGAUCAUCCUUGUGUUGGUGGUGUUGUAUGGUGGUUGACGGCGGCGGGUGCCGGCUGAGCCACCCGGCCAAAGUAUAGGGCGGCGGCUGAGCCAAGGGGAAGAUCCUAAUGGUGGCAGAACCACCUAGGAAAGAGUCCUCCUUCAUGAAGGAGGCACUAUUCUAUUUAUAGGGGGACAACUAGGUCAAGGGGAAUUAGGUCAGGCCUUGGGCCAACCCAAUUCAGGCCCAGCUAGCAAGGAGCUGGGUAAGGCCGCCCGGAGGCGCCGCGCGGGACUUANUGACGGGCGCGUACCAGGAAAGGACGGCAAGGGUGCGCCAGGAAAGGGAGCGUCAGGUCGGGCCUGCAAGAGAUUCCCCAGCAAGGCUGGCAAGGGAGUCCCCAACAAGGUUGUCAAGGGAAUGCCAGGAGAGGCUGGCAGGAGCGCGCCAGGCCAAGAUGGCGCGCUAGAGCAGUGUAGGCCAUGCUAAUGGACCAUAUAUCAUUAGAUAACAUUGACAGCUGUGUCAGUAGGAAAAUGAUGGACUUUAUGCCUAUUCUUUAGGAAAAUCCUUAGGAAUGAAUGAGUGAAUGAUAAAUGAUUCUUAGGAUAGAUCCUUAAGAAAUAACGAAGAUAAUGGGGAUGGAUAAUUGGGUUGAUUGUUUAAUGACUAAACAUAAUUAUACUAUUGUGGGUUGAAAAACAUAUGUACUCACUAGGUUUCUGAACCUGACCCACUCAAGUUUAUUUGUGUGACAGGUGUCGAUACGAAGCUACUUUACACUGAGAGAUUAAGGAGAUGUAGAUCACUAGUUAAAAUGAAUGUAAGGUCUGUUUAUGCUUAUGUUUCUGUAUUGACGAUGACAUUCCAAAGUUUUAAAAGAAAUAAAAUACAUUUCUUCGGAAAUGAUUUGAUAACACAUUUAUCAUGUUUUUCUGGGAACAAAUUUCACAACAUUUUUCUGGCAUCGGGCCUCGCCCGGUAUACAAAUAACAUAUAAGCACAUGCAUAAAAAUCACUUAAACACAUGCAUAAAAAUCACAAUGAUAAAUAGCAUACAAUAUAAUCAUUACGCCCCGCCCGGUAAUCAUAUAAACACAUAACACAUGCAAGAGUAACACAUACAACUAGUAAGGAAACUCACCUCAAGCUGCAAAAUCACUCGGAUAAAAUCUCAAUCUGUUGGUCCGGAAGAUCCUCGCGCUAACCUCAUAAUAUAAAUAUCCAAUUAAUAAUUGGAUCUCGACCCAUAAUAACCAAUCUAAGUUCCUUUUCCAAUAUCCAGGGUAAAAGAUUGUUUUACCCUUUUUCUUACAUGGCCCAAAACCAAGGCCCAAUCCAUUGCUCAAAAGGGCUAAAUUCCAAAAUGGCAUCCAUAGGCCCAAUAAGGCCCAACUUCCAAAUUGGGCUGAAAAUCAUCAUGGACCUAAUCCCAUGAAAGUCCAUAGUCUAUCCAUGACCCAAAGUCAAAAUUCUAAUGACCUAACAAGGCCCAAAUCUUAAAAACCCAAAAUAUGGCCAAAACCCAGGGAAGUCAAACCAAAAGUCAACCUACUGUACGCUUAGCAUACUCCUUCCAGGGCAAGUAUGUGCAUCGUACCAACUGGGUAUGCCCAACGUACUCCCCAGAUUAUCAACCCAACCCAUUAAUAACUUAAUUGGUUAAGCCAACAUGCUAAACUCUCAGAUCUGGUUCUAAAUGGCGACUUACUAUGUAAAGUUGACAACUUUACACCCAUGCAUGAAUUAAUGGGGCCCAACACUAAAAAAGAAGCUUAAUAAGACUCUUAACACUUGCAUGGAAUAAUAUCUUACAUAAAGUUUGCAUUUUUAUGGGCAAAGGACCUCAAAUCAGCGAAGAUCUAACAUCCAUAGCUUCUGGAGUGGACCAUAACUUCAUAUAUGACUUAAAAGACCCAAAAACGCAUAAAUAUCACCAUAAAAUGGAUCUAGCACAAAGGACCAUCCAGAUGAGAGAUUUUUACCUCAAAAGGCUUGCUAAGGUGAAGAUAACUCUAGAUCUACAAGAUUAAGCUACUCCCAAGAAACCUCGAAGUGUUCCUCGUUUUCUUCUUCUUCACCACAAAACACCAACAAACUCACUUUCAAGCUCAAAUCUGACCAAAUACACUUAGGGUUUCGAUAUUGUGACAUAGGGUGAUGGAGGCUGAUCAAUAAAAUGUCCAAAGGUGGUUUAAGAUGUUUAAGUAGGCUGCAAACCCUAAAAAUUAGGGUUUGCCCCUGCUCUACGUAUGUCAUGCAUACUCUACGUACGCCCCACAUACGUGGGUGAAUCUUGCGUCCAGAAAAUAGAUAGUAUGAUAAGCGUACUCAUAGAGUAUGCCCUGUGUACUAGCUAUGGACCAAAAUGAUAAGGAUUUUGCAUUAAGGGGUUAGAAAGAAACUUACCAAAUUACGAAUGUUACAAUUCACUUUAAUCAGAAUUUGUCCUUGAAGUAUGCUGCUCCAAACAACUUUGGGUAGUGCUCUCUCAUCUCGUCCUCCGGCUCCCACGUCCAUUCUGAACCCUUUCGAUGCUGCCACUGAACUUUCACCAAUUCAACAACCUUGUACCUCAAGGCUUCGUCUUCCUGUCAAGAAUUGUUACCGGUCUCUCGAUAUAAUUCAUGCGAUCAUCCACUUAAAUAUCCUCUAAUAGAACCACCACGGAAUCAUCAAUUAAACAUUUUUGUAACUGAGAGACAUGAAAUAUGCUAUGGAUCAUACUAAGAUCCUCGGGAAGAUACAAGCGAUAAGCAACCCGAACCACCCGUGUGAUAAGUCCAUUUUAUGAAUGUACUAAAUUGUCAUAAAUCUGUUGAAUUGAUGUAUAAUUGUCCAAGAAUGGCACUACAUUGCUGAGUUAUUGAACUUCAUAUGCAGGUCAAUAUAUUGUACUAAAAGUGGGUGGAACCUACAAGUAAAACGGAUUGUUAAAGGAAUGAAGAAACGUUGCUGGGAAAAUUGACCAUUCUUCAAUGUUUUGGUCUAAUCUCAAGUUCUGGAGCUCCGAUUGACAUGAGUAUAGAAGUUCUGGAAACUAGACAAGAUUUUCUACAACUUUCGUGUUUUGUGCUUCUGCUAGUUAUGUCGUUUUGACUACCAAAACUUGCACAGAAGAUGAAGGACACCUCCAGACAUCUAAGACGUCCAGGUCAAACAGCCAACAUCUGGUCGUUAUUUCAGAGCAGAAAAGAAGGAAGAACCCCGUCAGCAUCUAACAUGGAAUCUAAGAUGUCCCCUAGGAUGUCUUGGCAUUUUAGGGACGUCCCGUGUUGGAACGGUGUGUUUAGGAAAGUUUAGAAAACAAGGCACGACGUCCUAGAACGCAUCUAAGACGUCUCCUAAGACGUUUGACGUUUUUGGCCAUUUUUUAGUAUAUUUCAAGGACGUACAAAGAUCGCUUGGGCGUUAUACACGACGUCUAAGAUGUCUCCUAGGACGUCCAACGUCCCACAUCGCCCAAUUUCAUUAUUUUUUAUCCCACACUAUAAAUAGGAGCCUAUUUCGUUGGUUAAAAUUCGGAUUCAAAGCAAGAUUCGAUUCAAUUCAUCAUCAAGCUAUAAGUGAAGAUCAUUUCAUUGGUUAAUUUUCAUCAAUUCUUUAUUUUCCAGAAUUAUUUCUUCUUCCCCAAGGUUUAUUUGUUCUACACUUCGAUAAUCAUUAGGCUACAUUUGUUUGAUGAUUCUACGUUUGUUUAUGAAUUCUAUAAUGGAUUUUAUUCAUUUUAAUCAAGUUAUUUGUCUUAUGAACUCAAUGGAAGGCUAAAUCAUUAGGGUUACUUCCGGGGAUGUUUAGGACUUUUUGAUGAACACACUUGAUUAUUACUUGAUUCUAGUUAAUUUCAAUUGUUGUUUUAUGCUUCAUGUGAUGAUCUUUUGGUAAUGAUAAUUGAAAUUGGGUUGUAUGAAUUGUUUGAUGUCAUAAUUAAGAUAGUCUAUUGUCAAUUCAUCAUUUGUUCCAAGUUCACAUAGUUUAGGAAUAAAGACAAGUGAUUGAAUCAACAUAUAUUAUUCCAACUUAUGAUAUUGAAUCUUAAUGCGGUAAUAGGUACUUGUAAGAUAUUUUAUUGCUAGUCCACUAAUUGUUCUUAAUCCAUUGAGGCAUAAAGGAGUAAGACAACUAGUUAAAUGAACAUUUAGUAUGCCCAAACUAUGUAUUACAAGUUAAUAAAUCCCAAUUGUAUCUAAGUAAUUGAAUUAGGAUUUAAGGGAAGAAAGUGUGUGAAUUUAAACUGUCCAUAACUGAACCGGGAGUACUCUAGUUUUCUCAUUGAGAUUUUCGUUGUAAUUAAUAAAUUUCCAUGCUUUUUGUUUGAUCUUUGCGUUAAAUUCUUUUUCGUGACAAUUGCUAGUAGCUUUUUUUCGUUGACUAUUUUAACACAAAGUUUGACAACAAACUCCCUGUAGAUUCGACCCUUACUUACCCUAGCUAUCUAGUGGUUUUGAGGUUAUUUUUGAUUGAUACAACGACAUCAAUCAUAAUUUGGCGCCUUUGUCGGGGAGAUUGUGCGCUUGAGCUAUUGUUUUUAAGUAGUUAUAGCCUUUUACUUUCAUUUUCAAUUCUCGUUUGUAGUUCACAUUUUGUUUUAUUUGUGUUGUGCAGGCACACUGGUGCAUGCAUACAAGACAUAGCAGACGCUCUUCACCGCUUGCAUUUGAUCCGGAAAUCGAACGAACAGCUCGCUCAAAUCGGGUCGCCAGAAGGAACAUCAACACUAUGAGUGUAGAUAAUGUUGUCGUGGAAGAUGUGGUUGAAGGGCAUGAGGAAGAAGCCAACAAUCCUCCACCACUAGUUCCACCACCAGCUCCUCAAUUCCCAAACAACAACAAUGGGAAUAACAACAAUGCCGGUGCACCAAUCAUCCAACCAGUGCAACCAUAACUGAAUAGAAACAACCGUGGCCAAAAUGGUGGAAACGGAGGAAAUUGGGCAUAGAAUAUGGGAGGCAAUGUAGGAAACCACACUGGUGGUAAUGUUAGAAAUCAUAACCAAAAUCCUAGAAAUGUUGGUCCUCAAUUCGGUAAUGGUGGUAAUGGUGGUAACGAGGAUGAUUGGGAUUUUGACGAUGGAAGUUACAACGGACUUGGUUGGAAUCAUAACCACAACGGUGGUAAUAGGCGGAAUCAAGGAAAUCGGGGUGGAAACGGGUACUAAAACAAUAACUGGAACAACCUGAAUUUCCCUAAUGGUGGCAACAAUUACUACAAUGAUGGGUUCGGAAAUCAAGGCUUUGGGAAUCAAUAUCGAAGGAAUCCAAAUGGUGGAUUCAACAAUGCGAAUGGAGGAUACUAAAAUGAAGGUAAUCAAUUCCCUCAUCUUUACUUUCUGCAGCCUAAUAGACAAUCUGUGGCGUCUCAUUUUCAGCCGAGAGAGUAUGAUGAUGCUUCACCCAUACUCUUCGCAGAAGUAAAUGAGCAUCAUGUAGAAGUAAGACCACAACUAAUUAGUGUCUUACCCGUCUUUAGAGGCCAUAAAACUAAUGAUCCAUACAAUCACCUCUAUGAGUUCCUUGCAAUUGCUAACGCGAAUACUCCGCGAGGAACUAAUAGAGAUUCAUUUAGACUUCUCUUAUUUCCGUUCACUUUAAAAGAAAAAGCUAAGUAUUGGUUCACUUCUCUUGCCCCCAUAGUAUCACUACUUGGGAGCAAUUAAAAACUAAAUUUUUGCAAGAGUUUUACCCAGCUAGUAAAACAACGGAAAUAAGAAAAGCCAUAGAAGAUUUUGCACAAAAACCCAAAGAAGAAUUUCAUGAUGCAUUUGAACGCCUCAAGGAAUUGUUCCGUUCAUGUCCCUAUCAUGAAUUUCCCCGUUGGCAACUGGUAGGUUUCUUUUAUGAUGGAGUCGAUACUGCCAAUCAAAGCAUGAUUAAUGCCUCGUCCGGCGGCAUUAUUAUGAUACAAGAUAGUGAAGACGCUUGGCGAUUCUUAGAGUAGUUGAGUCAUGGUUCAAAAACCAAUUACUCAGCUAAGAAACGGGACAAUCCAGUUUCAUCUGUUGCUUCAGUUGGACUAGACAAAAAACUGGAAAAAUGAAGUCAAAUCUGAUAUUAAUUCUUUAAAUAAAAUUUUUGACUUACUACUCUCUAGUCUAGGCAAAAAGAAAGGUGUGUUUUUUCGCAGGGACAGAAGAUAUGUGUAAGCUGUGGAGAUUCAUGACACAUUGCAGAUGAGUGCAUGAGAAUUCAAGAGGAAAUCAAUCAAGUGCAUGGUUAUGGUCAAUUCCAAAAUAAUCCACGAUCAUUCAAUCGGAACUACAUCCAAGGCGGGAACUACAACAACAUUGGGAUUUUCAACAACAACAACCGUCAAGGGAAUUACCAAAACCAAAAUCAGCCAAAACAGUUCCAGCAGUCCAACUUUAACCAAGGUGGAACAUCAAAGAAGGAGGAAAAUGAUGGCAACAAGUUGGACAAAAUCAUGGAGUUCAUAACCUAAACAUAUCAGAAAACCGACACUAACUCCAAGUCUAUAGCUGCUAUUGAGAAGCAAAUUGCUCAACUGGCGGAGCAAAUUGGGAAAAGAGAAGAUGGCAAGUUUCCAAGCACCACAACAGUGAACCCAUCUCAUACCCAGAGACCCCGAAAAGAGCAUCAAGUGAACGAGGUAAUUACCUUGUGUAGUGGAAAAAAGGUUGACAACAAGGUAAGUGCUUCUACAUUAGAUAAUGACAGUGACACUGAAGUCAUCUUUGAUGAAAAAGAAGAGUUUGAGAAAGAUUUUAAAUCCGAAAAACAAAAAGAAGAUAAGGUUAAAAAUGACUCUAAAGUUGGGGAGCAUGGUGUGGAGGUUAAUACCGCACCAUACCCUUCGGCUUUAGAGAAGCCGGCAUCCUUCCCUUUUGGGAAGCGAGGGCUAAAAAUGGAAGACAUGUGAGAUCUAUUUAGUCAAGUUAAAAUAAAUAUCCCAUUAGUCAAACUUAUUAAGGAGGUACCUUCUUAUGCUAAAUUUUUGAAGGAUUUGUGUGUUCAAAAACGCAAACUCCAAGCAUACCUCCCUAAAAAGAUUGAUUUAGUCAAGCAUGCGAGUUCGAUAAUAUCAAAUAAACUUCCACCCAAGCUUAAGGAUCAUGGAGCACCUUUAAUUUUUGUUACGCUAGGUAACAUUAAUAUAAAAAAGGCGCUCCUUGAUCUUGGAGCUAGUGUUAAUAUAAUCCCGGGAAAUUUUUUUGAUCAACAUGACUUAGGCACUUUGGAACAAACUGAUAUUAUUUUACGAUUGGCCGAUAAGUCAACAAAAAUUCCUUGGGGAAUAUUAUCAGAUGUUAUUAUUAAGGUGGGAGAUUUCUAUUACCCAGUUGAUUUUCUUAUGCUUGACACCGUGAGCACUUAUAAAGAAAGUCAACCUUCUAUUAUUUUAGGUCGUCCGUUAUUGACAGCAAUAAAUGCACAAAUUAAUUGUAGAACGGGUGCAAUGGAUAUCUCUUUUGGAAAUAGGAAACUUAGAAUUGAUAUUUUUAAUACGUUUCCUAACUCACCAUCAGAUUAUGAAUGUUAUCAUGUGGAUGUGGUUGAUGACUUAGUGCAUCAAUUCACUCUUAAAAUCUUACACCCUGAUCCAUUGGAGUUUUUUCUUUCUAAUGACAGGGACGAAGUUUUAGAGUUGGAUGACAUCAAGAUGGUUGAGGAGGCAUUUGAAAAUGUUAUUGAGCAAGAGAGGCCACCAUGGAGUUAUCAAGUUGAAAAAUUGCCAACAAGUUUUUCGGACCCACUUAAGCCAUCUUUGGAGGAGCCACCCAGUCUUGAACUCAAAACUCUUCCUUCACAUCAUAGAUACUCUUUUUUAGGAUCUAAGGAGAACUUACCAAUUACCAUAUCUUUUGAUUUGACAUGUCCACAGGAGGAAGCAUUACUGAAGGUGCUUUCGAAGUACAAGGGAGCAAUUGGAUGGACCAUAGCAGACUUGAAGGGAAUUAUUCCAGCCACAUGUAUGCAUUGAAUCAUCACUGAAGCUAGAGAAAAGCCAUCCCGAGAUGCACAACGAAGGCUCAACCCGAAUCUGCGAGAAGUUGUUAAAAAGGAGGUGUUGAAAUGGCUUGAUGCGGGUAUUAUCUACCCAAUAUUUGAUAGUGAUUGGGUGAGCCCGACACAGACAGUGCCAAAGAAGUCGGGCGUUACAGUGGUAGAUACAGAAGAUGGAGAGAAGAUCUCAACAAGAUCGGUCACCAGAUGGAGAGUUUGCAUCGACUAUCGCAAACUCAAUGCUGCAACAUCAAAUGACCAUUUCCCUCUCCCUUUUAUUGAUCAAAUAAUUGAGAAAUUGUAUGGUAAAAAGUUUUAUUGUUUUUUGGAUGGAUACUCGGGGUAUAAUCAAAUUGCCAUCCACCCCGAGUAUCAAUCCAAAAUGACAUUCACGUGUCCAUAUGGCACCUUUGCUUUCCGAAGGAUGCCAUUCGGCUUGUGUAAUGCCCCUGCCACAUUUUAAAGAUGUAUGAUGGCUAUUUUUUUAGACGUGGUGGGGGAUGCAUUAGAAAUUUUCAUGGAUGAUUUUUCUAUUUUUGGAUCAUCUUUUGAGACAUGCUUAGACCAAUUAGAAAAAGUUUUGAAACGUUGUAUUGACUCUAAUUUGGUUUUAAGUUGGGAGAAGAGUCAUUUCAUGAUAAAAUAGGGAAUUGUACUUGGCCAUGUUGUCUCCGAGCAUGGCUUUGAAGUCGACCGGGCCAUAGUACAAAUUAUUUCUACUCUUCUCCCACCAACUUCAGUAAAAGGCGCCCGUUCUUUUCUUGUACAUGCCGGCUUUUAUCGAAGAUUUAUCAAGGAUUUUAGUGCAAUGUCAAAACCUCUUUGUAAUUUACUUUUAAAAGAUGCACCAUUUUCCUUUGAUAAAGCAUGUCUUGAAUCUUUUACCACAUUAAAGAACAAACUUGUUGAAGCUCCUAUCUUGCAAUCACCCGAUUGGACUUUACAUUUUGAAAUUAUGUGUGAUCCAAGUGAUUACGCGGUAGGGGCAAUUUUGGGACAACGGGUGAAUAAAAAACCCAUUGCAAUUUGUUAUGCGAGCAAAAAAAUUUCGGAUGCACAAUUGAAUUACACUACUACCGAAAAAGAGUUGCUUGCGGUCGUGUUUGCACUUGAAAAUUUUAGAUCUUACAUAUGGGGAUCUAAAGUUGUAAUUUUUACCGACCAUAGUGCCAUUCACCACCUCUUGGAAAAGAAGGAUGCCAAACCACGUCUCAUAAGAUGGAUCCUUCUUCUUCAAGAGUUUAAUCUUGAAAUUCAGGACAAAAAGGGUUCUGAAAAUGUUGUGGUGGAUCAUUUAUAUAGAAUAACUAAUAAUGAUAACUCAACGAAAGUUAUUCAAGAAAACUUUCCAGAUGAGCAUAGUCUUGUUGUCAAAACUAUACCAUGGUUUGCUAAUUUAAUUAAUUACUUUGCGACAGGGGAAACUCCAUUGUAUUGGAAUGCUCAACAAAUGAGGUUCUUCCACUCUCAAACAAAAUACUACAUAUGGGAGGACCCAUAUAUUUUCAAAAUUGGAGCAGAUCAAGUGAAUAGGAGAUGUGUACCACAUACAGAGCAAGAAGACAUUCUUCGACACUGCCAUUCAUAUACAUGUGGAGGGCAUUUUAGUGCCAAAAGGCAGGGCAUCGGGUUCUACAAAGCGGUUUUUUCUGGCCCUCUAUUUUUAAAGAUGCACAUACAUUCGUUAAAGCUUGUAUUCGUUGCCAACAAGUUGGGGGGAUCUCAAGACGGGACAUGAUGCCAAUGACCCCAAUUUUAGUAGUUGAAAUCUUUGAUGUAUGGGGCAUUGAUUUCAUGGGUCUGUUCCCCACUUCUUUUGGCAAUCUAUACAUUCUUGUAGCCGUUGAUUAUGUAUCAAAAUGGCUCGAAACCGAGGAUACACACACGAAUGACCAUAGUGUUGUUUGUAAAUUUGUUAAAAAGAACAUAUUUUCUACACACGGAAUCCCUCGAACUAUUAUUAGUGAUGGGGGCUCCCAUUUUAAAAAUUGGCAUUUUGCAAAGUUACUUAAACACUAUAGUGUCACACAUAUGAUAGCUACUCCAUAUCACCCACAAACAAAUGGACAAGUAGAAGUGUCAAAUAGGGAAAUAAAACGAAUCUUGGAGAAGACUGUUCAUCCCGACCGAAAAGAUUGGUCAUUAAGAUUAGAUGAUGUGUUAUGGGCAUAUCGAACAACCUAUACGACGCCCAUUGGAAUGUCUCCGUAUCGGCUUGUUUAUGGAAAGCCAUGCCAUCUCCCGGUGGAGUUAGAACACCGUGCCAUGUGGGCCAUAAAAAAUGCUAACUUUGAAUUGAGUGAUGCAGGUAUAGAAAGGAAACUCCAAAUUGUUGAAUUGGAAGAGAUUCGAAAAGAAGCUUACGAAAGCUCAAGGAUCUAUAAAGAAAAGACGAAGGCAUUUCAUGACCGACAUAUUGUCCGAAAACAAUUCGUUAAAGAACAAUUGGUGUGGCUAUUCAACUCUCGUCUCAAACUCUUCCUCAGAAAGCUUCGGAGUAAAUGGAAUGGACCUUUUGUGGUGAAAAAUGUGGCGGAUCAUGGAUCUAUUGAAAUCAAGGACACGAAAGGCAGUGAACCAUUCAAGGUAAAUGGACAAAGACUCAAACCUUAUAUUCGAAUGGUAAAUGGUGAAACAACAUUCGUUGAGAAAACAACGCUCAAGGCAACACAAUAUUUAGAAACAACUUAGUCGAGGUAAACCGUCCGGCUGAAGACAUAAAACUUACCGCUUUUCGGGAGGCAACCCGUGGUUUGGUGUGUUUUUACUUCUAUUCUUCUUUUGGUGUGUUUUAAUUCUUUUCGUAUCGAGGACAAUCCAAGGUUUAAAGUUGGGGAGGGGGUAUUUAAUUUUUGUUUAAAAUUAAAUAAUAUUCGAAAAAUACUCAAAAAACAGCAAAAAAAAAUAGCCUCAGGCAUCCUAGGGGUGUCUUAGACGUUGUCUAAGACGCCGUCGGGCUGUCACUUCUUUUCCCCCCGAUGAAAACCCUUCGCGAAAAUUAAAAAAAUACCCUUAAUGUGUAUGACGUCCUAGGACGCGUCUAAGACGCCGGCUAGGACGUCGACGUGUUUUUCAACCGUUUUAUGCCGUUUUCUGCAUUAUUGUUGGUAUCUUUCUUCUCCAAACUGCCAUAGCCGAAAACCCACUUGUUCUUGCUUAUUUCCUUUGAUUUCUUGGCCAAAACUCAACCAAAAUUCGUGGUUUUUGUUGCAAUCUUCAAGAAAUCAAGUAAGAAACAUCACAUUGCAAGAUUUACACACUCUAAUCACUUAUUUGGGGCCGAUUUCAAAACCCACAAAAACUAGGGUUUCGAAAUUUUGACUUAUUUUGAGAUUUUACUUCAAGUUCUUGGUUCUUCUUCACUAGAAACACAAUUUCAACAAGGUAUAUGCUUCAAAACUCCAUCUUUUAGUUGAAUUUCAGAAUUUUUGCAUGUAUGUUCAUAUAUGUUUGAAAUUUUGAAAAAGAUGAAGAAUAUGAUAUAUAUUGGUAUGAAUUCUUGUGAAUUAGUGUUUGUAGUUGUUAGAAGUAUGUUCCAAACAAGUUGCAUGUGUUGAUUCGAGAAAUUUCUAAAAAUUGAAUUUUUGUUGUUAGUUGUUAAAAAAUAAUAAUAAUAAAUAAAAGCACAUAUAAUGUUGGAAAAUCAUUCUUAUGUUUAUAUUUGUGUUUGAAUUAAAAAUUCAAGUUUUUAGAAAAUUUCAGAAUGACACUGAAUUUUGACAUUGCAUUGUUAGUCUGAAUAUUUGCCUGUUACAGUUCUGUUCUGGUUUUAGUUAGAACUUGUCAGUUGAAGUUAACUUUUGGUUUAACUGUGUUUUUACUGAUUGGAUAAAUUUUUGAAAAAUAUUUAGUUACUAAAAACAUAACAGGACUUAAAACGGUUAUUUAUUUAGACUGGAUUUAUUUUAACUUUGUUUGGAACAACUUGCCAACUGAAUUAUUUGUUUUAUUUUUGUGACAUUUGAUAUGUUUAAUGGCAAGUUUUGUUUUGUGGUUUUGUGUAUGAAUUAUUUUGCAGAUGCCAGCAAAGAGAUCAAGGGUAGCAUCAUCAAGCAGUGCAUCUAGACAACCAGCUAGACAGUCGGAGCCAAAUGUACAUGUGGCUUUCAACCCACAGUAUCAGACAUUGCAUGAGCAUCUAGAUGACAUUCGUCCAACAGUUUAUGAGGCAACUCAUCCGAAUAUGGGUUUUAUUGUAGAGUACAUGGUGGAGCGACCGAGCUUCACUAGGUAUAAUAUUGUGGAGACGUUUGAUCGCUAUGGAUGGGGUGGAGUGCUAGACUUCAAUCCCACGCAGAUUUAUGUUGAUAUAGUGCAGGAAUGGAUGAGGAAACUUCGACGUGUCGAGGUGCCUGGUAGGCCGGAGGAGUUGCCGCUGAUUGGGACGGUCCGUACUCAUGAUAUAGUGAUAACUGUGCAGGGUAUUCGGGACAUGUUUCAUGUAGAUACUGGCUGUCAUUUUCAUUAUCUUGAGAAUCAUCUGACUGAGUAUAGAUGUAUUGACACGAGGGGGUAACCCUGGGGUUAGUAUGACUGAAGUAUACCGUAUAGUGUUCCAUGAGGGGACGAGGGCAUACGACAGAUUCCGCGAAUUGGUGCCUUUAGCAAAGGCAUUACAUAACAUUAUCACGAAAAAUGUGAACCCAAGGAAUAGUGAUCCUAGGGCGGUGAGGCCACAUGACUUAUAUGUAUUAUAUGGAUUGAUGAUAGGAUCUAUCUUUAUCUCUUAUGCAUAUAAUGCUAUGUGCAACAUAUGGUCCUGUUUUGAUAUCCAGCACAGAGUCACUACCCCCCAUGUUGCCCUGAUAUCGACAUAUGUUGCCUUGCUACUUCUUUUAGACACAUCUCAUUUCAUGUUGAAAAUGGGAGACAUAUUCUGAGGGAUUCUACCACAAAUCCGACAUACACGGCACCACUCGGAGUGGGGGAUGAGGAGCCAUUCGUUGGUGAUUUUUAGGGGGAUCAGUAGCAGCAAUAGGCAUAAGCAGCAGGUCGGGGAUAGAACAUGCAGGCAGCUUGGGAGGACUUUGUGGGGAGGCAGAACAUGCAUAACCAGGAGGUGCAGGCUUGGAUGGGGAGAACGGAUAUAUGGUUGAAGGGUGUCGAUACGACACUAGCUGAUAUUACUGAGCAGAUGCGACAGAUUGGCAUUACAUCUAGCAACACUUAUAGUGUUGCCACUCGUCAGUUGUACCAACAGGAGUACUAUGCAGAUGCUGCCUACACAUAGAGUCGUGUCCAGUAUGAACCGAUGGACAUUGAUCAACCACAGUAUCGAUACCGAGCUCCAGCUCCGUUCUUCUACCGAUCCGGGAAUCUGAGCAACUAUCCACCGCCAUCCGAGCAUGAGCAUUAUCAGCCACCACCAGCUACAGAGGACUCUACUCGCUUUGAGGAUUUAGUUGGAUCGAUCUUUGGGUAUCCUCCACCAUACCCACGUUAUCCUCCACAGUCGCCCCCACAUUGAACUUUGGUGAGAUCCUCUUUUGAUUUUUAUUUUUAUGGUUGUUUGAUGAAGACUUUUUUUAUUUUUAUUUUUAUUUUUCGUUUGCUUUUCAUGUCUUUAUUUGGGAUGAAUGUACUAUUAUUAAACUCAUUAUUAUUAUUACUCUCUCUUGGGUUGGUUCCAUUAAAUAUGUGAUGAGUUAGUAGCAUCUCUAUAUCUUGAACGUAACUCAUCAAAAUGGAAAAUGAUAGGAGUUUCGUAAAUUGAGUCAUAAUAUUUAUUUAAUAUUGAUUUUGUGGAUUGCUCAACCGAUUUGGGAAUAUUUAUAUUUAGUUAAAAAAUUGUUAUGUGAAAUACCCAAGUGUUUGAAAAAUGACGGUUUUUAGCUCGAGCCUACGAUCUUUCAAUUGAGGACCCAACCGAACAAUAUGUGUCAUCACGCUCUGAGUACUUGGUCUUACUUACUCUUGCGCCUUUGGGGUUGGGAGGGGACUAUUAUUGUUUUCACACAAUAAAAAAGCAUCAAAAGACAUUGAAGAACUUCCAAGUAUCUAUAUUCAAGCUCAAGUCAAAUACCAAAAUGAUCAAAUCCGAUGAAGCCAUCAAAGAACUUGAAGAAUGCAAAAUCAAGAUAAAUAUGAAGAAAAGUUCAAGUUGAAGACAUUGUGUGAAAUAAUGUGUGACCCCUCGAUAGCGGGAGCGUAUGGGUUGGUCCAUUAAGUGUUACCGACCGCGCUAACUAUGUUAGUGAACCUUGAAAAAAGGGACUUUGGCAAUGAGUUCAACUGAUUACUCAUGAGGGUGAUUAUUGGAAAGGGUUCAAAAAGUGGAGGGUUUCAAACAACAAAGUAAAAUAAGCAUAACAUGUGUUUUGAGUUUAAAAGUCUGGAUAAGAAAAUAAUAAUCCCCAUAAUCAAUAUAUUGUGCUAUUGGAAAUGUUGUGAUAAAAAGUACAGAAUUCAUGAUUCCAUUGAGUUUUUCUUAGGAUAAGAGAGUAAAGACUACGCUGAUUAUUUCAGGCCAAUCUCGGGACGAGUUUGGAAUAAAGUUGGGGAGGUUUGAUAAGUCCAUUUUAUGAAUGUACUAAAUUGUUAUAAAUCUGUUGAAUUGAUGUAUAAUUGUCCAAGAAUGGCACUACUUUGAUGAGUUGUUGAACUUCAUAUACAGGUCAAUAUAUUGUACUAAAAGUGGGCGGAACCUGCAAGUAAAACAGUGCUAAAGGAAUGAAGAAACGUUGCUGGGAAAACUGACCAUGCUUCAAUGUUUUGGUCAUAACUGAAGUUCCGCAGCUCUAAUUGACAUGAGUAAAGAAGUUCUGGAAACUAGACAAGAUUUUCUACAACUUUUGUGUUUUGUGUUUCUGCUAGUUAUGUCGUUUUGACCACCAAAACUUAAACGAAAGAUGAAGGAUGCCUCCAGGCGUCUAAGACAUCCCCUAGGACGUCCACAUCAAACGGUCAGCAUCUGGCCGUUAUUUCAAAGCAGAAAAGAAGGAAGAACCCCCGUCAGCGUCUUACAUGGCGUCAAAGAUGUCCCCUAGGACAUCUUGGCAUUUUGGGGAUGUCCCGUGUUGGAACGGUGUGUUUCGGAAAGUUUAGAAAACAAGGCAGGACGUCCUAGAACGUGUCUAAGACGUCUCCUAAUACGUUUGACGUUUUUGGCCAUUUUUUAGUGUAUUUCAAGGACGACAGAUGGCAUGCAAGGACGUACAAAGAACGCCUGGGCGUUAUACACGACAUCUAAGAUGUCUGCUAGGACGUCCAACAUCCCACAUCCCCCAAUUUCAUUAUUUUUUAUCUCACACUAUAAAUACGAGCCUAUGAAUUCGUUUUUAGGGUUACCACCUCCGAUUUUCAGAGUUUUUCAUGUGUUUUUGAGGCUUCUAAAACACUUGGAAACAUUUGAAAACACAAAUCCAUUCCAUUAAAAUCCGGAUUCAAAGCAAGACUCAAUUCAAUUCAUCAUCAAGCUAUAAGUGAAGAUCAUUUCAUUGGUUAAUCUUCAUCAAUUCUUUAUUUUCCAGAAUUAUUUCUUCUUCCCCAAGGUUUAUUUUUUCUAUAAUUUGAUAAUCAUUAGGCUACAUUUGUUUGAUGAUUCUACAUUUGUUUAUGAAUUCUAUUAUGCAUUUUAUUCAUUUCAAUCAAGUUAUUUGUUUUAUGAACUCAAUGGAAGGCUAAAUCAUUAGGGUUACUUCUGGGGAUGUUUAGGACUUUUUGAUGAACAUAAUUGAUUAUUACUUGAUUUUAGUUAAUUCAAUUGUUGUUUUAUGCUUCAUGUGAUGAUCUUUUAGUAAUGAUAAUUGAAAUUGGGUUGUAUGAAUUGUUUGAUGUCAUAAUUAAGAUAGUCUAUUGUCAAUUCAUCAUUUGUUCCAAGUUCACUUAGUUUAGGAAUAAAGACAAGUGACUGAAUCAACAUAUAUUAUUCCAACUUAUGAUAUUGAAUCUUAAUGCGGUAAUAGGUAGUUGUAUGAUAUUUUAUAGCUAGUCCACUAAUUGUUCUUAAUCCAUUUAGGCAUAAAGGAGUAAGACAACUAGUUAAAUGAAAAUUUAGUGUGCCCAAACUAUGUAUUACAAGUUAAUAAACCCCAAUUGUAUCUAAGUAAUUGAAUUAGGAUUUAAGGGAAGAAAGUGUGUGAAUUUAAACUAUCCAUAACUGAACCGGAAGUACUCUAGUUUUCUCAUUGAAAUUUUCGUUUUAAUUAAUAAAUUUCCAAGCUUUUUGUUUGAUCUUUGCUUUAAUUUUUUUUCGUGACAAUUUCUAGUAGUUUGUUUUUUUUCGUUGACUAUUUUAACACAAAAUUUGACGACAAACUCCUUGCGGAUUCGACCCUUACUUACCCUAGCUAUCUAGUGGUUUUGAGAUUAUUCUUGACUGAUACAACGACAUUGAUCAUCGUGCCAAAACCCUAAAGAGACCGAUGUGCCUGGGGCCCAAUUUGCUCUUCUUCCUGAAUCGGAUGACACCUUUCCAAUGUGACAAGUUCAGGGGGACCAUAUCCCUAACCUGAAACUCUAAAUCUGAUUGGUGCUUGUCGGCAUAGCUCUUCUUCCGGCUCUAAGCUGUCUGGAGCCUACUCCAAACUGCUGAAUCAACUUGGUAGUCUUGAGUACCGCUUUGGUACUCCCCAUUAGUAGCUGACCGUCCUCACCCCAACAUAUCAUGGUACUGCAUUUCUUUCUAUAGAGCAUCUCAAAAGGAGGUCGAUUAAUGUUGGCGUGAUUACUAUUGUUAUACAAAAACUAUUGGAUUAGGUGUCUAAGACCAUAACUAUUUUGGUAUGUACUUGACCCGAUUGUGAGCAUGGUCCUUUUGGGUUGCCUUCACCAUAGCAACUGAUGGGAUGAAUUAAGGAGAAAAAGGAUUAAUUAUGAUUUAUUAAUAUAUUAUAUGAAUAAUAUAUUAAAAGAGAAAUCAUAUUGUUUAAUUAAUAUUAGUCAAUAAUUCAUUUUGUGGCUAAAAGAGAUUAAUUAAAUAAAGGGGACUGAUAUUGCAAUUAUAUGAUAGUUGCAAAUUGGGCUAUGGAUUCCUAAUGGAAAUCGGAUUGGACAAAAUCUAUGGGAAGCCCAUAUGGAUUUCGUCCAAGGGCUUUCCAAGGGAACUCCAUGGGUUGCUUAAGGCGUAAGCAGUGAGAUUAGGGUUUCCUGAUUCAAAACCCUAAUAGCCUAAGUAUAAAAGGAACCCUUGGCAAGCCAAAAACGUCCCUAACCUUAUAAGAGAAACCCUAGGACGUUUUUGGUGCCUCCUCCCUCUCUCCUUGUUCAUCUUGUUACAUAUGGUGUUUGUGACUCCAUUAGAGGUGCAACAUUUGAGGCACUAGGCUUUCAGAAGUCAAUUACAAGAAGGAUUCGGAUUGUUAUUGCAACAUAACAAUCAAGGUAAGAUCUAAAAUCUAUCCUUUUGUCAAUUUUGAUUAUUGUAUACUAGAGUUAGGGUUUAUGAGCUUUGGAUGAUUAUUACGUAUAUCAGACAAACUAGAUCCAAAGCUUUAGGGUUUGCAUGUACACCAUAGGAUUGACGUAGUGCUCAAAACCCAUCAAAAACUACGCCAAAGGGAUAUAUGUAUCCCAACUCCCACCAAAAUCCAGAACACACGCCCGAAGCAUAUCCUCCAAGGUAUGAAUAGUCCUCUCGCUCUGACCAUCAGUAUGUGGGUGGAAAGUCGUACUGAAAUGCAGAUGAGUACCCAGCUCGUCGUGGAACCUCUUCCAAAAUCUGGAAGUAAACCGGACGUUCCUGUCUAAAACCACAAAACGGGCACACCAUGAAGUGCCACUACCUCCCUGAUGUAUACCUCAGCUAACUUCUCUGAGGAGAUACUAUCUUGAGUCGGAAUAAAAUGUGUGAACUUGGUCAAUCAAUCCACGAUGACCCAAAUCGAAUCCACUCUAUGUUCACUCUAAGGCAACAUCGUAAUGAAAUCCAUGGUAAUCUCCUCCCAUUUUCAAACAGUGAUAUCUAACGGUUACAUCUUGUCGUGAGGCCACUGAUGCUCGGCCUUGACUUUCCUUCAAGUCAAGCAUCUCUCCACGUACCAAGCUACAUCCCGCUUCAUACAGGGCCACCAAUAAUCAGGAUGAAGAUCAAUAUACAUCUUCGUCGUGGUGGGAUGAAUGGAGAAUCUCAAUUUGUGUGCCUCCUCCAUCAGAACUUGACGCACACCAGCCCAAUCGGAACCCACACUCUUCGAUGGAGAUUCAAUAACCCUUGGUUUUCAUAAUAAAAGGAAGCCACCUGACUCACUGUGCGCUCACUCUUCCCAUCACAACCUCAACCUGAGCCUCUCAAAUCUACUCUAAAAGUGGAGUGAUCACAGUCAUCCUGAAACAAAUAUCCUUGAACGGAGCCGCGAUCGCCUUGCUGCUAAGAGCAUCGGCCACCACAUUAUCCUUCCCCGUAUGGUAAAGGAUCUCACAAUCAUAAUCCUUCACCACAUCCAACCAUUGGCACUGCCUCAUGUUCAUAUUUGGCUGAUCCAUCAGAUACCUCAAGCUCUUGUGAUAUGUCUAUAUAGUACAGCGGGCCCCAUAGAGGUAAUGUCAUCAAAUCUUGAGGGCAAAAACCAUAGCCCCAACUCUAAAUCAUGCAUCGGAUAAUUCGUCUCAUGAUGCUUCACUUACCUUGAAGCGUAAGCGAUCACGUGACCCCUCUGCAUCAGAACUACACCUAAACCUGUGAUCGACGCAUCAUAAUAAACCAUGAAAUCUUCAACACCCUCCGGCAGGGUCAAAAUAGAUGCCUCACACAAUCUUUAUCUUAGGGUCUCAAAAGUUGCAUGUUGGUCGGGCGCCCAGCGAAAAGUGACAAUCUUCUUCGUCAACCGAUUUAGAGGAACCGCUAUCUUGGAGAAAUCCUAAAUGAACCUCCGAUAAUAGCCUUCCAACUAAGGAAACUCCAAAUCUUAGAUGGAGACCUCGGUACCUCCCACCUCAUCACGGCCUCGACCUUGGCCGGAUCGACCAGAAUACUGUUUUGGUUGACAAGGUGCCCUUGAAACUGCACCUCGUGCAACUAGAACUCGCACUUGGAGAACUUUGCAAAAAGUCUCUCCCUCCUCAAAGUUUCCAAUACCUCCCUGAAGUGCUCCUCAUGUAGCUCCUGGGUCUUGGAAUAGACCAGGAUAUCAUCAAUGAAUAGGGCAUUUUGUAUAAUCAAUUGUUGAUGUUAUUGAAAAUAAUGAUGUUAUUGAAACAUAUGCAUGGCAUGUAUUCCCAAUAAUUAUAUUUAAUUAAUUGGUUGUUGUGCAUGUUAUUAUAUUGGGAACAAAUUAGAAAGUGGUCCAUGUGGUAGUACAUGAUAUGUAUGGGGACCAUUUGUAGUUAAUAGUCAAUGGGUAUUUUUAUAAUGGAAAAAUGGGACCUUUGAACCCAUUAUAGAACCAUAUCCAUGACUAUAUAACAAAUUCACAUGCAUGCACAUUAUUCCAAAUUUUUCCAUGCAUAAAUAUUCAAACCCAUUGGUCAUGAGUUUACUUAAAAAGGCAACAUACUUUCAUAAGUGAGUAAAAUAUCAUUUCAUGUCAACAAUUUACUUACAAAGGCAACAUACAUUCAUUAGUGACCAAAAUACCCUUUUAUGUCAUGAGUUAACUUAAAAAAGCAUCACGCAUACAUAAAUGACUAAAAUACCCUUUUAUGUCAUGAGUGAACUUAAAAAGGCACCAUGCAUACAUAAAUGACCAAAAUACCCUUUUAUGUUAUGAGUGAACUUAAAAUGGCACCAUGCAUACAUAAAUGACCAAAAUACCCUUUUAUGUCAUGAGUUAACUUAAAAAGCCACCAUGCAUACAUAAAUGAUCACAUCACAUGUAUUCAAAUACACAUACUUUAAAUCCAAAUUACCAUCAUCCUAAUACACAAACUUAAAAUCCAAAUUACCAUCAUCCUAACACACAUACUUUAAAUCUAAAUAACACAAAGGAAAAAUCAACACUAAUAAAUUAGAAGAGCUUUUCCCUUAGAAUUUCCUGGAUCAUCAACACCACCAACUUUCUUGCCUAAUUUCAACUUGAAGAUUCUCUUUGACUUUCUUCUCCUUAUCCUGUUCAAAAUCUUGGAAAUUGGUCUAACCCUUACCUGUUGAACCUAGAUAAUAGGAGUAACCUCCUAAAUUUGAACAUUAUCAACAACUUGGACAUUAGGAAUAACCUCAUCAUCUUGAACAUUACCACCCUCCUCAACUUCCUCACCCAUAACACCCCCAUCACCUUCAUAACUUCUAGGUGGAAUAACUUGCAUAGACUGACUAAAAUCCCUUGCACUACUGGAUUCAACAUGAGUAGAAGUAACUUGCAUAUCAUUUUGAGUAUUAUCCAUCUCAAUUGGAGUCAUUUAACCUCUUCUUGUUGUUGUGGUUCACUUGUACUACCCUAUAUGGCAUGAUAUAAUUAUGUUAGUGGCAAAUCAUAUGUAAAUAAAUUUAAAUUUUAAAUGGUUUUACCUGUUCUGCAUUUUUCUUCACAUAAACUUUUUGUUUCUUCUGUUUCUUUACAUUUAACUUUUGGGGCCUUCUCUAUGGACAAGUGGCCUUACUGUGACACAUCUCCUUGCAUAUAAUACAUCUAAUUUUCUUUCCAUCCUUAGAAACCCUGUGUGUUCCUGUAUUCUUUGUAGUGGAUUUCUUCUUCUUAGUAGCUGGCCUACCAUGCAUCCGUCUACUAAUAAGAGGCAAUGGUGGAGUAUAAUUUGUCUCUGGCCACAUGUCACUGCCAUUCAUGGGGGAAAUUCUGUAAUUGUAUGCCUUCCGAAUUGUGGUGGUGUUAAACAUGUUGUCUACAUAGGCUUCUACAUCUCUAUUAAGAUUGGAUAUGGUAGCUACAGAAUGAGCAUAUCCAUAUCCAUUUAACCGCCACAACCUACAUGAACAUGUUUUCCUUUAUAAGUCCACCUCAUAUGCAUCUGUUUCUCCCUUACCUCGAACUGGUUUAAUCCACUAGGUAGUACCUGAUAAUGCCUCUGAAUUUUUUAAGCAAAUUCACCUUAUCCCUUAUCUCUGGACAAAUAUUAUUUCCCCAUUGUUGUCCCUUUAAUUUCAUGUUGUACAUUUUGUCCAUCAUGUAUAAUCUUAACUCCUCUAACAUGGUUAUUAUGGGCUUCUUCCUGGUAUCCACUAUUACAACAUUAAAACUUUCAGAGAAAUCAUUUUCAACUGCAUCACAACACCUUCCAGCUUGAAAGUAAGCUCUUGACCAUGUUUUAAGAUCUUUCUCCAUGAGAUAUUGAUGGGCAUCUGGGUUUAAUGUCUCAAUUUCCUUCAUCACAACUUUAAAAGCAUGCUCAUUUGUGGUUUUAGAUGCUCUCCAAAACAAGGUAUGAUAUAUGACACCAGUGAAUCUCUUCUGCAAAUUUUGAAAAAUAUGUCUAGCACACUGCCUGUGCAUAUGGAAGAAACUCUUUAACAGCCUCUAUCAAACCUUGUAUUAAUAAAAAGGUUUAAAUCAGAUAGUAUAAAAUAAAUAUAAAUGAAUUACUAUGUAAAAUACUAACCUUAUGUUGGUCUGACAUUAAACUGAAGCAAUUGCCUAAACUUAAGUUUAGAUUAUUAAUGAGAAGCUCUAAAAACCACUUUUAAUUCUACUUGUUCUCCACACUAACCAUUGCCCAAUCAAUAGGAUAUAUCUUGUUAUUUACAUCCCUCCCAAUAACACAAAGCAAUCCCCCCUUACAAACACCUUUAAGAAAACAUCCAUCAAGACCCAUUAUCCUUCUACACCCUUUAAUCCAACCUUGUUUAAUUCCUUGAAAACAAACAUAGAACUUGCUAGAAUAUUUCUUUCCAUCUGGACCAUCCUCCACAUCUAGUUUCACAGUUGACCUAGGAUUUGUCCUUAAAAUCUCAUCAACAUAUUACCAUAGCUUACCAUAAUGUUCAACAAGGCUACCUUCAACAAGAUUUAAUGCAUACUUCUUUGUUCUCCUACAUUAGCCCAUACUAACUUGGAUACUAAACUUGGUCAUUACCUUUACCCUAAGCUUCCUUACACUCAUUUUAUGACUUUGUACAAUCUCUUUGGUAUAGUGACUCCCAAUCCAUGCAUAUGUCACCAAUAAUCCAAACUUGAAGUUCCUAGCACAAUUAUGAUAAGCUUUUUGUGACUUGAUUUGGAAAGUCUCUCCAUCAUUCAUCCAAGAAGCCCAUAAUAUAAAUGUGCAAGCACCCUUGCUACAUCUCACCAAAAGUCUUUUCCUAUCAUAUUUUUUCAAAACACAAUUGAUAUCCAUUAGCCACAACAUAGUUGCACAACCUUGACUUUACUUGCCCUGGACCCUUAGAUCUCAUUCCUAGAAUUGGUUUUUGUUUUUUCCAGUGUAAUAGCUCAUUAAAUAUGGAAAUAGUUUGGAUGUUAGGUUCAACUUCUCUCCCAUUAUCAUCAUCUACAAUGUUGUUAUCCUCCUCAUCAUCAACACACAACUUACUCACGAAAGGAUCAUUUGAUGUCCUAUUCAUAUGCACUGCAUCCUUAUUAAAUUCAAAGACAACAUUCCUAAGUUCAUCUAUGUUAUCUUCAUCUAUGUUAGCGGCGCAGCUUUUUGCCCGUUUGCCUUCAAUCGAUAUGUAUUGAACAAAAAUGUUUGAAUGUCUAUCAAUACAAGGCUCAUGUUCAUCAUCAAACCACCCACCAACACCAACCCCAAUAUGAUCCACAUAAACCGAAAUUACACCAUCUGUUCCAUCAACAUCAAAAAUAAAAGCAGCAUAGUCCACAUCAUCUGAAAAUGGGAUUAAGCUCUUCCAUCAGGGAAUUGCCUGGUUUACAGUAGUAAAACUUUUUACACUCUUCAUGCAUGAAAUGUUCACAGAAGGUCACAAGCUCAGAAUAAGUCAUAGAAGAAAAGUCGACAUCAGUGAACAUGGUUUUCACACCACCAGUGUAAGAGAAAGGAUUUCGAUUAAAUACCCCUUGGUAGUUGAGUUCCACCAUCACAAACACUCCAUUAGGUUCCGAUUGUGCCAUUUUUGCGACUUCUUUGGCUCUUCAGCUCGAUCACAAAAAUGCUUCACAAAACCUAAAUCAAUUUCUUUUAAAACUAAAUAAUGAAGACGAGUGAAGUUCGAUAGCUGAAGACAAAAGGCUUAAAGCUUCGUAUAUCAUCUAUUGAUGUGGCAUAUCUCACAUGGCAUCAGAUUAGCUAAAAAAGAUAUAUUAAUUGACAUAUAUAAAAUGUCAACCAGGAAACCGUUUACAAGUAUGGAAAUGACUAAAUUAAUAAGUCAGAUACCAUUUUAAUGGUCUAAUGUACCCAAAAAACUUUAAUGACCAAAUUAGCCAAAUGUAAAAAGUUUCAUGUGCUACAGUGACAUUAUCCCUGAUGGGUUUUGAGCAUUCUAACACUCCUAUGGUGUACAUGCAACCCUAGAAACCUUGGAUCUAUGUUUGACUAAUAUACAUGCAAAUAAUUAUUUUCCAAGGUUCUUAUCCUAUCUAGCAUGGCAUGGGAACUUGAAUCAAAUAGAGCUAGUAGAAUUACUUACCUUGUAGUUGUUUAAAGCUUCGUAUAUCAUCUAUUGAUGUGGCAUAUCUCACGUGGCAUCGGAUUAGCUAAAAAAUAUAUAUUAAUUGACAUAUAUAAAAUGUCAACCAGGAAACCGUUUACAAGUAUGGAAAAUGACUAAAUUAAUAAGUCACAUACUAGUUUAAUGGUCUAAUGUACCAAAAAAACUUUAAUGACCAAAUUAGCCAAAUGUAAAAAGUUUCAUGUGCUACAGUGACAAUAUCCCUGAUGGGUUUUGAGCAUUCUAACACUCCUAUGGUGUACAUGCAACCCUAGAAACCUUGGAUCUAUGUUUGACUAAGAUACAUGCAAAUAAUUAUUUUUCCAAGGAUCUUAUCCUAUCUAGCAUGGCAUGGGGAACUUGAAUCAAAUAGAGCUAGUAGAAUUACUUACCUUGUAGUUGUAGUUGAUUGCUUGGAGUUUUAGAGCCUAGCACCAAUAGUGUGGAUGCCUCAAAUGUAAAUCACAAAUCACUACAAACUUGGAACUUUGAGAGAAUAGUAACCACCUUUCUUGAAAUCGGCCCUCUUACUUUACUCACCACAACUAGUAUGAUUUCAAGAACCAAAGCCUCCUUUAUAUAGUGUGGUGGAUUAGGGUUACAUCCAUGUAAACCCUAAUACCCAUGUCUUUUCAUUUCCAUGAGAUCCAUGGGUUAAAGCUCCAUGGAGUAUCCAUGGACUUUCCAAGCAAGCCUAGCCCAUUCCAAAUAAGCAUUAGCCCACACUAUAUAAAUAUAAGAGCCCAUAUUUAAUUAGUAAUACUUUUGAUCUCUAAAUUAAUUUUAGAUUAAUUAUAGAUCAAUACUAAUUAAAUAAUAUGGUUUUAUAUUAAUAUAUUAGAACUUAUAAUAUAUUAAUAAAUCAUAACUUAUACUAUUCUCAAAAGAUUAUCCAUAAAUUGUUCGGGUGAAGUGCAACCCAAAUGGACCAUGACGGGUCGGGUCAAGUACAUACCAAAUAUAGUUAUGGACUUAGACACUAUAUCCAACAAUCCCUACAUAAAGUCAUAUGUAGUCAAGGAUCAGAUAGAUAAUCGAACAUAUGACUCACCUAAGAGCGAACAAUCAGAAAAGAACAUCACAAUCAAGCCUUAGAUCAAGAGUUAUCAGUCUAUCCAACUUAAACUAGAUAGACCUAAGAUAUUAUUACCACCUAACCAUGUGACAUAAACAUUUAACAGAUACUAGCAUAUUUAUACACUUAGCAACUAUCCUUCCCUAGUUACCCUGUCAUUGAUCACUUCUCAAUCAAGUGAUCAUCUGGUCAGUCAUGCAUAAUCAUGAUAAUUGACCUACCCCAAUUUCCCUAACUAAACAUAACUCAUAACAAUAUCAUACAAUAAAUAGGAAAGACCUCACAAGAAUAGCAUACCCAGACACCAAGUGUUCUAAACUGCACAUGCAUAUCCUAGCCAACUAGCAUAUUUGUACUCUAACAGUAUCUCCAUCCUAUCAUGCACAGGAUAUAUAAUGAGAUAUGUGGCAUACUAUGAAACUCACCUGAACUGAAGAACCGGAGAAGCACAACAACACUCUUACACAUUUCACUACUCGAUCAUGUGAACCAAUUAACACCAAAAUAGAUAAAUCCUCAAUCAAUAAUCCAAAUCCUCCAAGUUUGACCCUAAGUCAAACUGGUCAAAAGUCAAUAGUCGAUGUAACGCCCAUGUUUCUUUCCAGACAUUAACUAAAUAAUUAGGGUCAACAAUCACCACAACGUGGUAACCUCUUGGCCACAUCCUGGGAAUUUCCAUACAAAAUAGUUACGAAGCUUAGGAUCACCAUGUCGUUGCAAGCCUAUUGCCACGUCGUGGAAAUUCACAGGAAGUCAUAUUCUUCAUUAUGAGCUUAAUGCUUACAGAUCUAAGCUCAAACUUUCAUAUUUGAUUCUUCUUGAUGAAUUAAUGGAUCUUAAACCAUAAGUCUAUUAAGUCUUUAAUAUGACCAAAACUAGAGCAUGGAGAAAAGGGAGCUAUGAAUUAACGCUUUUUCCAUCAAACAAGACCAAAAGAUGGUCACCAAACAAUUCUAAAGUUCUGGAGUUGGCCAAAACUCCAAGAAAAUGCCUUCAAGGGACUUCAAAGCAUGAUAUGAGAGAAAAGGAUGAUAAAGGUGGAAGCUUUAUACCUUCCCAAAAUCCACAAGACAUAGGAGAUGCAAGAUCUGAAGUAGAUACACCAUUCAAACUAGCAAACACACUGUCGUUUCCUUCCCAAAGUGCAACCCAAGGCUUCAAACUUCAAGAACUCCAAGAACUCAUCAAUAUCACUCAAAUAGGGCUAGGGUUUCGAAAUAGGAGGAUGGAGACUGAGGGAAAUGAGCUAACCCUAGAGUUAAGGCCAUUAAAUAUGGGAGAAAAUAUAAAAAAAAAAAUUAUGUGCUUGGGCUACAGCACUCACAACGUCGUGGCAACCCUCUAGUCAUGUCGUGGUGCUCUUCAAAAUGUGCGUUCCCGAAAAUAUGUGUCACGUCGUGGUCAUCCAUGCACCAUACCAAGGCAUAGAUUUUUCUCCUAAAACCCCAUCUUUGAUCCUAUUAGCUCUUUAGUUAAACUAUUAUAGAAAAUAGGUGUUAUAGCCACCAUUCCGAGUUCCUUCUGUGACUGCUAAAUUAGUGUUUGGCGGGUUGGGGAGCCCGACUUCUUUCUCUUAUAUCUUCACAUAUAUAUAUAUAUAUAUAUAUAUAUAUAUAUAUAUAACAUUUUUUUUUCAAAAGUGUAAUACUAUCAAGGGAAAUUGACUUAUCAGGGUAAUUACUGUUUUGUUUUGUUCACAUCGGGGUAACUCUUUUUUUAGUACACAUCUAGGUAACAAACUUUUUGUAAGUGUUCACAUGUGACCAUUAUAAUUGGUUGUAGCAAGUUACAACCGAACGUAAUUGUCAUAUAUGAACACUUCCAACAAGCUCGUUACCUCGAUGCAUACAAAAAAAUGAAGUUACACAUAUGUGAACAAAACGAAAAGGUAAUUACCCUGAUAAGCCAAUUUCCCUUUUUAUUAAGGUGGCAAAUCAUAAUGUUUGUAAUAUUAAUAUAUUCAUUUAAAUUUCUUUAAAACAACAUUUGUAACACCCGGAAUCUAGAAGAUUAAUUAUGGAAACAAAUUCCCUUACCUAAGUAAAAACACGAUGAGUUGAUGGUGGGAAACUCGAUGUGUUGGAGGUUUUUGGGACACACGUUUUUAUGAACCAACUCGGUGAGUUGGUGAAGGAAAAUCGGCGAGUUGGACACUGACUGAGAAACCCUAAUUUUUAGGGUGUUACACCCUAUUUAAAGACCUUAAGUUCUUUAGCUGGCCUCCUUACCGGCCUCCUCUAUCCAGAAACCCUAAAACUGAGCCUUGUCUUCCAUUUAUGAGUGUGAAAGCUUGGGGAGAGCCUUGAGAGUUCAUUUUUGGUGCUUUUUGAAGGAGCUAAGGAAUUAGGAGUUGCUUGGCUUGAAGAAGAAGUCUUGGAUCCAGAAUCUCUGCCUCAUUUGCCAAGUUUUUGAGGAAUCGUGUUCUUACCUUGCUUAUUUGUUGCUUAGAUCUCUUCUUGGGUUAGAGUUUAUGAUUUUUAGCCAUUUUGGGUGAAUGUUGGGGAUUAGGAGGUCCCAAGCAAUUAUUAUUUCAGAUAUAAGGGCUAGCGGCGCUGCUUGUUGCCCGUUCGCCUUCAAUCGAUAUGUAUUGAACUUUCAUUGGAGUAUAUUUUCUUAAUAUAAAUAUAUAAUAGAUAUAAGGUCUACAUGAGCUCUUUAGGCAUAAAGGUGCCAACUUUAUGGAUUUAAUGGCUUCAUGUAUUCAUUAAGUCUUUCAGUUAGCCCUUUUUGAGCUUUUGAUCACCUCCUAGUCAUGCUUAAGUGUAAAGUUGGAAACUUUACACGGCCAUCUAGCCUUAUGGGGACAGAUCUGCAUUAUGGGUUUUAUCUUUGAUGAUUAAGUGAUUAAUGAUUAAGCCUUCACUCUUUUAAGUUUAGGGUUUGGGUUUGGACCCAUUAGGUGAUUCCUAGGGGUAAAGUUGGAAAAUUUACCCUUCUUGAUCUCAUUUUGGUCGAGAGCAGAGCUUUGGAGCCUUUGGACUCGAUGAAGGUACCUUAAUGCAUUAAGAUGUUGGUUCUUGAGAGAACUCGGCGAGUUGACUUGGUUUCCCCGAUUUGUGUAGUUGAUGGAGAAACUCGACGAGUUGGGUUAACUUGGACCGUUGACUUUGACUUUCGAUUUAUGUCUUUGAACAAGUUUGUCCCAAUGGGUACUUGAGGUAAUCUGAAUUGUAAUUAAGGGAAUUAUGAGAUUAGGAUAAGGCCCAUAUGGGGUUGGUCCCAAUUUGGAAAAUUGGGCCAUUACUGGGCCUUUGCGGAUCUUUUGGUUUUGGACUUUUUGGUUAAUGGAAUUUGGGCCUCAGUUUUGGUUCAUGACGCGUUAGGGUUAAAAUGGUCAUUUUCCCCCAAGUAUGGAUGGAGGGCUUUAGAAUGGAACCCAAUUGCUAAUUAGGUGUUAUUUUGAUCUCAUAGCUCGGAGGUCUCAUCAGGGCAGCAGCUAGGGACUUCUUUCUGUGAGUUUCUGCGUUCGAGGUGAGUCUCCUUACUUUUCUAUGGUUUGAAGGCAAUAAUGACGGCCCAUUUGGUUUAUGUAUUAUAGGAAGACCUGGGGGAUAAACCUUGGCAGUUUGUAUGAAAGACCAGGAGGCGGCUCCUGGCAAACUGUAUGCAAGACCAGGGUCUGAACUCUAGCAGUUGACUAGUUAAGUAGUGUAGAUUUUAUACUAUUUGUCUUUGUGACACUUUCAUGGAAGACUCGAAGGUGGAUCCUGGCACUUGUCUGUAAGACCUAGGUUUUUGGCCCCCGGCCUGACAAGGAAGACCACAAGGCGGCUCAUGUCAUAAUGGCAAGACUAUGGAUGGCACAUAUCACCUUUACUAAUUGGGGUAUAUGUAUGCUAAGUAAGACUCAGUGAUAUUAAUGUUAUUUAUAGUUUUGAGUUGAGUUUUCUCCUGCGAUUGAGGUGCAACAGUUGGUGCGAGAGUUUCUGGAUCUCUGUCAGACUACUGAGACUGUGGCAGAUUGUGGAAGGGUGGAAGUGAUGUAAGACUGAGGGGUGGCCCGUAGCAUUCACUAGUUAGAAGUUGGUAUAAAAAUGUUGUAAGACUGUGGGGUGGCACGUAGCAUUCACUAGCGAUCAGAUAGUGUGGGAAGUGUUGUAAGACAGAGGGGUGGCCCGUAGCAUUCACCAGUCCCUAUACAGCGGUGAGAGUGUGGCAAAUUUGUGAUUUGCUCACGGUUUUCUUCGGAUGAUUUUGGCCAGGAUGGAUCAGUUCGCAAGGCUAUGGGAAGGACACAACAUGUUUGGAAUCAAGAUAUGGGAGGUCGUGGGAGACCGGGUUUGAGGUAAGACUAUAGUUGGUCUGUAACGUUCAACCUAGUAUCAGAUUAUUGACGAGACGGUUUGGGUAGUUAUUGCCAGUGAGGCUUUUUUUCAAAAGUUGCGAUGGGCGAUUGUGUGGAGUUUCAAAAGCAGCUACGAGGCAACAAGCUGUUUUGGGCAGUAUUAGUGAUUUUUGGGCAGUAUUUUCGGGUAGUACUAGUCAUUUGGAAUUUGUGUGUGAAUAUGUAAUUUUUCAAACAAUUUUUUUUUCAUUUAUAAAACUCAUAAAAACUCAUAUAUUUCAUUUCAUAAAAUCACAAGUGUCUCAAGUCAACAUAAAUCCACAAGAAAAAUCAAAUCCUAGAAUCCUCAACAUAAUCUCGAACAGGUGUGUACAAUCACGUCGGUGCCUUCCCGCGAUCCUCGGAGGUACUUGAAACACAUAUCACAUAGCACGGUAAGCAUAAAGCUUAGUGAGUUCCUCAAAAUACCAUGCACACACAUAAUUAGCCACUCGAGGCUAUCGCUCUGUAAGACCCUCCGGUUAAUGUGUCUUAGCGAGACCCACCAGUCCUACAAAUCGUCAGACCCUCCGGUCCGGUCUAAGUGAGAACCCUCCGGUCUCACUACUCGUUGGACCCUCCGGUCUAGUCUAAGUGAGGACCCUCCGGUCUCAUAGUUCGUUGGACCCUCCGGUCCGGUCUAAGUAUCUCAUAAUAUAGUACACAGUAUAUAUCACACAGAAAUACAUAACUCAAGCAAGCACAUAAGACCCUCUGGUCACACAUAAUGACCACACUAGGUAAGGUAUAAUGAGAAGACUCACCUCCUAAGAACUCGGAUAAUCUCAAACUCAAAUCACAGGUUUAGCCUCCGCCUAAUAUACACAAUAAUUAUCCCUAAUUAAUAACGGCUCUCACAAGGCUGAACUAACCCUUCCAUACACUCACAGAAGGGUAAAAGACCAUUUUACUCCUCCAUGGGCUUAAUAGACCACAUGUUGACCAAACCCUAAAAGUCAACCGAAAGCCAACAGCAAGGAGUACGCUGUGCGUACCAACUCCCUACGUUGGGCAUACUCGGCUGCCAUGCAGGCAUCGUGGAGACUCGACCUCUACGUUGUGCGUACUGGGAUUAUGCCCAGCGUACAUCCUAGUUUCACUCUCCUCACAAUUUUGGUCUUAAACAGUUAAUACAUUGGCUCAUAAUUCAGAUCUGGACUCCCUAAUGUCUCUUAAUCCAUAAAGUUGGUGACUUUAAGCCUUUGCGUGGCUAAAUAGGUCACAAACACUGAAAACUCCCAUCCCCUUUCCUCAUGAAACUCAUAACUCAUGCAUGGCUUACUCCUAAUGUCCAAGAUUAGAUUUUUAUGACUUUACUCCACAAAAUACACUGAAAAGGGAUAGAUCAAGGCCUCUAGAGUGCAUUAUCUCAUAAAGUCUCCAUCUUUUGGGAAAAAACCCUAAAGUAAUUCAUAUGAAUGCACCAAACAAACAAAUGAGAAAGCUUGAAGAUUUAUACCUUUAUGUGAAACCUUCUUCACAGCUAAGCUCAGAUCCAACUCCUGGGGCUCUCACUCCUUCUUCUCUAAAGCUUCCUCUCUACUUCAAGAACACAAGAUUACACCAACAAGCUCUCAAAUGCACUCUCCAGCUAUAAUGACGGAGAUUUAGGGUUAGGAGGGGUUGGUGUUUGGGAAUGGUGGCCAGGAAUGAGGCCAUCAUGUCCUUUAAAUAGUGAGCUCAUUAAAAUUUAGGGUUUCAUUAUGGGCCUAGCAUGCCCAGCGUACCCACUGGUACGUCGCGCGUACUAGGUGGCCUCCACAUCACUAACACGCAUUGGAGUAUGCUGAGCGUACACUCAAGUACGCCCCGAAUACUCGUUUACCACCUUUUCUCUAAUAAGGCCAAAAUGGACAAAUGCUCAAUAGAUCAAGGUUUACAAGGUAUACCUGGACUUGGGAUGUUACAUCGUGUGUGAGUCUCUUGUAGUUCGGGGAAUAUAAUAAGUUGCUUGUAGUGGAUUAAAUAAUCUCAGAGUGGUUGAUUUGAUUCUAUUGCGCAGUUCUCGUCUGAGUCUAACCAUUGCAGGGAUGAAUCUUCUACUCAAAGGAUUAUCUGAGCCUAUUGUCGAGUAUAAGUGUUCUGUAGCUGCAAAUGAUCUGUUUUUUGGUUCCUUUAAAAGCAUUAAGAUAUUGGUUUUAUAGUGGUUCAGAGAGGGGGAGGGGGUGAUCAGCCAGGAAGUCAAAUCAAAUUGAGAUUUCAGGUAUCAGGAAAGGUAAAGGUGGGUUUUUCUGCAAGGGAUUAAGGUUCGUUCUGCUAGGGUUGGUUUCAGUUGCUAUGGGAAGGUGGUAGUAUUAUGGGGUUGUGAAGAUGAGUCCUUAUGGGGACAGUGUUAUCUGGUGCUAUCUGUCAUGGAGUUCGGCAAUGUCCAGGGUUUUCCAGGUUCAAGUUUAAUGGUUAGGGAUCUUCUAUUUUGGAUUUGUCAUCGGUAUGGGUGGGCGGUUAUCUAAGCGGGGUGACUUCCUUAGUCUUUUGGGGUUCAAGGAGUUUAGUCAGGAUCAUCAGUUCGGUACACGAGAUUUUAGGGAAUGAUUUCGAGGAUGAAAUCUAAUUUAAGUGGGGGAGAGUUGUAACAUCUGGAAUUUACAAGAAUAAUUGUGGAAAUAAAUUCCCUUUCUAGGGACCAACACGGCGAGUUGAUCGUGGGAAACUCGACGUAUUGGAGGCUUUUGGGAUGAGCGUUUUUAUAAACCAAUUCAAUGAGUUGGUGAAGGGAACUCGGCGAGUUGGACGCUAAUCGAAAAACCCUAAUUUUUAGGUUGUUGUACCCUAUCUAAAGGCCUUAAGUUCUUUGGUUGGCCUCCUUACCAGCCUCCUCUGUCCAAAAACCCUAAAAUCGAGCCUUAUCUUCCAUUGUUGAGUGUGAAAGCUUGGGGAGAGCCUUGAGAGUUUAUUUUUGGUGCUAGUUGAAGGAGCUAAGGAAUUAGGAGUUCCUUUCCUUGAAGAAGAAAUCUUAGAUCCAGAAUCUCUGCCUCAUUUGCCAAGUUUUUGAGGUAUCAAGUUCUCACCUUGCCUGUUUGUUUCAUAGAUCUCUUCUUGGGUUAGAGUUAAUGCUUUUUAGCCAUGGUUGGGUGGAUUUUGGGGAUUAGGACAUCCCAAACGAUUAUUAUUUCAGAUCUAAGGUAUAUAUGAGCUCUUUUGGCAUAAAGGUGCCAACUUUAUUGAUUUAAGGGCUUCAUAGAGUCAUUAAUUCUUUCAUUUAGCCGUUUUUGAGAUUUUGUGCUCGUCCUAGUCAUGCUUAAGCGUAAAGUUGGAAACUUUACAUGGCCAUCUAGCCUUAUGGGUUCAGAUCUGCAUUAUGGGGUUUUGUCUUUGCUGAUUAAGUGCUUAAUGAUUAAGCUAUCACUCUUUUAAUUCUAAGGUUUGGGUUUGGACCCAUUUAGGUGGUUCCUAGGGGUAAAGUUGGAAACUUUAACCUUCGGGGUCUUAUUUUGGUCAAUAGCUGAGUUUGGAGCUCUUGGAUUCGAUGAAGGUAGCUUAACGCAUUAAGCUGUUGGACUUUUAGAGCUCAUAUCGUGAGUUCGAUCUUAUCCAUCCGCUGAAUCGACUUCUGACAGCCCGACUCUGGAACCCAUCCAUCACUGGCUCACGUCGUGAGCUUCAUGCUCACGUCAUGAGUCCUCUUAUAGUGUGGGGUUGAGUCUUUUACUCGAAGGAUUAUUUGAUCUUUGUUGCGUGUGGCUAUAUUAAUGAGGAAGCUAGUUGACAUUGGUGGGAUUCCUUUAGCAGUUGAGGGUUUGGUGAGGUCGGGAACCUAGGAAAGCCUAGGAUAUGCUUUAGUGGGUUAGUGGUACGGUUUAGUGAGUUUUGGUGCAUUGUGCUGAAGAAGUGACUUAGAGGAUUCGAGAGGAUUACUGAGGAAAGUAUGGAUAGGUGGGCUUUAGAAUGGAACCCAAUUGCUAGUUGGGUGUUAUUGUGAUCUGAUAGCUCGGAGGUGUCGUCAGGGCACUAAUGUCGGCCCAUUUGGUUUAUGUAUUAUAGGAAGACCCAGGGGAUAACCCUGGGCAGUUUGUAUGAAAGACCAGGAGGCGGCUCCUGGCAAACUGUAUGCAAAACCAGAAUCUGAACUGUGGUAGUUAACUAGUUAACUAGUGUAGAUUGUAUGCUAGUUGUCUUUGUGAUGCUUGCAUGGAAGACUCGGAGGUGGCUCAUGGCACUUUUUUGUAAGACCGCAGGUUUUGGCCCCCGCCCUGACAAGGAAGACCACGAGGCGGCUCGUGACAUAAUGGAAAGACUAUGGAUGACACAUAGCACCUUUACUGAUUGUAGUAUAUGUAUGCUAAGUAUGGCUUGUUGAUAUGAAUGUUAUUUAUGGUUCAAUCGGUAUGUUUGGUAUGUGGUAUUUGGGGAACUCAAGAAGCUAUGUGCUUACAUUUUGUGCUUUAUGGUUUCAUGUAAUUCCAUUUUGAAAGGAAAGGGUUCGGCUUAAUCGCAACGCAUACACCCAUGUUUUCCGCAAUGUGUGAUAUUUAGGAAUGAACUCUGAUAAUUGUUUUAUUUUGAAACUCUUCUAGAUGUCGGAUUAAAGGUUAAUGAAUGUUUUGGGCAUAAUAAAAACGAAAUUUUUACCCCUGAUUUUCGGGAUGUUACAACAUUUAUUACCAUUUAUUGACAUUUAAAUUGGCCACGACAUGUUUGAAACCAUUUGUGAUAGCAUAAUUAUCAAAUCAAAUAACUCUAUAUAUUGAGACAAGAGCAAUGUUAUCCAUGUGGAUAAAAUGUAUUUCUAUUUUUUGUAUUUUAAAUUCAUGUAAUACAUGGAACAAAAUUGAAGAUGAUAUUCUAUUUCAUGUUAUUGGUCUCAAUAUCUGACACUUUUAGUAUCUAGUAAAUUUUAAUUUUCAUAUGUAAUAUCUUAAACAAUAAAAUUCUAUAAAAUGACGAUGUAUUUUUUCCAUGUCAAAUGUGAUUUUUUUUUUGUAUCAAAGUAGUGUAUUUUAAAAAGAUAUUUACCAAGUUGGAUUGAGUGACAAGUGGAUUGAGUUAACUGAAAAAAAAAAUUAUUUUUCAUGGGUUAGAAAAGAUGAAAAAAAAAAGUUGAUAUAGAACUCACACCACAUGAAUGAUUUGACACCGUUCUACUCCUACGACCUUUACCCCCAACAUCGAAUUCAUUAUGAUUGUUAGCCUAUCUUACGAGACAGACAUGACCUCCUACUACCAUGUAUACUAAGUCCCACUAUUUAUAACUCUACCCUAUAAAACUCGACGGAGCGCUGGGGUGAAGGGUUACGGGAUCCUUUCCCGCUCACCGGAACANNNNNNNNNNNNNNNNNNNNNNNNNGGGGGGGGGGGGGGGGGAAGGCUGCUGCACUCUCUCUCUCUCUCUUCUUCCUAUUGGCUGGUUUUUUUCCCAAGCGAACUGUUUGAAAUAAAUAACAAAAUUAAUUUUUUUUUCAAUACAACUAUUGAAAAACAACAAUGAAUUUAUAUAUAUAUAAUUUUGUUUUUACCUCUAUAACAUCUAUAAAUAUACACAUACUUUAACCUUUCAAACUCACACCUCCUUCUAUGAAUUUCUCUGUACUUUCUUCAAAAAAAGGAAUCCAUACAACCAAACCCCAAACUUCGAUAGAAGGAAAAAAACCAAUGUUUCAAAUUUAAGCACCCCAACUCGAAACAUUUUUGAUAUCGAUUCAUCUCAAGGGGUUUAUCGUCCACAACUCGAUGCUCACAUUUAAUCUUCACUACAAUCACAAUACCAAAAUAUUAGACAAUUUUACCCGAUGCAAGUUCCAAAUGUUACUCCAAAUAUGCUAUUAAACUUUGUUGUUUUUCCUGAUCAACUUUCGCCAAAUCAACCCCAAACUCAAAUCCCACUCUUUCAAUCUCAAACCCAAACCCAACCUAAGCCCAAACACAAUAUCAACAACAAUACCAAAUCUUCGAUGAGUCGGAUGAAGAGAUUGUACGGGAAACUCAACCCACAACCCCCAACCCCACAAAGUAAAACAACAAGUGAGAGAGGGUUCCAUACAACCGGGACGACAGAAGCCGCAACCAUGGACUAAACGAGAAGAGAUAAUUGGGGUAAAAGCUUGGGUUGACAUUUCAGAUGAUUCAGCGACAGGAAAAUGCACAACCUGAGGAUCAUUUUUGGUUUCACAUUCUUGAGAGGUUUCAUAAGGAGAUGGGAAAAAGUGACGAGUAUCGUACCAAUCAUCAAUUGAAUUCAAAGUUUCGAGAAAUAGCGUGGGCCGUUUCAAAAAUGAGCGGGUGUACAACAACCUAAAAACCUAAUGGAAAAGCAGCCAAGGAGAUGAAGAAAUACUUCAGGAAGUUUUGCAUUUUUUCGAGAGGAAGUGGGAAAGUCAUUCAAGUGCCACGAUUGUUGGAAAAUAUUGAUUAAAAGUCGUAGGUGGAAAAAAUACGAGCAAGAGUUUAUACGUCGAGUACAACAAUCAAAACGAACAAAAAUGAGCUCUAGUGGUUACACAACUUCCUCCGAUGCUCGGGUCGGUCUAGAUUUAAAUGACGAGGACGCACUCGAGCUAGAAGAAAUUGUCCGACCGAUAGGUAGGGACAAAGCAAAAAUGAAGGGAAAUGAGACUUCUUGGGGUGAAUCGAAUUUCAGCAUGGACGCGGACCAAGUGCGAAAAAUGGUGGAGAUAUUUGAUCGAUAUAAUCUUAAUUUUGCUGAAAGUUUUGGCAUUCGACAAAGACAAAGAAGGAGAAAAAAAGAAGGAGAACGCAUAGAAACAAGAAAUGGAGGAGAUGAUGUUAUUGAUGAAAAAUACCGACCAUCUUUCGGGACUAGCUUCGGAGCUCGUUUUGAAAAAAAAAGGUGCGGAUUAUGCAAAAAUAUUUUCCCUAAGAGUGUUGUUUGUUUUUUUUUUCUAGUUAUUUAAAUCUUAGGUUUUUAUGUAAUUUUUAUUAUAAUUAACAAUGGCGGAGUUACUAUAUCAUUAUAAAUAAUAUUUUGUUUCUUAUAAUGAUAAUCUUUCCUAAUAAAUAAAGAACUUUUUGUCACAUGUCAAACUCUCAUUGAUUUGACCACAUGUCAUUUUGUGGUUAUUUUCAAUUAAUUUUUUUUUACACAUGUCAUUUUGGGGUUUUUUCAUUUUAUUAAUUUUCACAUAAUAUUUAAAUGUAAUAAUUACAAUAAAUAUAAUAAUAAAAUGCAUAUCAAUUUUAUUAAUUGACUUCCUUUUAAUUUUAAAAUUUCUAAAUUAAAGUUUCAUUAGUUUCCUUUAUUUAUUUAUCUAAAUUAUUUGUUUAAUUUAAAAGAAAAACAAACAAUUUAAUUUUAAUAAUUAAAUGUUUUUCUAUUGUUUUCUUAUAAAUUCAAACUUGUCAAAUGUUUAAAAUUUUAUAUGUUUUUCUUUAAAAUGAACUCAUGUAAUACAUGAGUGUUACACCUAGUGAUAGAUUAUAUCACGAGUACAAUUCAUUUAAUGAAACAUAUGUACGUAUAAUUAGAGAAAAUUUUUAAUAUUAGCAUGUUAAUCCUCUCUAAAAAAUAAAAAUAAUUUUGCCACAUAUCACUCUUUUAUUAAUUUGGACACAUGUCAUUUUUUGGUAUUUUUGAUUAAAUGUUUUUUCCAUUUGUCAAUUUUUUAUUUUUUAAUAUUUUCUUAAUUAACACAUCAUAUAUACACCUCAAUUAAUAAUUACCUUAAUUGAAAAUAACCAAUAAAUUACAAUAUUAAUAGUCAUAUAGUAUUUAAUAUGUUUCCUUUUAAAUUUAAAUUUUAAAAUUUUAAUUUCAAAUCUAAAAUUUCAAAUUUGAAUAAAAUUUGUUUGAACUUUUAUAUUUAAUUUUUGUUUUAUCAAACUCGUAUAACAUACGGGUCUCACACCUAAUGGAGAAUUAUAAAUCAACGUUUAUUGUCGGUCUAAACUUUUGAAAUGUCAUUUUUGCAAUGAUCGGUAUAACUUCUCCUUAAAGGAAUUUUUAUAGUCAUUUUCUCUUUCAAGAUUGUAGACUCUUUUACAUUAUUUUGAUAAAAGAUAUAUUUGAAUAUAUUUUUACGACGUCGGCUUUCCUUAUUCUUAAAUCCUGGCUCCGUUCCUUUUAAUUAAUGUAGUGGUUUUUAUUUUUAAUUAUAUAUAUAUAUAUAUAUAUUACUUAUUCAUUUAUAAAAUUAUAAAUCAUAAAAUCAAUUAUUUUUACUUAAAAAAGAGUGAUACACCUUUACAAAAUUAUAAACCAUAAAAAUCAAUUAUUUUUACUUAAAAAAUAGUGAAAAAACCUUCCCACAUACACCUUGGUUUCUAACUAAGAAAAAAAAUGUAGGAAAAAGGAUAAAAUGAUAAAGAAAAAUAAUAAAAAAAAAAAUAAAAACCUUCCCGUACCCACCCUCCGGCAUAAGAAGGUGCGUCCCUACGAGUACAAGAUACACAGGUGUAGAUACAUAUGUAAAAAGCUAGUAAUUAACCAACUAAUUAUUAAUUAUUAAAUAAAAUAGGGAUAUAAUAUUAAUGAUAAACACAUUAAAAUAUUCCAAAUGCUCAUGAAGUCAACAUGAGAAAUUAUAUUGCAAUAAAUUUCUUGUUGGGUGAGAAAUUCACAAGUAAAAUUUGUAUAGUAAAUAACAAACCGAAAGUUCCAGAAACAGGUCAAAACUUAAAACCCUAAAUGAGCUUACAAAUUUCCAUUGGCCACAUACCCCACCACAAAGGCACAAACAAUCAAUGAAACAAGUGUAGAUGUAGAGGCCUUUUUCACCACAAUCACCCUUCAUCGGCCAUUUCGAAGGCCACGUGAAAUGUCACUAACGUGGCCCUCUAAAUAUCCACUACUUUGUCUUUAACCCCUCCCCCCUCCCUUAUAAAACACUCCAUCCUCCUCCUUAAUCACCAUCACCAACAACCUUCUCUCCUUCCUCAAAAGUACCACCAUCUUUUCCGACAUGGCAGCUUCUUCAAUCUUCAUGGCAACUCCCAUCACACUCCUCAAAAAAACUCCCACCUUCUCCGUCAAAUGCAUGUCACAAACACCUCAAAGCGGUGAACCGGAGAUUUCAAAAUCAGCAACCACCCCAACACCACCACAGAUCAACAUUCCUCCUCCUCCGCCACCUGCUCCAAAGGUCAGCACGAAAUUCUCUGACGUGUUGGCGUUUAGUGGACCUGCACCGGAGAGGAUCAACGGAAGGUUGGCGAUGAUAGGGUUUGUGUCGGCGAUGGCUGUGGAAGUGAGCAGCGGUCAAGACGUGUUUACCCAGAUCGGCAACGGCGGAGUUGCGGUGUUUGUGGGGACUAGCGUCGUGUUGACGUU
rnacentral:lncRNA from 1 species